UUGGGAUUUCAACAGAUUGUCUAUGAUGUAACUGAGAUGGAGAGCUUCAAUAAUGUCAAGCAGUGGUUGAAUGAGAUUGACAGAUACGCAAAUGACAGUGUAUGCAAACUUCUAGUUGGGAACAAAUGCGAUUUAGUUGAGAACAAGGUUGUGGACACACAGACAGCCAAGGUAUAUUCGUGACUUCUGUUGCCUGAACUUUGAAUAUAAUUUUAAACUCUUCUCAAGUGCAUUUGCUUGAUAAGUUUCUGCAUACCCAGGACACUCAAACUUUGGACAGUUUGUAUCUCGAGCUGGAAUCUUUUUUGUCAAUACAACUUGUUAAAAUAAGGGUUAUUAUUGCUUGAAUCCUUCAAGAAUUGCAAUAAAUCUAAAGUCCAUAAAAAAUAUGAUUCCAUCAUUUUACUAUUAUAUCUAGACAAAAUCCAUUAUUUUACUACAUUUCAUUAGCACUGAUAGUUGACCUGUUGGCUGACUGAUAAAAUAUCAAUUUUGCACUUUAUAUUAAUUCUUUUUUGGUUAAAAAAUAACACACAAAGUAUUACAAUAUUAUAAAUUCAAAAUAGAAAGUAGCUACAAAUAAUUCCUAUUAGCCUAUGAAUAUAAUAUUUGAUACCUCUAUUUGUGUAAUUUUUUUCCAAGGGUGAAAUUGGUAUUUUUUUUGUACUAACGGAAAUGUAGUAAAAUGAUAAGUUUUGUAAAGAUAUAGUUGUAAAAUGAUAGACUAAAAUACUUCUUGUAGUUGUUUGAUAUAUUGUAAUUCUUAAAGUAGUCAAUUGAUAAUAUCCCCUAAAAUAAAUGUUCGUAAUAUUUUCUCAUUUUAAUGCAACUGAUUGUUUAAUAAAAUUGUAUUUCUUUGUUAAUCGUUUAUCAUGUGCAUGCUCAGUGAGAAUUUGACUUAUUAGAACACAAGUUUGACUCUUCAUGUAAAUGUCCCUUGUAUCAUAUCCUUCAGUGUUGAGUGUGUUUCCAAUAAAAUUGAGUAGGGGGAUUCUUAAAUACCUUUUCCUUUUUUCCAAGGGCCGUGCCAAAUUGCUCUAAGUGAUUAUCAAUGAAUAAUGAAAUAAAUUUUUAUUAAAGCAAUUUUUCCUUAAAUGGUGACUAAUAUUACCCCUUUUUUUGGAAAAGAAAGUCAAAACAUGCCCAAAGAGAAUCAUUUACUUUACUCUAAUGUAGUUUCUAAUUUGUUUUGAGCCUUGAAUGUCCGUUUUGGUGCGUAUUCUCAUUCCAUCUCGAAUCUUAUCCACAUGGACAACCCCAAUUACAAAAUAGUCUAAUGGAUCUAUUGAAGUUCAUAUGAGGUUUGUGCUUUAGAUUUAGACCUCUCUCUCUCUCCCCCCCCCUCUCCCAACCACUUACCUGUCUUUCACUUACCUGUUUGCAUGCCUUCCCAUGCACACACUUUUCAAGAUAAUACACGGUCACUCGUACUUGUGUUUUGGUUGAGCUACUGGCUGCUAACCCUCAUUAAUUCAGUUUGAAACUUGCCACCCUUAGUGCUUCACUCAAAUGGUUGGUUAGGGUGAGAUCUGUAUCGUUUUCCUGGUCUCUUUCCAAGGUUAUCUAAAGGGAUUUGGCAGUCUGAUUCUUUAGGGAAUAUCAUUGCAUAAGAUAUCUAUUGUUUGUCAAUGAAUAAUUUCUAUUAAUUAGUUAUCUAUAUAAAUUGGUAAAUUUUAACUGCAUAAUUUGCAUGCAAUAAGAUUUUAUAAGAAUCUUGUUUUCAACUCAUGACUUAGACUAAUGUGAUAUGUUGAGCAUUAAGCUACAAUAUCUGCACAUCAAAGUGCUUCACGAUGUUAAGGAGAAAGCAUAUUUUUCUGCUUCUUCAUGUGAUUUAAAGUUUCCAAGGUACUUAUCCUAUAAAAUAUCUUUCAAGACUUCGGAAAUGCUUUUAUGUAUGACUGAGGGAAACUUGUUGGGUUGGUUUUUAGCAACGGACGGAGUUAUGGACUUUGUGUUGACUUGUUAUUGAUUAAGGCAGUACAUCGGCUGAUCUAUUGGCAUCAAGCAGCAGAUGCAGAAAUUAUGGGUGGCAUAUCAUUGUAUCCAAAUAACGUACUACAUUGAUUUUUCUGACUUUCUGUUGGUCUCCGAGUGAAAUGCAGGCAUUUGCAGAUGAACUGGGGAUUCCUUUCCUGGAGACGAGUGCCAAAGAUGCAAUCAAUGUGGAGCAGGCUUUCUUGACCAUGGCUGGCGAGAUUAAGAAAAAGUAAAAUCACUUAACUCUUUCCUUCUUGCCUUAUGAUUGAUUCUGUGAUCCAUUGCCUAUUUGCAAAUGCUGACUGUUCUUAUUCAACAAUCACCAUUAUUGCUGGUUAUAUGCAUUGUGAUGAAAAUUCUGCAAUGAGUAACUUUUUACCUAAUGUUUUCUGUUGGAAUAAAUUACUCUGGUAGAAAAGCCCUACAGGGUUUUAGAAAUCCCAUGAUGUGAUGAUUGUGAGCAUUUUAGACACCGUGUAUGGGUUUAUUUUUUUACUAUAAAAUGUUAAGAUUGUUUCUAGUUUUGGUUUGUAGUGCAUAAAAGGAUUCAGAAUUUGACAUCUGUCUAAAUCAGAUUAAUAACAUGAUAAUGUACAUAUGCAAGAUGUGAGGAAUUGUUUUAUCUCACCCCUAAACUUUAAGAAAUUGAAACAUUAUCAUUCAAACUAUUUAACAUUUCCAGAAUUAAUAGUUGUCUAUUUGAGCAGUGACUGGUGGUUAUCAUGAACUGAUGUGUGGUUGUGGUGUCAAAUCUUGGUGAAACCUGUUGUCAUCAGCCGGUUAACAUAGCUAGUCUCUGAAAUAAUUUCUUGAUUCACUAAUUAUGAGUUCAAAUUUGAUGCAGAAUGGGCAACCAGCCUACUGCAAACAAAUCUUCUGGAACAGUUCAGAUGAAGGGACAGCCAAUCCAGCAAAACAGCAACUGCUGUGGUUAGCCGAGCAUCUUAUUUUACUUCUACAUGUUAGCUGACUGAUUGUAGACAGUUUUAACUAUGUUGACUGCAUUAUCUUAUGAAUCUUUUAAUAUGUCAAAUAUUAAUUUCCUGCUUUAAGUUCUUUCCGUUUAUAACAAAUUUAAUUUCUUGGUUCAUUGCAUUCCAAAUUCCUGUAAAUUUACAAGGGAAAAAGAAAAGAGACGAAAUCGGAGAAAAUGGUCGAAUUUGUUAGGGGGAGAGAGCUGUUCAAGUAGUUUCUGUUCUUGUUUAUUGUCGUGACCCUCUUGUAGCUUGUCUAUGACCUGGAAGUCCGGUCAUAUCGGAUGGGUAAAGUUACCAAAACGGCAUCAUUUUGGGUGAAAUAUCAUAUUUAUGUAACACUUCUGAUAAUAUUUUUAUGCAACAACAAAAUGUUCGCGGGGACCCUUUUCACAUUGUGAAGCGCAUGAUCGGAUGAUAGCAGUCUGGAUUCUGGCAUCACAAGCUAAUGCUUUGAUUUGCUUAGUUUGUUUUUUGUUUCUGAUAUUUUCUUGGCAGUGGGUGGGAUGUUGUUUCUCUUUUGAGUUUCCCCUUUUGUUUUUUGUUAUGGAAUUUAGAGAUAGUAUACAUGUAUGAAGAUGACGUGAUAAAGUUGUUUUGAUAAAUUCCCCUGGUCAGUUUACUUCACUAACCAUUAAUGCGCAAAACCUCCUAAUGACCCUAAAAAAACUCGUAUAUAAUUAAAGAAUUUCAAUUUUAUAUGUACAAAAAUGAAUAACUCUCAAAUAUAUUAUUUGAUAAUCUCAAAAAAAAAAAUUUCACUCUAAUAAAUCUCGUAGCAAGUACAUGGUUUAUAUUGCAAAUCUUUUCGAAACUAAUUCAAAGAGAAAAUAGGACAUAUAAUUGACUUUUACCUGUCAUAAAGAACUCUAAAUAAACUCAUAUAUGCAUCGCAGCUAAUUACAGCCUUGAUACUUCAUUUGGUUUUUGUUAAUUUUUUGUACAGUUAUGCUGUGCGUAAAAGUUUUGUUAAAUGAAAUCGAUAGGUGAAGAGAAUUUUUAGAAGCAGUCAUCAAAGUAAUGAUCAAUAUAAAUAUUGAUUGUCUCAAGUUAGAUUAUACAAAGAUGAAAUAAUGCUAAUAUAGUAAAUUCAAUCAUAAUAAUUUGACUUCCAUUAUAUUAAUUAUGUCCAAUCGUGCUACUUUAAUAAAGAACCCUCGAGCAUUUAUAUGUAUACAACAAACAAAAUUAAUUAUAGAACGAUCUUUUACAAAGUUUGACCGGUCAACUAUCCAUCAAAUUCUGUAAUGUGUUACUGUUGAACUCUCAUGUCAAAUAUGGAUAGGCAGCGCUUUGGCUAACAGUGAGAUAUAUGCGAGCAUAAGAGCUCUGUUCUCUGUUUUAAUGGCGUUUCUCUUUGUGAUUGUUGGACAAACUGUAAUGUGAAUUUCUAUCUAAUGGGUGUCCUAAUGCUUUUAGUUAGUGUGGGAUUGUUGAUUUAUAUAUGACCUUCAGUAUCCAAAAUUUAGAUGAUGAUAACCUUUAGUACUUUUAUCAUAUUUCCUUUCGUGUUGGUGUUAGUAUCUUAAUUUUGUGCCCAAUGGUAAUUACAAUAUAUACCUAAUUUGAAACUUCUAUAAUUUUACAUAUAUAGAUGCAAAUUCAUUUUUAAGAGUGCAUUUAAUCAAGCAGUCCAGGCGUUUAUACUGAGUAAUUGGUUCAAUAUUAAUACAAAACUAUUUUAAGUAACAUGUGGCAUAUUCUAAUUCCAGUGAGCUUCCAACUCAUAUUCCCAAUUCAAAAGAAAAGUUUUCAAUUUUCUCCAGAACGUUCUACAAAACGUUUCUUCUAGUCUCUACACUGUGCUAGAAUUUUCUCUAAGUUUCUUUUGCAAAGACUUUUAAAGAACUAUCCAGAUACCGAGCUAUAAUCCAGUCUAAGCGUAUAUCUCUCUCACUAUUUCACCUCCUUCAAUUUCACCAUAUCAACAAACACUUAGCCUCGAAACAAACACUCUCAAAAAGCUAGCUUAGCUACCCAGAUGGUGAAAUCAAGAAUUCUUGCAAUUACAAUGUCGUUUCUUGUUAUGGCAACAACAUUGAUGAUCAUGGCAUCACAAGCAAACGCUCUGAUGCCGUACACACGAUCACCUUUCUUUGACAUGAUGUCUGCAAUUACAGAAGAUCCUUUCAGGGUUCUUGAACAAACCCCUCACAAUCCCCAAAAGGAGCUGAUCAUCAUCAAACUCUAGCCCUGGCGAGAGCAAACUGGAUGGAGCACCAACAGCACACGUGAUCGCGCUCGACAUUCCAGUGAUGAAGAAAGAUGAAGUGAAGAUUGAAGUUGAAGAGAACAGGGUACUGAGAAUGAGUGGGGAGAGGAAGAGUGAUGAUUAUUAUAAGGAGGGAGUUGAAGGAGAGAAAUGGCACAGAGCUGAGAGAACAUUUGGCAAGUUUUGGAGGCAGUUCAAGAUGCCUAUGAGUGCUGACUUGGAACAUGUUAAGGCUCAUUUGGAAAAUGGUGCUCUGAGGAUCAAAGUGCCAGAGCUUGCUGAGGAGAAGAGGAGGCAGCCUAAGGUUAUUAGCAUCAAUGAAGAGCCUGCAGGUAAUUCUUCCGGUGAAACUAUUAAGGCCACCAAGGCCCAAAUGUGAUUAUUAAAGAAAGAAGUGCUUGCUUCGCUUGAUAUGCUAUUUGUUUAUGAUUUUUUCUUAGUUUUGUUGUGGGAUGUUUCUAUCUGGACGUUCUGUUUAUUGUAUUUUGAUGGGUUUUUUAAGAUGGCUUGUAUGUAUUAACAACAAUAAAGUGUUUUUUUAUAAAUCUGGGUCUUAAAUUUGUAAAAGAAAUUAAUACGCUUGGUUUAUUGUUAUAAAAAUAAAAAAAGAAAAAGCUUUUUUCUUUGGCAUAUAUUAUGCAUUUUAAGGAAAAAAAAUUCACACUCCAAUUCAUAAAGAUAUUCCUCUUCUGUCAUAUUAAUAUACUACUUUAUAUUGUACAACACCAUUAAAAGAACAUUAUAACACUGUUGCUAAUGAGGCAGCUGGUAAUUCUUCUGGUGAAGAUAUUAAGUCUGUUAAAGCUGAAAUGUAAUCAGAGAAAUAUAAUGUAUUCCCUUAGUUUGCUUUUUGUUUUUGAUAUUUGUUUGGCAAAUGCUUUGCUUAGAUUGCUUUUUGUUUUUUGAGAUUUUAUUGGCUUAGUCGUGGGGUAUUGUUUUCUCUUCUAAUUUUUUAUUUUUGUCGUUAUGGGAUUUGAUGAUGGUGUACAUAUACGAAAUUUAUGUAAUAAAGUACUUUCAAUAAAUCAUGGCCGGUUUACUAUUAAUUAAUCAAAUUUAAUUUACUCAAAUUAUUCUUGUACACGAUUAAAAUAAUUUCAAUUCCAGGAUAUAUAUAUACACGCACGCACACACAAAUAAAAUGUAAUUAACUUUCAAAUAUAAAAUAUUUAAAAUAAUCACCGUACUAACAUAAAUAGACGAAAUAAUGCUAAUCUAGCGAAUCCAGUCAUAAUAAUUUGAUUUUAAUUUAUAUUAAUUAUAUCGAACCAUGCUAUAUUAAUAAAGAGCACUUGAGAAUAUAUAUAUAUAUAUAUAUAUAUAGAACAAAUAGAAAAUCAUUGGGUACAGACUCAAUAUUUUCUACUUUAAUAUCAUCACCAUCAAUAUCAGGACUAGAUUCAUUGUCUGAAUUAUCCUGUAAUUGCUUUUGUAAAAGAAGUUGAAUAAUAUCAGAAUCACUUUUUUGUUUUUCUUUUAAAUCUCUGAUUUCACUUUUGAUUUCUUUUAUCUCUUUCUGAAGAUCUUGGAUAUUAGGAAUCAUCUUUUUUGUUUUCUUCUUAUCCAAAAUUUGAGUAAGAUCAUAAGAAUUCUUUUUAACAAUUGGGACUCUAGAAGUCUCGGCUUUAUUAAAAUCCAAUGUUUUCAAAAGUUUAUCAAGGUAUUCCUUUUGAAGAUUUGGAUCAGAAAUAUGCUUUACAAGUUCAAGAAAAGUUUCUUGGUCUUUAGUCAAAACAUUGAUUUUCUUUAAAAAUGAAUCAGAUUCAGAUUCACUACUGCUAGAUGCAGAGUCAUCUGAGUCAAAAAGCUCAUCAACUUGGUAAGGGUCACUGUUAAAUUCAAACAUUUCUUUCUUGAUAAAACCCAUUCUGAACCGGCCUAUUCCACGGCCACAAUUCUAAAAGUUUUGAGCCCAAACCAGUGGGGCGACCUACUCCACAAUUUCAAAACCUUUCCUCUAAACUUUGAAACCCGUUUACCACAUUGUCGGACUUUCUCCUACUGGGAUUACCAACAAGCAUGGUAUAACACCUUUUUUAUCCAAAACCCAAAAAAAUCCCAUUCUUGGUUAUUUUUCUUUAACCCUAAAAUAACCGUCCAAAGCCUUCCAAACUGGUUCCAUCAUUGGUGGAAUUUCUUUGGCCCAAUACCUCAAAUCCUCACUCCAAAUGCCAUAAAUUGCCUAAACCUCUUUAAAGCCCACUAUAUGCCCUCUGACUCAGAGAAAAGAUUUCCCCCCUUUCUCUGUUUUUGUACAAACUUCUUCCUACCAUGGGUCUGGAUGUGGAACCUCCGUUUUCAUACUCAAGAUUCCCAGGUCAUCCUUCAAAGAACCUUUAAAGACAAAUGGUGGUCAAAAUUUGAUGAACAGUCCAAACUGACUGUUAACAUGAUCAAAGAUUGGCUCUCCUCUAAAAACCUUCUCCAACCAACCCUAGAAGCCUCUAAAGCCCAACAGACCUUCUUAACCCAAAAAUCCAAAGCCCAGUCUCUUUUGGCAAGUGCCAAGACAGAAGAAGAAUACUUCAAAGCAAUGGAACAGCUCCUCGCCUCCCGUUCAAAGUCAUCAGUAGCUGACACCUCUGAAGACGAAGACUUAAUUUUAUCUGGUAAAUAUAUUAAAGUAUAUAGGCUGGAAACCCGAACGUGCGGACUAUUGAUCUGUUCUAAGUCAGAUCUGGGUCCAAAGGCAGAUUAACUUCUGCGAUCGAUCUGGUCUAACAACGCCACGUACUUUAAAUAUUUUAAAAAUUUGACCAACCGCGUUCAAAUUUGUUUGAUCAUUGUAUGCUCCAAAACAAAUCUACUUAAUCUAAAGCUGGUAAUCUUAUUUAAAAUUGGAACAACCGCGAUCCAAUUAUUUUAUUAAAGCAAUCAAUAAAGAAGCAUUUUGAAAACACACCCAUCCUUCGAUCCUAUUUCCUUCUGGUAUCAGAGCCAAGGGGAGGAUUGUGUAAAGCAGUUUAGAGUUUUGUGUUAUGAAAACUUGUGUUUUAUUUUGAAGUUUUGUUUUUGUGGUGAAUUUUUACUGGUAGUAAGUCCCGUCCAAGGAUAAGUUUUCCGUUUAGGGCUAUAAAACCAUACCUGUAGCCAUUCUUUCAAAACCACUAAUAGAUCAUAGGUUUUUACCCAUGAAUCCUCUACACUGUAGAACAUCGUCCUUUUCUAGCUCUUCUUCUGGGAAGACUAGUGAUUCAAAGCAUGUUGUGAGUUCAGAAGAAUUCGUUAUUGAGAACUUUGAUAAAGCAAUUGAUUGUUGGGAACUUCCAAAAAUUUCCAAAGAAAAGAUUUACAAAACAAAAAUGCUUGAUCUUUUAAAACAUGAUUAUAUUAUAAAAACUGAAGAAAGAGACAUAACAGACGAUGAUGAUGAUGAAGAGCCCUUCAUUUCUCUUGGAGACGAAAAUGAAGAUGAUUGUUUCGGCAUUUUUUCUCCUAUAAAGCAUUGUAAAUAAUUAUUUAGUUAUUUACUUAAAAAAAAAAAAAAAAAAAAAAAGUAAUUUUCUUUCGGGUGGUCCCUUGGACACAAGUGAGAGCGCACAUGUCUCUUCACCCGUGUUGUAUUUCAUUAUGUAUUUCAAUUUUUGUACAAAGUAGUCUACUGUUCAAAGCUACGGUCAGCCUACUAUUCAAAGCUACGAUCCAAAGUUUACUGUGCACUUAAAGCUCCACUACAGUGAACAGUGCAAAGUUCCAAAGAUUACUGUGCACUCAAAGCUCCGCUACAGUGAACAGUUUACAAAGUUUUGUAUAUAAACCAAGAGGAAGACUCAGACUCCUCAGGUUUUUCAUUUUUCUCUUCUUCUCCUCCUUCUCUCUAGAUCUCUCUCUCUCUCUCUCUUUUGGGAAGUCUGGAUCAAGGCAUCAAGGAAAUCUUUCCUGUCUUGUAAUCUUCCCGUCUUUCAAUCUUCCCUUCUGGAAAGAUUUGAAAAAUUGUAAAGACCAAGACUAUCAAAGCAAAGAUGUAUGUUUAAAUUUCAGUUAUUUAAAUUCGAUGUAAUUUAAAUUUUCGCAAUUUACUUUAAAGCAAUUUACUUUUCUGCAAUUUAAUUUCAUGCACAUUUACAUUAACGCAAUUUAUUUUUAAAGCAAUUUUCUUUUCAAAGCAUGCAAAGCAGACUGGUCUUUAUCAGAUCUGCCAUAAAAUUUGUACGUUCCUCUGAGGCAAAGAGACCGGAUCUCGAUCCUCAGUAAUUGCUUUAAACGUGGUUGUUUCUUUUUAUUGGGCUAAUUCCAGAUUUAAAUUAGAUUCUUUAAGGGGCUUGGGUACAUACACAGUACCAGAUCCGGAUCCCGGAAAUGGUGCUCUGAAGGAAUGGAGGAAGAAGAGAAGAUUUACAACUGAGGAUCGAGAUCCGGUCUCUUUGCCUCAGAGGAACGUACAAAUUUUAUGGCAGAUCUGAUAAAGACCAGUCUGCUUUGCAUGCUUUGAAAAGAAAAUUGCUUUAAAAAUAAAUUGCGUUAAUGUAAAUGUGCAUGAAAUUAAAUUGCAGAAAAGUAAAUUGCUUUAAAGUAAAUUGCGAAAAUUUAAAUUACAUCGAAUUUAAAUAACUGAAAUUUAAACAUACAUCUUUGCUUUGAUAGUCUAGGUUUUUUAUUUUUCUCUUCUUCUCCUCCUUCUCUCUAGAUCUCUCUCUCUCUCUCUCUCUUGGGAAGUCUGGAUCAAGGCAUCAAGGAAAUCUUUCCUGUCUUGUAAUCUUCCCGUCUUUCAAUCUUCCCUUCUGGAAAGAUUUGAAAAAUUGUAAAGACCAAGACUAUCAAAGCAAAGAUGUAUGUUUAAAUUUCAGUUAUUUAAAUUCGAUGUAAUUUAUUUUGAGUGUUUUUUAUUUUGAUAUAGAAUUCAUUAAAGGUGAUAAAAAUUCUGUUCCUGAUUUUCUAACCAGAGAAUUUCUUCAAAACAGAUAAUGCCGCUAAGGAAAGACAAAGGUAAAGCUGUUCACAAAAGUACCGGAUCUCAAGAACCUUCCAAAGAACCCCAGUCAACCCCUUCUAAAGAAAAAUUACUUUCUUCUGCAUGAAAUUAGUACCGGAUCCCGGAAAUGGUGCUCUGAAGGAAUGGAGGAAGAAGAGAAGAUUUACAACUGAGGAUCGAGAUCCGGUCUCUUUGCCUCAGAAAAGAAGGAAUGGAGGAAGAAGAGAAGAUUUACACAAUCCUCCCCUUGGCUCUGAUAAAGACCAGUCUGAUACCAAAUGCUUCUUUAAAAUAUUUUUGUCUUUAAGAGAAAUUGUUAUAUUUGGAUAACAAUCAAAAGAUAUGGGACCUUUACAUAGACUAGAUUCGAUACUACUUAGUAAAGAAUCAUCAAAAGAGAUGAAUCGCCCAUCUCUAAGAACAGCAAGGAUAGAGGUAUCCAAAAUCUGCCUUUGGACCCAGAUCUGACUUAGAACAGAUCAAUAGUCCGCACGUUCGGGUUUCCAGCCUAUAUACUUUAAUAUAUUUACCAGAUAAAAUUAAGUUGCUUUAAACGUGGUUGUUUCUUUUUAUUGGGCUAAUUCCAGAUUUAAAUUAGAUUCUUUAAGGGGCUUGGGUACAUACACAGUACCAGAUCCGGAUCCCGGAAAUGGUGCUCUGAAGGAAUGGAGGAAGAAGAGAAGAUUUACAACUGAGGAUCGAGAUCCGGUCUCUUUGCCUCAGAGGAACGUACAAAUUUUAUGGCAGAUCUGAUAAAGACCAGUCUGCUUUGCAUGUUUAUUUCCUUCUGGUAUCAGAGCCAAGGGGAGGAUUGUGUAAAGCAGUUUAGAGUUUUGUGUUAUGAAAACUUGUGUUUUAUUUUGAAGUUUUGUUUUUGUGGUGAAUUUUUACUGGUAGUAAGUCCCGUCCAAGGAUAAGUUUUCCGUUUAGGGCUAUAAAACCAUACCUGUAGCCAUUCUUUCAAAACCACUAAUAGAUCAUAGGUUUUUACCCAUGAAUCCUCUACACUGUAGAACAUCGUCCUUUUCUAGCUCUUCUUCUGGGAAGACUAGUGAUUCAAAGCAUGUUGUGAGUUCAGAAGAAUUCGUUAUUGAGAACUUUGAUAAAGCAAUUGAUUGUUGGGAACUUCCAAAAAUUUCCAAAGAAAAGAUUUACAAAACAAAAAUGCUUGAUCUUUUAAAACAUGAUUAUAUUAUAAAAACUGAAGAAAGAGACAUAACUCUUUCGGAGCCUUUUGAAACAAUUUAUUUGUUUUCAGAAAAAUCUUUAAAGAAAUUAAAAGAAAAGAAUUUCAAAUAUAUUCACAUUGGUUUAAUCCAAGUAGGAAUAAAACCUUUGACCAAAGAAGGCUUGGAUACCUCUAUCCUUGCUGUUCUUAGAGAUGGGCGAUUCAUCUCUUUUGAUGAUUCUUUACUAAGUAGUAUCGAAUCUAGUCUAUGUAAAGGUCCCAUAUCUUCUGAUUGUUAUCCAAAUAUAACAAUUUCUCUUAAAGACAAAAAUAUUUUAAAGAGCAUGAUUUUACAAAUCCAAACCCAUAAUUAUCACAUGAUUAAGGGAUCCAUCCCAGUUGCAUUAAUUUUUAAAAUUUCCUAUAAAGCCAUGAUUUCUGCAUUUAGCACACAGCAUAAAUACCAGUCGAAGAGAGAUGAGACCCUUCUCUUGCAGACUGAUUUGUCUAAAGCCAACAUGAUCAUUCCAAAAUCGAUCCAAUGGAAAGAUAUCCAUCUUCCAGAUGAAUGGAUCCUUGAAGGAGCCGCCCCACCGGCAAUUCCGAAACAACUUGAGCCAAAUACAGAGUUACAAAAUGUGACCCAGUAUUCCGAUGGUAAAGUCAAACUAUCAUUCAGAAGGUCUACCUCACAUAGAUUUUCUGAUAAAGAAUCGAGCUCAAACAUUCCUUCACUAGAAAGGAAGUUUACAAAAGUACCUUCUGUUAUAAAUCUCCCAUAUCAGAGUCAACCUAGGUUUUCCACUUCGGAUAUACCUAGCUCCUCCAUCCGUUCCGUUGACUAUGCCACAAGUGUUCCUCAUCCUAUAUACACUAGUAGUCAACAUGUGCAAAGACAGGAAGAGAAGGAACCUUCUCCUCCAACAUCUCCUACGUUUUCUGCUGUCACAGAAAAUGUCAUUAAUGUCAUUGAAAAAGAAUUUGAAUUAGAUAAAGCCUUUCUGCAUAACGAUUUUUAUUCAGAAAUAAAUAAAGAAAAAAGAACUUGGUUUUUUAAACAUUUUUUAAACCAAAGAAAAGAAAUCCAACAAACUUAUUAUGAAUUUGUGAAUUUUCAUAAAGUUCAUAUAUUGUUUUUUGAUUGGUUCGAAAUAUAUUCUUCUGAGAACAAUAUUGAUUAUCCUUUUAAAGAGUCAAACCCUAUAACUAUUAGAAAGAAAAUUCCUGAAUGGAAACUUUCUGAUAAUGAUAGGAUCAUAGAGUCUGAUCAUCCACCUCUUAGGAGUAUAACCAUAGAUCAUGGUGAACCUCCUAUUGAGAUUAAAGCAUCCCCUUACAAAAUCCCAAGACCAAAUGAUUCUGAUGCGAAUUUAAGUAGUAUUAUACAACAGAAUAAUUUCUGUAAUACUAACCUAAAUACAAUUGGAAAGCAAUUGGCUCGUAUAGAAAACCAAUUUCAAAAAUCUACUAUAUCUGUUUCUCCUAUUCCAAUGUCUAUUCCUUCAAAAUCGGAUUCUGACAAAAAGCUUAAGGAACCUAUUUUCAAACCUUUUCAGGUUUCGAAAACUAGCCAAAGGCUUGUUCAAGAGUCAAAAUCAGAUUUUGCUAAAGCCAUUAGAGAACAACUAGAUAGUAUAGAAGCUGCUUCUUCCUCGUCUAGCAAACUCCAGAUAGCCCCCGAUACCCCCCAAUCUAGCAAGAUUGGAGUAUUGGAUCUUGAUGACCAAAGUUCUAUAGCCUCUUCUGACUUAGAAGCUUUCAAAGAAGAACCUUCUACUCCUAAAGCCAACAAAAUCCACUGGGAAUUAGCCCUUCCCACUGUCAAGACCCCACCAGAUCUAGCAAUAGAUAAUAGACCUAGUGCAUUAAAUCAAUCCCGAUAUAAUGCAUCUUCAGUCUAUGAGUGGAAUAUUGACGGCAUGUCUGAGUACAAUAUCCUUGGAUUGUUGCAACAAAUGACAAUGGCAGCUAAUGCUUAUAAAACCCAAGCAGGAACUUCUGAUCGUGCCAUAUCGGAAAUCCUAAUUGCUGGUUUUACUGGUCAACUAAAAGGUUGGUGGGAUCAUCUUCUCACUAAUCAGCAACAAUUUGACAUUCUAAAUUCCGUCCAAAAAGAUGAAAAUGGAGCCUCUAUUCUUGAUGAGUUCAACAACCCUAUCCAGGAUGCUGUUGCUACUCUUAUUCUAACCAUUUCCCUCCAUUUCAUCGGUGACCCUUCUCACCUUCGUGAUAAAAACGCUGAGUUACUACAUAAUUUGAGAUGUAGAAAACUUAGUGAAUUUCAGAGUUACAAAACCUCUUUCCUUACCAGACUAUUUCUAAGGGAUGAUGCAAAUCAUAUUACUUGGAAAGAAAAAUUUCUUGCUGGAUUACCUACCCUUUUAGGUGAAAAGGUAAGAAAUUCCAUCAAAGCCCUUUACGAUAACCGUAUUCCUUAUGACGAGCUCACCUAUGGUGAACUAGUCAGUUUUGUCAACAAAGAAGGUUUAAAGAUUUGUCAAGAUUUGAAAUUACAGAAACGUCUUAAGUGGGAACUUAAGAAGUCUAAACAGGAAUUAGGCGGUUUCUGUAAGCAAUUCAAUUAUGACCCCUUUAAAACUUCCUUUUCCAAAGAUUGUAAUGGAGAAUGUUCUACAAAACCUCGUAAGAAACAUUACAAAUCUAAACAUUUUAGAAAACCCUUUCGUGAUUUUAGAAAAUUUCCUUAUAAGAAACCUUCGAAGCCUUAUAAGAGACAUAGUUUCUCUAAAAAGAAAGAUUUCAAAGCCAAACCUAAUACUCCAUUCAACUUCAAGGAGGCCACAUGUUUCAAAUGUGGUAUGAAAGGUCAUACUGCAAAAUUUUGCAGAAUGAACAAAAGACUCCAAGAACUUGACCUCAAUGAGGACAUCCUUUCUAAAAUAGCCCCUCUUCUUGUCGAAUCUUCUGAUUCUGAGUCUUCCAUGUCGGGAGACAGUGACCCUUACCAAGUUGAUGAGCUUUUUGACUCAGAUGACUCUGCAUCUAGCAGUAGUGAAUCUGAAUCUGAUUCAUUUUUAAAGAAAAUCAAUGUUUUGACUAAAGACCAAGAAACUUUUCUUGAACUUGUAAAGCAUAUUUCUGAUCCAAAUCUUCAAAAGGAAUACCUUGAUAAACUUUUGAAAACAUUGGAUUUUAAUAAAGCCGAGACUUCUAGAGUCCCAAUUGUUAAAAAGAAUUCUUAUGAUCUUACUCAAAUUUUGGAUAAGAAGAAAACAAAAAAGAUGAUUCCUAAUAUCCAAGAUCUUCAGAAAGAGAUAAAAGAAAUCAAAAGUGAAAUCAGAGAUUUAAAAGAAAAACAAAAAAGUGAUUCUGAUAUUAUUCAACUUCUUUUACAAAAGCAAUUACAGGAUAAUUCAGACAAUGAAUCUAGUCCUGAUAUUGAUGGUGAUGAUAUUAAAGUAGAAAAUAUUGAGUCUGUACCCAAUGAUUUUCUAUUUGUUCUAAAACAAAUCACCACAAGAAAGUAUUUGAUUAAAGUCACUUUAAUCUUUUCUGAUGAUUUUGCAAUGGACGCUAUUGCCCUUUUUGAUACAGGCGCCGAUUUAAAUUGCAUUAGAGAAGAUAUCGUCCCCAAAAGAUUUCAUGAAAAAACAAAAGAAAGGCUUUCUGCUGCCAAUAAUUCAAAAUUGAAUGUCAGUUCCAAGGUUGAAGCCUCAAUCUAUAAUGAUGGUUUUGAUUUUAGAACUUCCUUUGUUCUCACAAAUGAUAUUCAUCAUGCCAUUAUUUUGGGAACUCCUUUUAUAAAUCUCAUAACUCCAUAUACUGUCAAUUAUGAUAGUAUAUCUUUCAAAGCAAAAAACAAGAAACUUGUUUUCCCUUUUAUUGAAAAGCCUAAAACAAGAAAUUUGAAUAUUGUUAAAGCCUGUUCUAUUUAUCAAAAUAGAAUAAACAAUUUACUUAAAUCAAAACAGUGUGAUCUAAUGUUUUUACAAAAAGAUUUGAACUUACAAAGAGUUGAAAGCCAAUUACAAAGUGAUUUCAUUAAAAGAAAAAUUUCUGAUUUCAAGACUCUUAUUGAAGAAGAAAUUUGUGCUGAUCUACCUUCUGCUUUUUGGAAUAGAAAGCAACAUUUGGUAGAUUUGCCUUACGAAAAUUCUUUUGAUGAAAAACAGAUUCCGACCAAAGCUCGUCCAAUUCAAAUGAAUAUGGAUUUAGAAAAACAUUGUAAAAAUGAAAUCAAAGAUUUGGAGUCUAAAGGACUCAUCGUAAAAUCCAGGUCUCCUUGGUCUUGUGCUGCUUUUUAUGUUAACAAAAACUCCGAAAUUGAAAGAGGUACCCCAAGACUAGUUAUAAACUACAAACCUUUGAAUAAAGCUUUAAAAUGGAUUAGGUAUCCUAUACCUAAUAAAAAAGAUUUACUCCAAAAACUCUGUUCUGCCUUUAUUUUUUCAAAAUUUGACAUGAAAUCGGGUUUUUGGCAAAUUCAAAUUCAUCCAAACGACCGUUACAAAACCGCUUUCACUGUUCCAUUUGGACAAUACGAAUGGACUGUUAUGCCCUUUGGUUUAAAGAAUGCACCCUCAGAAUUUCAAAGAAUUAUGAAUGAUAUUUAUAAUCCUUAUUCUGAUUUUUGCAUUGUUUAUAUUGAUGAUGUUUUGAUAUUUUCAAAUUCAAUCGAUCAACAUUUCAAACAUUUAAAGACUUUUUAUUUUGCUACAAAAAAGGCUGGACUAGCCCUUUCUAGUUCAAAGAUUUCAUUAUUUCAAACGAAAAUCAGAUUUCUUGGUCACUAUAUUUCAAAAGGAACAAUCACCCCUAUUGAAAGAUCACUUUUAUUUGCUGAUAAAUUCCCUGAUAAAAUUCUUGACAAAACUCAAUUACAAAGAUUUCUUGGUAGCCUAAAUUAUGUUCUUGAUUUCUGUCCCAAUAUCAAUAGGUUGUCUAAACCUUUGCAUGAUCGUUUAAAGAAAAAACCUGCUCCAUGGACAGAUGAACAUACUAAAGCUGUUAAAUUAAUAAAGAGUUCUGUUAAAAGCAUCCCAUGUCUAUAUCUUGCAAAUCCUGCAUUUCCUAAAAUUGUUGAAACUGAUGCAUCUGACUUAGGAUAUGGAGGUAUAUUAAAACAAAAAGAAAAUGAUAGAGAACAGAUAGUACAAUAUGUUUCUGCACAUUGGAAUGAUUGUCAGAAGAAUUAUUCUACUAUUAAAAAAGAAAUUCUUUCCAUUGUUUUAUGCAUUACAAAAUUUCAAAGUGAUUUAUUAAAUCAAAAAUUUUUACUUAGAAUUGAUUGCAAAGCUGCAAAACAUGUUUUAGAAAAGGAUGUUGAAAACAUUGCAUCAAAACAUAUUUUUGCACGUUGGCAAGCUAUUUUGAGUGUUUUUGAUUUUGAUAUAGAAUUCAUUAAAAGUGAUAAAAAUUCUGUUCCUGAUUUUCUAACCAGAGAAUUUCUUCAAAACAGAUAAUGCCGCUAAGGAAAGACAAAGGUAAAGCUGUUCACAAAAGUACCGGAUCUCAAGAACCUUCCAAAGAACCCCAGUCAACCCCUUCUAAAGAAAAAUUACUUUCUUCUGCCCUACCCAUCAAAUCAUGGAUUGAAUUGGUUGAAGAACAUGAAACCCAAUACAAACCCAUCUCUUCUGAUGAUCAAGUAAAGCAUUGGAUGAGUUCCAUUACAAAAUCUCCCGAGCUCAUGCUCGCUCUACAAAACCUUUCCCAGAGCCAAAACUCUCCUAAAAAAGAGAUUGAGAGCAUAUCCAUAUCUAAAGAAAUUACAAAACCCUCCUCUCAAAAUGUUGUUGUCUCUGCUGAAAGCUCCUCUUCCCAAAUUAUGCUUUCUCAGCCAACACCUUCAAAGAAAACCUCCGAUUGGUUUGAUAAAACCCAUUUUCAAAAUAUUCUUUCUAUGGAAGAUGGAUUUUACCAUACUGAUCCUUUUCAAAGCAUUUCAAAGUUUUUUCCCAAAGGCUGGUUUUUCAAACCAUGGGAUUUGACAAAACCCCAGUCUUAUUAUCAAAGCAUUUUAGAAAUAACUGAAUCAGUUAAAUUCAAACAUUUCUUUCUUGAUAAAACCCAUUCUGAACCGGCCUAUUCCACGGCCACAAUUCUAAAAGUUUUGAGCCCAAACCAGUGGGGCGACCUACUCCACAAUUUCAAAACCUUUCCUUUAAACUUUGAAACCCGUUUACCACAUUGUCGGACUUUCUCCUACUGGGAUUACCAACAAGCAUGGUAUAACACCUUUUUUAUCCAAAACCCAAAAAAAUCUCAUUCUUGGUUAUUUUUCUUUAACCCUAAAAUAACCGUCCAAAGCCUUCCAAACUGGUUCCAUCAUUGGUGGAAUUUCUUUGGCCCAAUACCUCAAAUCCUCACUCCAAAUGCCAUAAAUUGCCUAAACCUCUUUAAAGCCCACUAUAUGCCCUCUGACUCAGAGAAAAGAUUUCCCCCCUUUCUCUGUUUUUGUACAAACUUCUUCCUACCAUGGGUCUGGAUGUGGAACCUCCGUUUUCAUACUCAAGAUUCCCAGGUCAUCCUUCAAAGAACCUUUAAAGUCAAAUGGUGGUCAAAAUUUGAUGAACAGUCCAAACUGACUGUUAACAUGAUCAAAGAUUGGCUCUCCUCUAAAAACCUUCUCCAACCAACCCUAGAAGCCUCUAAAGCCCAACAGACCUUCUUAACCCAAAAAUCCAAAGCCCAGUCUCUUUUGGCAAGUGCCAAGACAGAAGAAGAAUACUUCAAAGCAAUGGAACAGCUCCUCGCCUCCCGUUCAAAGUCAUCAGUAGCUGACACCUCUGAAGACGAAGACGAUGAUGAUGAUGAAGAGCCCUUCAUUUCUCUUGGAGACGAAAAUGAAGAUGAUUGUUUCGGCAUUUUUUCUCCUAUAAAGCAUUGUAAAUAAUUAUUUAGUUAUUUACUUAAAAAAAAAAAAAAAAAAAAAAAGUAAUUUUCUAUCGGGUGGUCCCUUGGACACAAGUGAGAGCGCACAUGUCUCUUCACCCGUGUUGUAUUUCAUUAUGUAUUUCAAUUUUUGUACAAAGUAGUCUACUGUUCAAAGCUACGGUCAGCCUACUAUUCAAAGCUACGAUCCAAAGUUUACUGUGCACUCAAAGCUCCGCUACAGUGAACAGUGCAAAGUUCCAAAGAUUACUGUGCACUCAAAGCUCCGCUACAGUGAACAGUUUACAAAGUUUUGUAUAUAAACCAAGAGGAAGACUCAGACUCCUCAGGUUUUUCAUUUUUCUCUUCUUCUCCUCCUUCUCUCUAGAUCUCUCUCUCUCUCUCUCUCUCUUGGGAAGUCUGGAUCAAGGCAUCAAGGAAAUCUUUCCUGUCUUGUAAUCUUCCCGUCUUUCAAUCUUCCCUUCUGGAAAGAUUUGAAAAAUUGUAAAGACCAAGACUAUCAAAGCAAAGAUGUAUGUUUAAAUUUCAGUUAUUUAAAUUCGAUGUAAUUUAAAUUUUCGCAAUUUACUUUAAAGCAAUUUACUUUUCUGCAAUUUAAUUUCAUGCACAUUUACAUUAACGCAAUUUAUUUUUAAAGCAAUUUUCUUUUCAAAGCAUGCAAAGCAGACUGGUCUUUAUCAGAUCUGCCAUAAAAUUUGUACGUUCCUCUGAGGCAAAGAGACCGGAUCUCGAUCCUCAGUUGUAAAUCUUCUCUUCUUCCUCCAUUCCUUCAGAGCACCAUUUCCGGGAUCCGGAUCUGGUACUGUGUAUGUACCCAAGCCCCUUAAAGAAUCUAAUUUAAAUCUGGAAUUAGCCCAAUAAAAAGAAACAACCACGUUUAAAGCAACUUAAUUUUAUCUGGUAAAUAUAUUAAAGUAUAUAGGCUGGAAACCCGAACGUGCGGACUAUUGAUCUGUUCUAAGUCAGAUCUGGGUCCAAAGGCAGAUUAACUUCUGCGAUCGAUCUGGUCUAACAACGCCACGUACUUUAAAUAUUUUAAAAAUUUGACCAACCGCGUUCAAAUUUGUUUGAUCAUUGUAUGCUCCAAAACAAAUCUACUUAAUCUAAAGCUGGUAAUCUUAUUUAAAAUUGGAACAACCGCGAUCCAAUUAUUUUAUUAAAGCAAUCAAUAAAGAAGCAUUUUGAAAACACACCCAUCCUUCGAUCCUAUUUCCUUCUGGUAUAUAUAUAUAUAUAUAUCCAACAAGUAAAAUUUCAAAACAAUAUUUGCCAAAGUCUGAUAAUGAGAAUAUAUACACACACAUUUGUAACCGUACAACAGAAGGAUAAAUAAAAGAAAAUGAAGUUUCAACAGCUGAAUAAUGCAAACUCAUUUUUUUAAAAGUAUUUUAUUGUUUAAUUAAAAAAUUCGAAAACCCAUUAUAUACAUGAUAAAGACUCACCGACGCCGAACCAUAUUAAUUUAAAUUAAUUUUCAACUGAGAUUUGAAUUUUGAAAUUACAUACACAAACACGCCCAAUUUUUUUAAAAAAGUACUAACAAUAAAAUAUUUCAACCGUCCUCUGUUUAGCCGCCAAAAACCGAUUUACCAUUUAUUACAACAAAAGGUGUACAUAGACGGAUAAAUAAUCCAAUCAUAAUAAUUUGAUUAUCAAUAUAUUAAUUAACCAUGUCCAAUCAUAAUAUUUAAUAAUCACCAAACUAACAAUUCGCAAGUUAGAUUAUACGUAUGAGAAUCUAGCAAGUCCAAUGAUAAUAAUUUGAUUUUUAUUAUAUUAACCGUGUCCAAUCAUGCUAUUUUAAUAAAGAUCACUCGAAUAUUUGUUUGUCCAACGGGUAAAAUUUCAAAACAAAUUUUGCCAAAGUCCUCCUCGGCUAAUUAAUUCAUACAUUAAUACAGUCCUCUUCUGCUGAAUAAUGCAAACCCGUUACGUUAUUCCACCAUUUCUUAAAUUUAAAGCAUUCCACCAUUUAAUAAAAAAAUUCGAAAACCCAUUAUAUACAAUACAAAAUGCCCACCGACACCAAACCAUAUUAAUUUAAAAUAAUUUUCAAUUGAGAUUUGAAUUUUAAAAUUACAUACACAAACACACCCGAUUUAAAAAAAAUAAUAAUAAUGCUAACAAUAAACCAAUUUAUAAUCUAUUUCAACAGAAGGUAUAUGGGUCAACAAGUCCCAAUAUUGUCCUCCAUCCUUUCUGCACUUCUCUGCUAUCAACGGACAUCCCACGAUCUGUAAUAGCAAAAGUGAGGAAGGCAGGCCCUUCUCCGGAAAGUAUUUGAGCUUGGGACAAUUCACGAGAACCAAUUCAGUGAGGUUUUGAAGAUCAACAAUUGAAGAAGAUAGGCGUUCCAGAUUUGGAAAAUUGUAAAUCGCCAGAGAUGUUAGAGAGGCAGUAAGAGGAAGCGCGGUCCCUAAUCUUUUGUCCUCUAGUGGAAAUGACACCAUCACCGUGUCGUCAUCACAUCCUUGGAUUUGUAGACGUCGCAGAGAGGAGAAUCUGUGAAAUCCCCGGCCCCGCUCAAUCAUUGACUUCCAAAUCUCCAUAUUACCCCAAAUACCAAGUGACUGAAGGUUGGUGGGAAGGCCAUCAUCUUCUUCAAGGCUUGGAAGCGCACCUCCUAUUGUUAAUUCUUGAAGAGAGGUCAGUUUGUGCAAUCCCUUGGGUAAGGCCUCUAGUCUCUUACAAUCAUGUAUCUCCAGCGUCGUGAGUUUCGCACAAGGCAAUCCCCCUUCGGGAAAGGACACCAGAUUUCCACAACUCUGUAUAGUAAUCCCUCGAAGCUGCCGGAGAUUAUGUAAACCACUCGGUAAAAUUUUGAGAUUUUCACAAUAAGAAAUGUAGACAUCUUCAAGAGAUGUGUUGUUGUCCAACCUUUCUGCUAUUGACUCCAGCUUUGAACAUCCACAAACAUGAAGGGACUUAAGAGACGGAGGUAGAUUGCCAACUUCAAGGGACUCAAGCGUGGCAGGUAACUCGUUUUUUGAAAAUAUACAUGUCAAUGAUGGACAUUCCCAAAUAACUAAGUGCUCAAGAAGAGAUGAGGUGUACCUUCUGCCACUGCUACACUGGAUGCCCUCUUCCACUGUCAAAGUCCUUAUAUUAUCGCAACGCCAGAUCGUCAACUCCUUAAGGCUUGAUGGUAGCUGGACAGCAGCAAUAUAUGUCAACGAACGGCAACCCUCAAUAUACAAGAUCUCCAGAGACGAAUUGGUGUCGCACAUCCAUGCCUCUGGUAACGAUUUCACUGCAUCACAAUGCCUAAUCUGAAUUUUCUUCAACUUGGAAGGCAGAGCAACCUCAGGAAAGGAAACAAGGGAACUGCACUUGUAGAUUUCUAUCUCUCUCAAGGAACUCAGGCUGAGCGAUGAUUGUGGCAGCUUCACAAGGCCUUCGCAUUCGCUCAAUCUUAGAUAUUCGAGUCUGCAUGACAACUCGCAGAGCUGCUGUUGUUGGUCUUUCUCUUCCUCCGCCACCAAGGAUUGAAGUUUGGGACAGCUUGUAAUCGUCAGACUUUUGAGAGAGCAAAUGUCCUGCAGUAAUUCGUUAUGGCUCUUCCAUAUACAUGUUUCAUUUUUAAUAUUAUUUAUCUCCAAUUCUUCCAGUUUUGGUAUUCGCGGCUUCAAUGGCCCUGCGAGAAACACUUGAUUUGAUGUAUCUCUACAAACCACUGAAUUCUGUGAGCCGAGAUGAUCAGUUGCACUUCUCCACACAACCUUUUUACAUCCACCAAUUUGCAAGUUACAAAGAGCUGGAAGACUCGUAACUGAAACUGACAAUUCCUCACAUCCUCCAAUAACAAGCAUCUCCAAUGCAGGAAGGCAUUCUGGCAAUGUUCCUCGCAGUUUAGAACAUCUUAAAAUGCGAAGCUCUCUCAAUUUAGGAAACCCUUCAACUCCCUGACUAGAUCUAAGAGGAAUCCAGUCUUCCCAUUCUUGCAUGUUUUCAAAACGAAGAGUCUCCAAGCAUGGAAAAGGAAUCGGGGAAUCAUUCCCAUAGAACUCUGAACCCAAACUCUUUACUCUACUCAUUCCUCGCACUUCAAGAUGCUUUAGAGAGGGUAGUUGCCCGACUGACGGCAGGGUAGUACACACGCCGCAAUCUUCAAAAGUUAAGGUCGCUAAAUUUGAGAAUGAGGAAUCUCCCAACCAAGUUGGAAAUGCUUUACCUCCAUAGCCACAGAUACCAAAUUGUUCCAGAUUUUUAUGGGGUUUGAGCAUGUCAAGCACACCCAUUUCAGUUUCUGCCUCCCUUGAAGAUGAACCAUCGGUACUGCGUGUCCAUCGAAGCAAUAAUUCUCUAAGAUUCUCCUUUACAUCCAAUUGAGCCUCCUUCGCAUUACCAACGUCUUUUACGUUCUCCAAUUUUGAAAUUUCAAGUGUCCCACGAAGAUGCGUCAACAACUUUAGCUCUGGUAACCUCGAACCGCUGUCUUUUCCCACAACAAAAUUAGACAGCGUCUGAAGACAAGUCAACUUGCCAAUUCCUAGUGGAAUCUCCUCCAAUGAAUCUGUAUUUGAAUUAUUGAGAUGAUGCAAUUUGAUGAGAUUUCCCAUGUCUGCACACAACUUCUUCAGUCGCCGACAGCCCUCCAACAAAAGGGUGUGCAAAUUGUAAAGCGUGUUGACUGAUUCAGGCAGAGUUCUAAUCUCAGUUCCAGAUAGGUUGAGGUACCUUAAAUACCUCAAAUCACCAAUUGAAUCCGGUAGCUCAGAGAUGCUAUAUCCACGCAAAGAGAAGACCCUCAACCGUUGGAGUUUGAACAACUUAGGAAGAAUGCUAUGGGCCAAGUAUCCGGGCCCGCUACCUAACAACGUUACUGGUAAAAGAGUUCCCAAAUGUUGCAUAUCGUACAACUCCUCAAACCUUUUAACACCAUCGUAAUCUCCACGAAUGUACGACAGAUGACGAAGAUUUCUUGGAAAACUUUGUUGCUUGUCAACCUCUGAGGUAUACUCCAUUAUGAAGUACAUUUCCCCAGCAGCCCAUUGAGCAAGGUCAUUGACGAGAUCGUGCAUCACAAAUCGUGAUAUACUGUUGCUUGAUUGUUGGAAGAAAGAUCUUGAACGUAGCUCUUGAAAGAACUUUCGACCUAGAUCUUCACUGGGAUUCUCACUCUCUCCGUGAUCCAAGAAACCCGAAGCACACCAUAAUAAAAUUAUCUCCUCCUCUUCAAAUUCAUAAUCCUUUGGAAACAAUGAGCAGUAUGCAAAGCAUUGUUUCAAAGGUGCCGAAAGAUAAUAGUAGCUCACUCUAAGCGCCGGUAUAAUGUCACAUCUCUCUUCUGGUAAAUCCCAUAUCUUGCAACUGAGCACACCUUCCCAAUCACUCCGGUCAAGUUUACCACGUAAGAGACCACCAAGAGUUUUCGCAGCUAAGGGCAAGCCGUUGCAUUUGAUCACUAUCUUCUUGCCAAUUUCCUCCAAUGACUUGUUUGAACUGAAAUCUCUUGUCCCCAAAGAGUGUUGAGCGAACACAGACAGACAAUCAUCAUUUGACAACUUUUUCAAUUGAUAAGCCGGAGCAGUCCCCAUGAUGGCUGCAACCUCUUGAUUACGAGUUGUGACAAUAAUCUUACUUCCUGGUGCGCCAGCUUCAAACGGACGGCUCAUGUCAACCCAGUCAUUGUAAUUCUCAUUCCAAACGUCGUCUAAAACAAGCAAAAAUUUCUUUUGAGAUAACUUCUUCUUCAGCUCCUCUUGAAGCAAAUUUAAAUCACUGUCAUCAAUAGCCUGCUUGGUAACGGAUCUUAGAAUUGUUUUUGUUAGCCCCUUAACGUCGAAAUCCUCAGAGACACAAGUCCAUGCCUUGAGAUCAAAAUGACCCUGCACUCGAGCAUCAUUAUAGACAAGCUGAGCGAGAGUGGUUUUACCCAGCCCGCCCAUGCCUAUGAUAGGAAUAACAGAGAAUUCACCAUCAUUUCUCAAAUCAUCCCUCAACAACAAUUCAACAAUUUCCUUCUUUUCUGUUUCCCUGCCAUAUACCUUGGCUUCAUUCACCAAAGAGGUUGUGGGUAGUCUUUGCCUGUCUUUUUUGGAUCUCCCAGCUGAACUUUCUUUCAAACAAAGCGAGUCUUUCUGUGUUACAAUAUCUUGAAAUCUGUCGUUGAUCUCUUUGAUUUUGGACAUUAUGGCGUAAUCGAACUGAAUCGAUUGUGGAGUAAAAGUGGUGCAGCAAUUAGGAAUGAGCUUCCGAAACUUAUUUGUUCUUGUACGACUGCUACUGGAUUGAUCAUGAGCCGCAGCUGGAUCUCCAUUUCCAAGCAGCAACUUCCUCCGGGAAGCCUCAGUUUGAAACUCAUCCAACAAGUCUUCAACAUCAAAAGCCAAGUUCUGAAGCUCGCCAAGCCACAACUUCACAGACUGAGCAGUCUUCUUCUCCUCAGCAUCAGCAAGCACCGCCUUGAUCAUCACCAACAUAUUCUUCCACUUCUUUAGGUCGGCUUGGAUUUGCUCUUGGCGUGCAAACAGCCGAAUCCCCUCUGAAGCUAACUUAUUGACCAGCAAAUCAACGGACGCCGUAAGGAUUGCCUCUCCGAUGAUUGACAUUUUUUUUUGUUUCUCAAAGAAAGAAACAGAAUUUUGAGUUUUGAAAAGCAAAAUGAGAAAAUUGAACAAUAAGUGUGGAGGGUCAAGCAAAAUGCGCGUAACAAGUCUUCCGCUUGUUGUUUAUUCCACUAAAGUGAAAAUAAAAACAGAGCCCACCACCCAUUAAUAAUUGAGCAAUUCACCAAUCACCAGUCACCACCACUCGUUACCAUGAAUAUAAUAAAUUGCACCUUGAUAUUUGCAGGGUCCAGCAACAUUGACCCAGUGUCCGGGUAAGUGCUGAAUAACGAGGAAAAUGGAAUGUAUCCGCUACGAACCUUCGCUUUGCAAGUCUUCAAACUCAUAAACCAAGAUAAAUCAAAACGUUUCUCUCUCUCUCUUUUUGCCAUAUAAUUACUUUAUUUAUUGAAUUAAUUUCCAUGCUAAAAGGAAGACUUAAAACUGCACUACAAUUUUUUAUAAUCACAAUGAUAAUUUCUACUAUCAUGUUAUUUUAAUGUCGUGUUAAAAUAAAUUAUUACAAAGUUUUUUUUAUGAACACUCUUUUCAUUUAUAAAUUUUUUAAUUUGUAAUAUUUUUCUCACUCUUUUAGUCUUAAUAUUUGUAUUUCUCUCUUCAAACUUUCUUUAUUAUUUAAUUUUUAAAAAAAAAUUUAAAAAAAAAAUAUUAUACUUAAAAAAUAAUGAAUAUUUUAUGAAUCUAAUACAAGCCUGUAUUAUUUUUGACAAUGAAAGAGCACGCGAAAAAUCUCACUCAUAGAAAAUUUAGUGAAAGGCAUUUGAAUGUGCGGCCACAUUUUCCGAACGAAACGAUAAGGCUUUAGCCUUAUAAUUGCAAUUAGUUUGUCUUGUAACUAAAUUAUUGCCGACAAACACCAUCAUGCUGACAAACCGUGCAUGCACGUCCACAAUUACCCACGUCCUCUACUUGUGUGAACCGUGAUUCUCAAAGACUUUGACAUUUGGCUCACUGAUUAUGUGUGCAAUAUUCCCGUAUUUCCCAUUACUUCCCGUACUUUAUGCUUUAUUGUUUUGUAUGUCUUUUGGUGUUUGCGGUGUGGUUAGGGAUGGUAGCGGGUUGGGUCUGGUACGGGUUUGACAUCACUAAACCCGCAUCUACAAAAAAAUUUAAUUACGUAAUUCAAAUUAUAAGUUUAUAACCGUUGUCUAAAAAAACCACAUAAAAUACUUAAUUCUACAUUUUAUCAAUAUAAAUGAGAAAUGAAAAUAUCAACAUUAAAACAAAUACACAAAAUAUAUCAAUUUAACACCAAUUCUCAUAUUCAAUUACCAAAUAAAUAAGUCUAUCACAAGUCGAAGUGCUUUCAAUUUAAUAAGAAAAAAGAGAAAGAGAAAAAAACAAAGAACAACAAAUCAAAGUAGCACCCAGACCUAUUUCAUAGGCUCAUUCAACACUAAGAUCUUAGAAUUAAGAUCUUCAAUUCAUUCAUUACCACUAGCACCCAUUCAACGUGGUUUUUCUAAGCAAAAUAUAAAGUACAAAAUUACAAUAAGCAUAUGAUACUCCAUGCUUUAAGUUAAAGGUCCUUAUAUAAUUUUAUGAAUAAUGUUUUAGUGAAAUUUUAUGAUUAAAGUUAAAAAUACACAAAUAUUAAAAUAAGAAUUUUGGACACUUGCGCAACUAUUUGCCAAAAUUUUUCUCUAUGAAAAUCCACCUGCAACUUGCAGCAGGUUUAAGUUUAUAAUAUCAAACUUGAUUGUAGCUCGCAAAAUUUUUGGAUUUGAGAUAAUUUUGACACCCUAAGUGUAGUUAGUAUUGUAUAUCGUGUGUUUCCAAUUGGCUCUUAUAAAAAGCCUAGAAGUUGUUUGAAUAAUGAGGGAGACAAAUAUUUCCCAAAGAUAUUCUCUUUUUCAAAUUUUUUUCUUUUCUCUAUUAUUGUAACUUCAAAUCCUUAAAAAUUACAUAUUAUAGACAUGAACACAAUAUUUUGAUAUAGUGGCUUUUGGCUUGUCCAGAGAAAUUUAUGAUAGAUUUUGAUGUACUAAGGUUAUGUUUACUAUUGAGAUUUUGGAACUUUUGAGCCACACUUGAAAUUUGUUUAAUUCUAAUAGAGUUGUAGCCUUCGAUAUGUGCUUGGUAUUAAUCAAGUGUUAUGUUUACAGCAGUUAAAGGCAUAUUGAAUCAAAGUCCACUUUUGAUUGAGAUUUUAAAGUAGGUUUUUAAUUUGAUAGCCACUCAAGUUCAAAUAUUGGAACUACAGUGCACCUUUCACUUGCUAGGCUUUAACCAAACAGACGACGUUAUACAAACUUCUAUCCAAUAAGGCAAUGCAAACAAAAGCAAGUGAAUUAAAAAUAAAUAAUUUCUCAUUAAUUUGCAACAAGUAUUAAUAAAGUGCAUGAGAAAAUAUGUCUUUUUUUAAAUGAAAAUAAAUGUGUUAAUUAGUCAAUUUAAAUGGUACGAUGUUUUGAAAUGAUAGAAGCGAUCUGGAGUUUAAAUCUUACUCUUGACGUAAUAUUUAAUAACGAAUUUGAAGAACAAUUAAAAAUUAAAAGAAAAGAAAAAAAUGCUUUCUUUUUUAACGAUGGUAAUUUGUUCAGAUGAUGAAAAUUCUUAGAGUGGUAUAAUAAGUAUUUUUGAGUGUUGCCAUCGCCAAUAAUAUUUAGUUUCCUUUAUAUAGUUAUAUCUCAAGUAACAUUUAAACAGAAGCAAGUUGGAAAUUAAAAAAAAAAAUGAACCAUUGAGAGAAUGAAAAACAAACAAAAAAAAAGUUAAAAAAUUGUAUCUCAAUAAAUUUACUUGAGAGCUACUCUACUGAUAUGUGAAGAGAAAACACAAAGAAUAAUGAUGUAUCUCAAUUAAUAGGACAAUUUUUGUAUUUUUCGUUUAUUCAAGAAUCACGAAACUUCAUUUAAACUUGUUAUUUCAUUGAUAAUAUAUUAACAUUGAACAAUGUAGGGGACAUUCCUUUCCAAUUAUGCCCAUAUAUUAACUAAAGGCCACCAAAAAGUUCAGGGAUACUAUAGUAAUUUAAGUCAACAAUUACUAUGCUUGAAAUCAGCCAAUCAAACUCACUUUAGAAUAAACUGAGAAAUCAAAAUCACAUUCUCCAAUUCUACGAUUUCAAUUCAUCUUCUUUCUUCAACUAAAGAAUUGGUUGUAUCUCGUUUAGAUAAAUAUAAAAUAUAAAUGACGAGGAGACUAGAAAAGUAAAAUCAAAAGAAGAGCACGAGUUUUGUUGAAAAUGACUCUUUUUCAUCAUUGUGCCGGAGUGAAUGUAUCUACAUAUAAACUAAAGAAGCACAUUUGUUUGUAUUAGCUUUUUUAUUGUAUUUUUAAUAAUAAGUCAUUUUUCAAUGAACUUAUAUCAAUUUUUAUGAAAAUAAUAGGUGUUAGUUAGUUGAUUCAAAUGGCAAAACCUCUUGGGAUAGAGCUUGUAAUUUAUUGGCUCAUGAAUUGUCUAAAUUGACACUACCGAAGCCAAAUUAUUGUAUUUGGUUAAAAAAGCUCCUGCUCAGCUUCAACUUUAUUAUUCUAUGAUGUUUGUUAAUAAAUAACAAUUUUAUUGAAAAAAAACAAGACCCCUUGAACUUAUACAAAAGAUUUGGGAUCUGAAUCUGACUCGAAUUUAGCUUGAGGUUGACAUUGUUAGCAUAAUAAUUGAAGAUAGAUUUUUUUAAAUUAAAAAUCAAAAGAUAUUUUUUUUUUUUUGGGUUCACACUAGUUAGUUUUAACUCAUUGUGAGAUUUAAACAAAAGCGGAAUAAUAAAUCUUAACAUCCUGACUCAUGGAUAACAUCUACAUAAGAUAGUAAAAUCUAUUAUAUCUAAAAUAAGAGGUAUGAAGUUUGAAUUUCGCUUACAUAGGUAGUAAGAGAAUCAAAUUAUUGUUAGAUUAAAGUAAUUAAAAAAAUUAUCUGAUAUCCAAAACAGCAUAUCAACAAAAUUGAAAUAAAAGAAAAUUGAAGAGAAAAACCAUUGGGAGAACGAAAAAUUAACACAAGAAAAUUUCGAUAACUAAUUGUAUCAGUGUGCGCCAACUUCACUUAUUAAAACUUGGUUAUUUCAUUUUCAUUGAUAAUCAUUUUGACAACGAUUUUUCUUUCCAGCUAUGCCCAUGAACUAAUAAGAGAACUGCCGAAAAGGUUCGGGGAUAAUAUAGUAAUUUAAAUUAAAAUUUUCUGUGCUUCAAAUCAUCAAAUCAAACUCACACUUCACAACAACAGAGAAAUCAAACUCACAGUUUCUCUCAUUUUUAAUUUGCUAUAUAAAGAUAAAUAUAUAAAUUUAAAUGGCGAGAAGACCGGACGAGGAAUACGAUUACUUGUUCAAAAUGGUAUUAAUCUAAAAAUAAUAAUAUUAAAUAAAACACCUGUAACUUUAAGACAUACAUAUUCUCAAAGCACAAGUGGAGCCGAGAGGCUGGGAGUCGUAAUGGAAAGAAGAAUAAAAUAUAUGAAACUUAUAAUGUUAUUUUUACUAUAUUAUAUUGAUACUUUGUUUUGUUAAUCAUAUAAGUCAAUCAAUAAUUAUUUAAUCAUUGGAAUUAAAACUAAUGUAUUAAUUAAAAUUCAAAAUCUAUUAUAAAAAUAGUAAAUAUUAAUACAAAGAGAUGGACAUAUUACAAAAUACAUUCACUAAAAGUUCUAUUAUACUUAAAAUUUUCAUUCACAAAAAAAAAAUAAUAGUUGAAUACAUGUACAAAAAAAGGGGAUAAAUAAAAAAUAAUAAUAAUAAAUAAUAAAAGGAUAGUUUACAUAAUAGAAAAUAAAUUUAUUGAAUAGGGAUGUUAAUAAUAAAGAAUAAUAACCGAUCAAACUCACUUUAGAAUAAAUUGAGAAAUUAAAAUCACAUUCUCCAAUUCUACGAUUGACUCUUUUUCAUCAUUUUGCUGGAGUGAAUGUAUCUAUAUAUAUUGGGGACCAUAAUAGAAACGGGUAGAACCUAAACGAACGAUAUCUCUUUUUCAUCAGAACAACGAACGAUAUCUCAAGGUCGCCGAAACGUAAAUAAUUAAUCUUAUCUUUCAAUUGAUUUUUUGUGGAGACAGAGACAAUUAAACCCGAGCAGCAAAUAGCCAUAAAUGAUAGGACAAUUAAAUUGGAACUCUCCGCAGACCCACGAUUUAAUAUCUUUAGAUUGUAACGGUUUAACCAAAAAAAAAAAAUCUUGUAAAAUAUUUCUUAAAGAAAUGAAAAAAAAAAAUGUUGAAAAGAAGAACAAAAUUGUGGUCCACGUGUCAUUUCAAAAUAGGUUGCUGGCAUAAACAACCGGCCCCAUCUCGGACAGAUGUUAUUUGAGUGGCUAGUGCGUGUUUCCACUUUUUUGUUUUAGAUGCAACAACUCAUGCACUAUAUAUAUAUAUUAAGAUACAUCUCUUUCGUAUGAAUAAUAUAUAUGUGUGGAAUUCACGCACUGUUCAUAUGAGAGGAAUGUAUCUUACAUGUAUGUAAGAUGAAAGGAUCCAUAAAUUUAAUGUUAUUAGUUUAAAUAAUGGGUGCAACUCAUGUUUUUGAAACAUUAAGAUCUUUAGCCAUUCUGUUACUAUCCCGUAGUUAUUUAAGUUACAAGAGACAGUAAAAAAACAACGUCAUAUUUUAAUUACUUACACUAAAUAAAUUACUCACACUAAUGCCACGACUGCUGCUUGCUUUUUUUCUUUUUUUCGCCCUUUUGCUUUUACUUUUUGACUUUUGCUUUUGGUUUAUAAUAAUAAUAAUAAUAACAACUUUUUAAUUUAAUAUAAUAUUAAAUAAUAUUUUUAUUUUUAAUUUUAUAUUAUAAUUAUUAAUAUAUAACUUAUUAUUCAAUAUUAUUAUAUUAUGUUUUUUAUUUUUACAUUAUAAUUUAUUAAUAAAUUUAUAAUUUAUUAUAACUAAUAAUAAAUAUUUAAAUAUGAAUAAAUUUGAAUAAUAUUAAUUUAAAAUUAAUAAUAAUAUAAAAUAUUAAUACAAUUUAAAUAUAAUAUAAUAUUUAAUUUAAAUUAAUCACAAAAAAUUAAUAUAGUACAAUGUAGCACCAAAUAUUAUACAUUAUUAUUAUAAUACAGUGCUAAUGCAACGCAAUAUAAUAUAAUACAUCAGUAUUAAAAUAAUACAAUCCAACAUAAUAUAAUACAAUGUGUGAAAUGCACCGAAAUGGUAUUACUUUGUUUGUCUUGUUAUUUACCAUUAUUUAAUCUGUAGACCCACUCAUGCUCCUUCUAUGUAACAUAGAUACAAUUUGAGGAAGAUUAUCAGUUUUUUCGAAUAAAAAAUAAUACAUACCACUUACCCUUUAUUGUUUUUAUAAUGUUCAACAAUCCCCUUGAGAUAAAAAAAAAAAAAAAAAGAAGGAAUAAAUAGAUGAUUUACUUGAUAUUGUAUCUUAGAAAUAUAAAAUAUAUAUAUUUAUUAUUAAAAAUAUUUAAAAAUAAUAAAGAGUACAUAAAAAAAUAUCUUAUCCUCAACAACAAGAUCAGACGACGUCAAUUCAGCAAAAUGACUUGAACAAUUUGAAAGUCCAGCAACGGUCACCUCUUGGCACACAUAUGGCAACGUGUGUAGCUUUGGCAAGAGGUCUCCCAAAAGGACUAUUAAGGAAAGAUUGCAAGACAGAACAUGAAAAUAGUAGUACUGAGUCCAUCACAGUCAACUCUUAGAAAUCACAUCCCUGUAUUAAUUUCCAGAAAUAUGUUUGUUCCAUAUUUGCCGUACACGUAUAUAUUCUAUAUCAAUUAAAACUUAACUUAUGUAUGAGUUUUUUUUUUUUUUUUUAAAAGAAAGUAAACCUUUCAUAAAUCACAACACAUCAAAUACAACUUGAAUCUCAGCUUGGAUAGUUCCUUAGAUAGAAGAAGAGUUUCUCCCCAAAGCUAACUUAGAUAGGGCAUGGGCAUAAGCAUUACAUUGUCUUGGAGUAUGAUGGACUGCCACUUUCUGAAAAUCCUUCAACUGAUUUUGGAUCUCCAGAAUUAUCCAAAAAAUUUCUGUUCUAUUGUCCUUAGUGUUGUUUACUAACUGGACCACCUGUAAGCAAUCUGACUCAAUGAUCAAGGAGGCUAAAUUUGCUUCUCUCGCCACCUGAAUUCCCCAUAACAUAGCCUUGGCCUCUGCAACAUUGACCGUUCCCUUUAGAGAAGACUAAUUGAUGCCAGCUGCAAUUACCUUGCCGUUUGUUCCUCUGAUGACUGCUCCCACUCCUGUAGACUGAUCCUUGGCAUUAAUGGCAGCGUCCACAUUGACUUUGAAGACAUUUUUAGGGGGAGGAAUCCACUUCUGCAGCUUCUCUCCACUGGGGUAGGCAAUAUGAGAGGGGUCUGUCCUCCUGACUCUUUGAAAUGCAUCCAAAACAGACUCUGCCUUUGCAGCUGAGAUAUUGGGGGCUAUCUUCUUGCCUUCGAAAAUAAAUUUAUUUCUAGAAAACCAUACAACCCAGCACAAAGCUACCAUUAACUCCAAAUCAACUUUCCUCAACUCAUUGGCCAUUCCUUGCAAAAUGCUAAAAAUGUACUGAGAGUGGUCUUUAAAGCUUGGAACCAUAAAGGGAGAUUGCAGCCAAAUCGAUUUUGCUGCCUUACACUCCAAUAAGGCGUGGCUUAUGGAUUCUAUGCUCUUUCUACACCUUUGACAAUUUGGCUCUUGGAGGACUUUCUUUUUCCACAGAUUUUCUACUGAUGGGAGCAGAUUGUUGGAUGCCCUCCACAUAAAUAUUUUUAUUUUUUCAGGUAGCUUCAGGGACCAAAGGGCAGUCCAAUACUGAGGCUUGCUCUCUGAGUUACUAGGAGCAUCUGGAAAUUUCAUUCUUAAGGCCAGCUGGUACCCACUCUUGACCGAGUAUUCUCCCUUUUUAUCAUAAUGCCGUAAAACUUCAUCACCCAAAUGCUCUUUUGGGAGAGGGAUCUUAAGAAUCAUUGCUGCAUCUACUUCCAAAAAGUGUUGGUUCAGCUUGUCUUCAUCCCAAUGGUUAUCUUCCUUGAUUAGGUCUGCCACCACUGUGUCUGCUGGCAAAGUAGGGGGGAGAUUGGCUUGAACGUAUCCGGCCUUGGCAACCAAUUAUCCUUGUAAACAGAUAUGUUCUUGCCAUUGCCCACCCGCCACCUAAAGCCUUUCUUGAUUACCUCUCUACCCCAAAGAAUGCUUUUCCAGAUGAAUGAAGCAUUGGACCCUACUGAUGCACUUAGAAAGCUGAAGUUCUUGUAAUAUCUUGCUUGAAGGACUCUUGAGAUCAGAGAAUUUGGGUACUGCAGAAGCCUGCAAGCUUGCUUUGCCCCUAAGGCUUGGUUAAAGCUAGUAUGAACAUGUAUGUGUGGGAUUCACGCACUGUUUAUGUGAGAGAGAUAUAUUUUACGUACAUGUAAUAUAUGAAGAUCCAUGAAUCUAAUGUUAUUAGUUUAAAUAAUGGGUGCAACUCAUGUUUUUGAAACAUUAAGAUCUUUAGCCAUUCUCUUACUAUCCCGUGGUUAUUUAAGUUACAAGAGACAGUAAAAAAACAACAUCAUAUUUUAAUUACUUACACUAAAUAAAUUACUCACACUGAUGCCGUGACUGCCGCUUGCUUUUUUUUUUUUUUUUGGCCCUUUUGAUUUUGACUUUUGCUUUUGGUUUAUAAUAAUAAUAAUAAUAAUAAUAAUAAUAACUACUUUUUAAUUUAAUAUAAUGUUAAAUAAUAUUUUUAUUAUUAAUUUUACAUUAUAAUUAUUAAUAUAUAAUUUAUUAUUCAAUAUUAUUAUAUUAUGUUUUUUAUUUUUACAUUAUAAUUUAUUAUAACUAAUAAUAAAUAUUUAAAUAUGAAUAAAUUUGAAUAAUAUUAAUUUAAAAUUAAUAAUAAUAUAAAAUAUUAAUACAAUUUAAAUAUAAUAUAAUAUUUAAUUUAAAUUAAUCACAAAAAAUUAAUACAGUACAGUGUAGCACCAAAUAUUGUACAUUAUUAUUAUAAUACAGUACUAAUACAACGCAACAUAAUACAAUACACAAACAUUAAAAUAAUACAAUCUAGUAUAAUACAAUACAGUGUGCGAAAUGCACCGACAUGGUAUUACUUUGUCUUGUUAUUUACAAUUAUUUAAUCUGUAGACCCACUCAUGCUCCUUCUAUGUGACAUAGAUACAAUUUGAGGAAGAUUAUCAAUUUUUUCUGAUUAAAAAUAAUAUAUACCACUUAUUUUUUAUUGUUUUUAUAAUGUUCAACAAUCCGCUUGAGAUCAAAAAAUUAAAUGAAAAGAAGGAGUAAAUAGAUAAUUUACUUGAUGUUGUAUCUUAGAAAUAUAAAAUAUAUAUAUUUAUUAUUAAAAAUAUUUAAAAAUAAUAAAGAGUACAUAAAAAGUAUCUUAUCCUCAACAACAAGAUCAGACGACGUCAAUUCAGCAAAAUGACUUGAAUAACUUGAAAGUCCAGCAACGGUCACCUCUUGGCGCACACAUGGCAACGUGCGUAGCUUUGGCAAGAGGUCUCCCAAAAGGACGAUUAAGAAAAGAUUGCAGGACAAAUCAUGAAAAUAGUAGUACAGAUAUGCAAUGGCUAAAUUUCCUCGAUUAAGUCCAUCACAAUCAAGUCUUAGAAAUCACACCCCUGUAUUAAUUUCCAGAAAUAUGUUUGUUCCAUAUUUAUCGUGCACGUAUAUAUUGUAUGUAUUGGGAAUAGAAAGAGUGUAUGUAAAAAAUUCUUCAUUCAUCGAUUAAAACUUAAUUUAUGUACGAGGGUUAAGUGUAGUGUUUUUAAAUUUAAAAAGGACAAGUGUCAAUCCACUGAGGCUUGCCUCAAUGGUUAGGGCCACACUCCCUCACAAAGUGGUUUGAUCUCCCGUAGAUGCAUUAUAGAGGUUUAAUUUAAAUUUUUUUUCUCAAACUUUGAGUGAAGACAAUCUUUCUCUCAAAAAUAAAAUUUUUUUAGGAGUUUGACGUCCAUCGAAUAUUUGAGAUGAUUAAAAUUUGAGCGGUGCUAUAUAAAAUAUAAUGUAAACUAAUCUAAAUAAUUAUAUAAUUAUAAAUAUAAUGAACAAUAGUCUCAUACAAAAAAAUGACAAGUGUAGUAAGCCCAUUUAAAUUAACUUAUAUUUGAGGGGAAAAUCUCUGUAUAUCAUAGUAUAUAUUAUAUAUCCAGUCGUGGGACCCAUGCAUGGUUCCAUGUAAUUCGCACAGUUGAACUGGAGACACUGAUUAGUUCGUUGUCUAUUUACCAACUUAUGUACAACUAAGUAAUUGCAUGCACCAUUUGCGACUUAUUUGUCCACCCUGCUUGCAUUGCAUUAACUACGUACCCUGUCACCCACGUCCGCUACUUUUGUGAAUGUGUAUAUAAAUAUAUAUAUAUAUAUAACCAGAAUCAGAAGCAACUUAAGUUUUGAUUACGGUUCACCAGAAGUCACAGCUAGCAAGUGAUCCUUGCAUCAUUUUACUAAACAUACAAUGAAAUUAACCUUGUAAUUUCGGCCUUUGCCAUAGUCGUUUUGUUCAUUAGGUUUAUGUUUAUCAACAUGAUAUAUUGUCAACCAUAAUCACAAUCAAGUUGUUAAUUAUUUUUUAAAUAAUGCGAAGGUACAAGAUUUUGGUCUUUGAGUGUGGAGUUAAAAAUAUCUCACCUCAAUAAACGGUGUUGUGCUCUCAUCAUCGUAACAUUAUUUGUUAAAAAUUAUGUCAAAUAGGAAAGCAGAUUCAAACAUUACUUCAAUUUUCUUUAAGAGCAUAAAAAAAUCGUUAAUAGGCUACUGUUAUUUGUUAGUACGAUUUCACAAAAGGAAGCUAGAGGAAGAUGAAGCUCUCAAGUCAUGUAUGCAUCAAAGUAAGAAACAGAGCUAACGAGAGAUGGACAAGUAUUAACCAUUGUUAUCAGAAAUUAAAUAUAUCAGCAUUUUGUUAGUUCUGGCCAUAUUUUGAAAGAUUGAAACUAUUAGCACCCUAAUUUUCUUUUGAAGCUCCUUUUCUGUCUAAACCUAUUUUAAUUUCCAAAAUAUCUUUUUCCAUUUUUUUAGUUUCUUUCUGAUUCAAAAAAAAAAUCAGUUUCUUAAACAACUCCAACUACAAAUAUUUUUUUACAAAUUUUUGAAUUAUUAAAUCAUAUGUGUGUGUAUAAAUUGAAUAGAAUUAAAAGUGGACUCAAAUGGCUAUUAUGUAAUUUUUUUUAUAAUUAAAGAAAAGUUUAGAAUGCAAAAGUGUGUGUGAGAAAACAAAAAAUAUAAAUCGCCUUUGAUGUAGUUGUAUGGUUGUAAAGAGUUAGAUGGAGAAAUAUAGUAUAUAAUUAAAUUUACUUUGUUCCUUAAAACGGGUAGGUUUUAUAAGAAUUUUCUAGAGGAGUGCCAAUAUUUCAACUUUUUUUCAAAUGAAGUGAUGUCUUGGAAUAAAAUCACUACUCUAUCAUUGCUAUUAGUUUGUCUUGUAUUUCAAUAAUUGCCGACAAGUAUUAAUUGUGAAUAUUAUUAUUUUAAAAAUAUUAUUAUUAUUAUCGUCGUUAUUCUUAACAGCAAUGACUAGAAUUAUAAUAAGAACAAUAACGUUAAUACAAUAAUAUAACAACAUAAUAAUAUUUUAAUUGAGAGGAUAAGAAUAAAAUUAUGAAAUUUAGGUUGGGUAAAAAUAGUAAGUAUGAGGAAAUUAAAUUACCAUUUUUUAAGCUAAACAAUUUAUAAAUUCCACAUAUUUCAUUCUUAUUUCUCUUAUAUUUUAACAAAUAAACAUUAUCAAUCGUUUUAAUAUUUUAAUUAAUAAACACGGCAUUAACUACGGAACUAAAAGAUCCCAAAAAAAAAAAAAAAAACAGAGACGCGUGUAUGUAUUGCUUGUGAAAAAUCUCACCCAUGGAAAACUUUGUGAAAGGCAUUUGAAUGUGUGGCCACAUUUAAUGAACGAAACGAUAACUUUAAAAGAAAGUAUCUACUGUGUUAAUUACUAGGCUUUAGCUUGAUGAUUGCAAUUAGUUUGUCUUUUAAUUAAAUUAUUGCGGACAAACACUACCGCGACCCACGUCCGCUACUUGUGUGAAUGUGUGUAUAAAUAUCCGCAGCAUAUUAUCAAACUUGAAGCGUGAUGAUCUUUAAGUUUUGGUUACGGUUCAUCAGACGUUAGAAGAUAUCUUUCCUAAUUUGAAGAAGAUGGAAACUCCUUAUCCAGGUUCUUAGGUUGAAUGUCAUUUAUAAUUUUUAUUUUAAUAUUAUGUAUUUAUGAAUACAAUUAUUGUUAUGAUUUGUUUAGGUAAAAAUAAAUGGUCUGAGGGUAACCCAAUAACUAUGUACAAUAUUAUUAAUGAUGAAAGUGUGAAUGACAAUUUAGAUUUUAUUCUCGUCCCUCAAUACGGAAAAAAUUUCGACUAUAAUGGUUAAGUGCUAUGUAACUCUUUUGUAUUAUAUUUAAUUAAAUAAAAUGAUGGGUUAUUAUUACUUAUCAAUUAUGUGAGUGUCUCUACUUGAUUUAGUUCAACUUAUAAAAUCUCUUGAGAUAUAUAAAAGAUUUUCUUUGUUCACUUUCAUGUACGGCGUCUUCUUGUAAAAAGAAAUUAAUAAAAAAAAUAUCAUUCUCUGCAAUGUAUUGACUAAGUUAGUGUAUUCAUGUUAGCUUAAUUGUGCUCUCUCUCCUUGGGUUUUUUUUUUUAAAAAAAAAAAAACUCGACGUAUUGUUGGUUAGCUAAUUCUUGCAGCAAGCAAGUGAUCGAUCCUUUUCUUUCCCCUACUGCUGUAGCAUCAAAUCCUUACAAUUACAUAUCAAGUGGUAUUCGACCCGUCAAAUGAUCCAUGGAAACACGCAACAAAUCAAAUGCUGAAUUUUGCGAAGAGAUUCACGAAAUCCUUGCUAGACAUGAGUCUAGUUUUGACCAAGUUCACGUCACCCAUCAGCUGCGGGUUUGAAUGGUACCUAGUGGAUAUUUUGUGAGUUCCCACUAAUAAAAUCACAAUUGCAACAAAACUUAAAAAUUUAAAUUAUGUAAUUCAAAUUAUAAAUUUAUAAUCAUAGCCUAAAAAACCACAUAAAAUACUUAAUUCUAUAUUUUAUCAUUGUAAAUGAGAAAGGAAAGUUUUAAUAUUAAAAUAAAUACACAAAAUGUAUCAAUUUAACACAAAUUCUCAAAGUUAAUUACCAAAUAUAUAAGUUUAUCGCAACUCAAAGUGCUUUCAAUUGAAAACGAAAAAAGAGAAAGAGAAAAAAAAUAAAGAACUACAAAUCAAAGUAGCAGCCAUGACCCAUUUUGCAGUCUCAUUCAAUACCACUAGCACCCAUCCAACACAAUUUUUCUAAACAAAGUAUAAAGUACAAAAUUACAAUAAGCAUAUCAUACUCCAUGCUUUAAGUUAAAGAUCCUUAUAUAUUUUUAUGAAUAAUUUUUUAAUGAAAUUUUAUGAUUAAAAUUAAAAAUACAAACAUUCAAAUAAGAAUGUCGGACACUUGCACAACUAUUUACCAAAUUUUUGCCCUAUAAAAAUCGACCUGCAACUUUCAAUAGGUUUAAAUUUAUAAUAUCAAACUUGAUUGCAACUCACAAAAAUUAUCCGUUGCGGCCAAGACUUUGGAUUUGCGAUGAUUUUGCCACCCUAAGUGUAGUUAGUAUUGUAUAUCAUGUGGCUCUUAUAAAAAGCCUAGAAGUUGUUUGAAUAACGGGGCAGACACAUAUCUCCCAAAUAUUUUCUCUUUUUUAAAUUAUUAUUUUUUCUCUAUUAUUGUAACUUCGAAUCCUUAUAAAUUAUAGAUUGGAGACAUGAACACAAUGUUUUGACAUAGUGGACUUUUGGCUUGUCCAGAGAAAUUUAGGAUAGAUUUUUACGCACUAAGGCUCUAUUUACUAUUGAGGUUUUAGAACUUUUAAGCCACACUAGAAAUUUGUAUUGUUUUGAUAGAGUUGUAGUCUUUGAUAUGUGAUUGGUAUUAAUCAAGUGUUAUGUUUACAAUAGUUAAAACGCAUAUUGAAUCAAAAUCCACUUCUAAGGGCUUGAUUGAGUGAUUGUAAAGUAGGUUUUUAAUUUGCUAGCCACUCAAGUUCAAAUAUUGGAACCAUAGAGCUUUAUAGCCAAGUGAGAGAACUGGUGCCUUAAAAAUUGAGGGGUGCAUAUCGAGUUUUACCACCAAUAAAAGUUGGUGUUAAAACUUUAAUUUCACUCCUAUUGUGGAUAGGGGUAAUUAGGAGUUUACAUCCCCUCCUAUUUAUGGACAAGGGUUCUUAGGAAUAUUAAAAAAAAGUUCAAAUAUUGAAAAUGUAGGUAUAGGUUAUAAAAUUCAUAAUAUAAAGACACAAAAUCAAGAUAAAGAUUUAAAAAUUUAGAACCAUGAGAGCGUGAUUUGUAAGUUUCAAAGAAGUAUGUGCAAAUAUAUGCAUUAUCGAUUCCCAAUUAAGGGUGGGCAUUAAGAUCGGGUUAACCCGAACCGAACCGAACCAAACUUUAAAUUUAUUUUGGAUUCAAUUUGGUUAUGAUUGAAGCUUUCAACUGAGUUCAAAACUUAAAAAUGAUUGGGUUGUAUUUCUAUUCGAAUUUAACCCCAAAAGACUAAUCAAUCCAAUCGAGUUAAGUAAGCAAAUUAAGAAAAAAAAAUCCCAAAAAAUUAAAACUAACCCUAACUAAAAUAUUCGACCGCGGCAUCCUCGUUUUCUUUUCCUCUUCCUCCUCUCGCUCACCCCUAAUGCCCUUCAUGGAAAUCCAACAGCUCCAAACGCGUUUCAGCCGGUCGCACGUGUGAGAAAUUUUCCUUCUCACAGGAUUAUUUGUUUCCUUCGCUUGCAUGCCAGCAGAAUAUUCAGGCCGAGGAUUUUUCCGGGCCUAGCCCAACUAUAAGCUCUCCCAAAACCCAAUCACAAGUUCAUAACGUUUAGCGUUUGCUAUUGCUAUAUUUUUUUUUAACCAAUUUUCACAUUCAUCAACAUAGGCUGACAUAUUUUGUAGAAAAUAAAAUUAAAUAAAAAUACAAGCUCACGAAAUUCACGUGCUUUCUUUUUCGGUGGUGGUGGGGGGAUUCACUUGCUUUUGUUUGCAUUGCCUGAUUGGAUAAAAGUUUGUAGAACAUCGUCUGUUUGGUUAAAGCCGAGCAUGAGUGAAUAAAAAUUAAAAAUAAAUAAUUUCCCAUUAAUUUGCAACAAGUAUUAAUAAAGUGCAUGAGAAAAGACACCAGGAUAUGCUUUUUUUUUUUUUUUAAAAAAAAUUAAAAUAAAUGUGUUAGUUAGUCAAUUUAAAUUGUAUGACAUUUUGAAAUGACAGAAGCGAUCUAAAGUUUAAAUUUCACUCACACUUAAUUUAGGGUUGGGGAUUAAUUGACGUAAUAUAUAAUAACGAAUUCAAAAGAUAAUUUAAAAAUUAAAAGAAAAUAAAAAAGUGCUUUCUUUUUUAUGAUGGUAAUUUGUUUAGAUGAUGAAAACUCUUAGAGCAUCUCCAAAAGACUCUUUAAAUAAAAUUCUACUUCUUACUUAAAGAGUCAUAUAUUUUAUUUAAAGAGUCAUAUCAAUAUUAAACACUCCAAAAGACACAUUAAUUUAGAUUAUUCAAAUAAGAUUUAUUUCUCUCUCUUCAAUAUUGACGAGUGAAUUUCUCUCUCUUCUAUUAAUAUUUUAUUAUUAUUUAUUGAAAAGAUAAGACUGCAAUAAUUAUUAUUUAUGUUUCCUUUCAAAAACAUAACAACAAUUCAAUUUAAUAGUAUAAAGAUUUGAUUAAAAUAAUAUUAAUUUAUUCUUAUUUGAUGAGUCUUUUAGAAUAAAUUGUAUUUUUCAAUCUACUUAUUUGCCACAUCAGUAAGCAAAUUGAUAUUUAAAGAGUAAAAUCUAAAAAGUCUUUUGGAGAUGCUCUUAGAGUGGUAUUAUCAAUACAUAGUUUUGAGCAUUGCCAACGUGAAUAAUAUUCAAUUUCCUUUAUAUAGUUAUAUCUCAACCAACAUUUAAACAGAAGUAAGUUGUAAAAAAAAUGAACCAUUGAGAUUUGAGAGAACGAAAAACUAAAAAAAAAAGUUAAAAAAUUAGAUCUCAAUAAAUUUACUUGAGAACUACUUUACUGAUUAGUGAAGAGAAAACACAAAGAAUAAUGAUGUAUCUCAAUUAAUAAGACAAUUUUUGUAUUUUUCGUUUAUUCAAGAAUCACGAAACUUCAUUUAAAUUUGUUAUUUCAUUGAUAAUAUAUUAAUAUUGAACAAUUAAUGUAGGAGACAUUCCUUUUCAAUUAUGCCCAUAUAUUAAUUAAAGACCACCAAAAAGUUCAGGGAUACUAUAGUAAUUUAAGUCAAUAAUUUCUGUGCUUGAAAUCAGCCAAUCAAACUCACUUUAGAAUAAACUGAGAAAUCAAAAUCACAUUCUCCGAUUCUAAGAUUUCAAUUCAUCUUAUUUCUUCAACUGAAAAAUUGGUUGUAUUUCGUUUUAUUUUAUUUUUAUUUUUAUAUAAAGAUAAAUAUAAAAUAUAAAUGAAGAGGAAACUGUUAAAGUAAAAUCAAAAGAAGGGCACGAGUUUUAUUGAAAAUUACUCUUUUCAUCAUUUUACCAGAGUGAAUGUAUCUAUAUAUAAACUAAAGAAGCACAUUUGUUUCCGACUCUACGCUUUAAAUUCGGGGUUUUUAAUUAAAUACCCUUUAAUAGUUUCAAAAUUAUUUAAAUACCCCCUCCCUUUUUGGUUUUCAUGGAUACCCUAACAAAUGUGAGCAAAGUCAGAAAUACCCUUAAUGAAUGCAUCAAACUCACUCAAUGAAUUGUCUUCAUAUUUCUUUCCUCAUUUCUUUCACCCAAAUCUAUUUUUGCUGCCGAUUCUUUCAAAAUCUCUUAGAAUCUCUCAAAAUCUCUCAUAACUUCUUACACAAAUACAAUUAUGUAUUCAUUUCUUUAACACCCACUCUUUCUUUAAAGGUGCAUUGCUUAUUAAACAACCCAAUAAGGUAUGUUAAUGUUGUUGGGUUUUAAAUUUUUUAAUUUUUAGGAAAAUUUAGAAAUUUUCCUCACAUUACAAUGUUUUAUUUUCACCAUUUUUUCUUAUACGUAGAAAUAUAUGCAAUGUAGGUUGUUUAAUUAUUUUUUUCAGCAAUAUAACUUAUUUAUGGCGAAAAUGUUUCGAGUCGUGCAUUCUUUUGAUACCGUGUACGUCAUAUAAUUAGUCAUGUAGGUCAUGUAAGUAAUAUAGUCGUGUAAGUCGUGUAGGUCAUGUAAGAAAUAUAGUCGUGUAGGUCGUGUAAGAAAUAUAGUCGUGUAAGUCGUGUAAGUAAUAUAGUUGUGUAGGUCAUGUAAGUCGUGUAGUUAAUUGUAUAUGAAAUUUAAUAUUAUUGUUUUUAUUGUAUCAUCAGAUAUGGUUUUGGUACGUGUGCCUAUUCUCUUCAAUGGUGAAUGGAUUGAGCAAAAUGACGAGUAUAAGUUCAAAGGUUCAAAGGUUCAAAGGCUAAAAGGAUAAUGAUACCACGAUAGACAACAUAUGCCGAAUUGGUGGAGAAGAUAACUGAAGUUAUUGAUAUAGAUACUUCGGAAUUCGAAAUCACAAUGAAGUUCAAACUUAAGACAUCUGAUCCUAUGCCACCCGUUACAAUUCAAACCAAUGAUAAUGUGGAAUUUUUUUAGAUUCCAAUUUAAUUUCACUUCUUUUUUUUAAUAAUUUUCGUUGACAUUUUCUGCAUAGCAGCAAAUAUAAAUUCUUAGCACAAAUUAAGUCUUUAAAGAACUAAAUUAAUCUAAUGAGUAAUAGAAAAAUUCGUGCAAUUUUAAAGUUGCAAUUAAACAUAUUACAGCCAUUUAAAAAGUUUUUUUUUUUUUUUAUCUUCAAAGUGCUUUCUUCCUCUGGCCAAGCAUACAAGCAUACAUGAGGAAUGUCUGCAUAUAAUUAAUCCAUGAAAUCAAUUAAGAAAAAAAAAUAUCAACCAUAGGAAAUUAAUGUAAUGUUAUACACAUAAGAACACCAUUCGCAGUGAUAAAAUAUUUCCACUCAUAACUAGACAUAUCAUGACUUACCAUGGCUUAUAAUUGGAAAUUAAGAAUCUCUCUAACUAAUGACAUUUCACAAGGUAAAGGUAUAUGCACCAUUCCAAUUUAUUGUGAGCCUAAUUAAACUAAAUGUAAUGUGUAGAUUCUAUUGACAAGAAACAAAAUGUGGAAUUGAAGGUCGUGUAAUUGUGUAAUACAAGAAGAUCGUGUAAUUGUAUAAUACAUGAAGGUCGUAUAAACAUGCAAUACAUUAAGGUCGUGUAAACGUGCAAUACAUGAAGGUCGUAUAAUCCUGCAAUACAUGAAGGUCGUGUAAUCGUGCAAUACAUGAAGGUCGUGUAAUCGUGCAAUACAUGAAGGUCGUGUAAUCGUGCAAUACAUGAAGGUCGUGUAAUACACAACCUUGAAUCUUACAUAACCUUACACGACCAAAUCUUAUGUUACAUAACAAAAUUAUAAUCAGCACAAUCCAUUAAUUUUUCACAAUUUGCAUGCAGCAAAACAACUAGAAAUUUGUUUUCGAACAUGUUAUGAGAGACCCACAACUAAUUAAUCUAUUUUUUCAAUAUAAAACCCUAACUUUUUGUUUUUUUCCCUUGAAUAUUAACAAGAAAACUAAUUACACGGAAUUACUUGUCUCAACUAGUUAUAUUCUGACAAUUUUACAGUAAAUGAUCAACUCUCUCCGGCGAUUAUGUAGUGACGAACUAUGCUUCACUUUCUCAGUUGUGGCAGCUUCCCCUUCUCAGGCUUAGUUUGCUCGUGUUAAAGUUCGAUUUACCAUGUAUGGAGAAUGAAUGUUUGUUUCGGUAGAGGUGAUGCCGGUGAGGGAAUUACAGAGGUGAUGUCGGUGAGGGAAUUGCAGUGUUUGUUUGUUUGAGUUUGAUAAUGGAGGGAAUUGCGGUAGAUGAGUGUUUGUUUGCUUCAGUAGAGAAGGGAGAUGUAUUGUCCGUUGAGUUGAAAUGUUUUAAAAUGAGGAUAGCUUAGUAAUUUCCUAUCAGUUUUUAAAGGGUAUCGAUGAAAAUUUUGGUAAAAACAGAUUUUAGGAUAUCGAGAUAAUUUUUAAAGUAUGAAGGUGUACCGGGCGCAAUUGGCUCUUUAAAUUCAGCUUCAUUUCUUCAACUGAAGAAUCGGUCGUCUCUCAUUUUUUAUUUAUUAUAUAAAGAUAAAUAUCUAAAUUUAAAUGGCGAGAAGAGCGGACAAGGAAUACGAUUACUUGUUCAAAGUGGUAUUAAUCGGCGAUUCGGGAGUCGGCUAAUCGAACUUACUCUCCCGAUUUACUCGUAACGAGUUCUGUUUGGAGUCCAAAUCCACCAUUGGCGUCGAAUUCGCCACCCGCACUCUUCAAGUAACUAACUUUUCCUCUUUCACUUCUCUUCAUUUUUAUUAGUUAAUUAAGAUCCAGUUAAUGUAAUUAAUUUUAUUUAAUCUUUCAAAUAAAGUUCUAGAUUAGGCUAACUUAGAUUCAUGUGAAGUUGAAGUGAUUUACUUUCGAUCUCUUUUUCGUCCUAUGUUUAUUUGUACUUACUAUUACUUUUUUUUGGGUUUAAAUUUUCGUUUUUGAAUUGUUUAUUCAAUAAAUUUCUGAGCUUUAUUUGUGUAUGCUGAUUGAUUUGUGAUUUUAAUUUUGUGACUUUUUUUUUGGAAUUUAAAUUUGAAUGCUUUUUAAGUUGAAUCUGAAUGUGUUGGGCUGCGAUUUAAUUAAGUCAUCUGUGAGCGCCAAAUUGUGAUAGCUAUAUAUUGGGGUGAAAAUUUGGGAUUUAAAGUUAUGUAUUUAAGAUGCAGUUAAUUCGCAAGUGAAAAUUAUGGGCCGGCAGAUUUUGUCAUUGGAAGACUGUUCUCCACAUGUUGAAGUUAGUGAUGCAAGUUGAAACCAAUCUGUUUAAGCUUGGGGUUUCAUGUCUUGAAUCAAGGCUGUGACUUGGGGUGGGUUGAAAGUAUUAUAGCUUUAGCUAUUCCUGAAGUGAUCUGUUUAGACUCACCGUGAUGAGACCGAGUGCUGUACAGUAAAAUGAAAGGAAGUUGGAAAAUAUUUACUUAGCAUUUCGCGUUACUAAUGUUGAACUAAUAAAACCUAGCCCCUAUCCUAGUGAAUUUAUGUUAAAAAGCUAUGCACGCAUUAAGUUAGUGCGAGAGUCUGCUGAAGCAUAUGCCAGCUGUGUGUUUGGAGCUGAGUAUUCUUCAUUCCACAUUUUGGGUUUUGGUUGACCUCCAGCAUGACUCAACCCACUUGAGUUAAAAGCCCUAGAGUUACAUUCUACCCAUGAUAUUUGAGUUUAUCAAGUCACCUUAUUUUAAUACUUCUCUGGAAAACAAAUAUAUAUGUUAAAUCAGGUAGGAAAAAUAAAAAGUUAAUUAUUGAGUUGUAAUGGUGCAACUAAGGUUUUGAAACAUUAAGAUCUUUAGCCAUUAUGUUACUAUCCCGUAGUUAUUUAAGUUACAAGAGAUAGUAAAAAAUAACAUCAUAUUUUAAUUACUUACACUAAUCCUACAAGUGCUGAUGGUCUAAAGUUGCUGCUGCUUGCACUGAAUCAGUGGUCAUGGGCCAGCCAAGGUUAGGUGAGGCCAACUCAUUAGCUUGUGAAACUUAAAGAAGUCUUAGGUUUGGAAAAGAUGGGGCACAGGUUACAAAAUUUUUUUUGAGUUUUGGAUUGAAGGAACAAAAUUGUUGAUGUCUAGUUCACAAUAUUUGAAGUCACUCUGUGCUUCAUCAUGUAAAAUGGAUUGAAUUGCUGUAUGAUCAGGUCAAAUUAAAAUGUUUAAACUCAUUUUUAAGAAACGAAUUCUCAAUUGGACCAGCCUUUCACAGAAGCUGAUAUCACAGAAGCUUUGAGUCAGAUGCAUCCAACCAAAGCCCCUGGCCCAGAUGGUCUCCCAGCAGUAUUUUUCCAAAAGCUUUAGAAUUCAGUAAGCGAAGGAGUUAUAGCCACUUGUCUGCAUAUCCUCAAUGAUGGAGGUAAUAUUGCUCCUUUGAAUCAUACAUACAUUGCUUUAAUCCCCAAGAUAGCAAAACCUAGGACUCUGAUGGAGUAUAGACCAAUCAGCAUAUGUAAUGUAAUUUAUAGGAUCAUUGCAAAGACUAUAGCGAAUAGGCUGAGGCUAAUCUUAGAUCAUGUUAUUUCGCCAACUCAGAGUGCUUUUAUGCCAAAUAGGCUCAUAACUGAUAAUAUAAUUAUUGGGCAUGAGUGUCUUCAUAAGUGGACAAAGCUAAGUUCCAGAGGUGAGAUAGGAAAUUCUCCCGCACGACACAGCAGAAACAAACUUUCCCUUUCAUUUUCUUUUCUCUUUCUCGCUCUCCAAACAGAGCAAAAGGACUGUCGCAAGAUUCUUCACUUCCAUCCAAAAUCAUGAGCAACGAAUGGUGAGCCUCCCUGUUUCCUUCCUUUUUUUGAUAUUAACCUUGUUAACAUAUACUCAUUUUAAUUUGACAAUACUUCAACUUUUUUUAAUUUUUUGCCUUUUCAUUUUUUUUGUUGAAGCAAUUAUCUGUUCAAGCUGUUGCUUAUCGGAGACUCGUCCGUCGGAAAGUCCUGCCUGCUGCUCCGAUUUGCUGUCUGUUGACUUUUCCUUUCCCUUCUUAUUUUCUUUUUUUAUAUUAAUUACUUUCUAUUUUAGCUUUUUGUUCUCUGAAUUUGUGUUAUUAAAAUGAUAAUUUAGAUAAUAAAUAAUUGUUAUUCUUGUAAAUUUCUGUUUUCAUUACGUUAAUUGUUAGCUUUUAGGUUUAUUAAUGUAAUUUUUUUUUUUUCAAUUUUUCAGGAUGAUUCUUAUGUCACAGCUACAUCAGUACCAUUGGAGUUGAUUUUGUGAGUCUCUCUUCUAUAUAUAUGUAUAUAUGUGUAUAAGUUAUAAUAUGAGUCUAUGUACGUGUAUGUAUGUAUGUGUAUGCAUAUGUGGAAAGAAAUGUUGGCAGACUUCAGCAUUUUACUCUUUUUUUUUUUUGGCAGAAAAUAAGAACUGUGGAGCUGGAUGGGAAGACGAUCAAACUGCAGAUUGUGAGUCAAAAUUUCCUUUUAUCUUGUAUUGAGAGAAAUUCGAUUUGUCUUAUUUUCUUUGUUUGAAGAGUGAUAUGUUGAAAUGAGUGUAUUUGUCUUAUAAACAUCAUUUAGGUAAUGUCUUCUGUUUGAUUGUUUUUCAUCUGUUUAGUGGGACACUGCUGGACAGGAGCGAUUCAGGACUAUAACUAGCAGUUAUUACCAAGGAGCCCAUGGAAUCAUAGUAAGGAGCCUUCCCGGUUCUUGGUUUAAAUCAGAAAGUUUGUGAUUUACAUGUGACAUCUUAACAGCAUUGUAUGUGUUUAUUAACUUAUUUUUCAUCUUUCAUUAAGCAGUACACUUUCUAUUAAAUCUGUAUACAAGAUGAUGUAGUCCAAGAAUGGGAGCCAUAAUAUGAUGCAAAUUGUCUAAUAAAUUCUUAUGACAUAUGAUGUUGUCGGAAGUAAAAGUCUUGCAAUGCUGUAUUCUCUUUUAAGAAAGAAUAAGUGGUAAUUUUGUUUUUCCAAUUUUUUAAUUGAGCAACUGUAUGAGAUUAAUUAAAUGUGUUGGGAUUUCAACAGAUUGUCUAUGAUGUAACUGGGAUGGAGAGCUUCAAUAAUGUCAAGCAGUGGUUGAAUGAGAUUGACAGAUACGCAAAUGACAGUGUAUGCAAGCUUCUAGUUGGGAACAAAUGCGAUUUAGUUGUGAACAAGGUUGUGGACACACAGACAGCCAUGGUAUAUUCAUGACUUUUGUCGCCUGAACUUUGAAUAUAAUUUUAAACUCUUCUCAAGUGCAUUUGCUUGGUAAGUUUCUGCAUACCCAGGACACUCAAACUUUGGACAGUCUGUAUCUCGAGUUGGAAUCUUUUCUGUCAAUACGACUUGUUAAAAUAAGGGUUGUUAUCGUUUGAAUCAUUCAAGAAUUGCAAUAAAUCUAAAGUCCAUAAAAAAUAUGAUUCCAUCAUUUUACUAUUAUAUCUAGACAAAACCCAUUAUUUUACUACAUUUCAUUGGCACCGAUAGUUGACCUGUUGGCUGACUGAUAAAAUAUCAAUUUUGCACUUUAUAUUAAUUCUUUUUUGGUUAAAAAAUAACACACAAAGUAUUACAAUAUUAUAAAUUCAAAAUAUAAAGUAGUUACAAAUAAUUCCUAUUAGCCUAUGAAUAUAAUAUUUGAUACCUCUAUUUGUGUAAUUUUUUUCCAAUGGUGAAAUUGUUAUUUUUUUUGUACUAACGGAAAUGUAGUAAAAUCAUAAGUUUUGUAAAGAUAUAGUAGUAAAAUGAUAGACUAAAAUACUUCUUGUAGUUGUUUGAUAUAUUGUAAUUCUUAAAGUAGUCAAUUGAUAAUAUCCCCUAAAAUAAAUGUUCGUAAUAUGUUCUCAUUUUAAUGCAACUGAUUGUUUAAUAAAAUUGUAUUUCUUUGUUAAUCUUUUAUCAUGUGCAUGCUCAGUGAGAAUUUGACUUGCUAGAACACAAGUUUGACUCUUCAUUUAAAUGUCUCUUGUAUCAUAUCCUUCAAUGUUGAGUGUGAUUCCAAUAAAAUUGAGUAGGGAGAUCCUUAAAUACCUUUUCCUUUUUUCCAAGGGCCUGCCAAAUUGCUCUAAGUGGUUCUACCCUUUAUCAAUGAAUAAUGAAAAUAAAAUUUUUAUUAAAGCAUUCUGUUCCUUAAAUGGUGACUAAUAGUACCCCCUUUUUUUUUGGAGAGGAAAGCCAAACGCCCAAAGAGGAUCAUUUACUUUCCUCUAAUGUAUUUUCUAAUUCGUUUUGAGCCUUGAAUGUCUGUUUUGGUGCGUAUUCUCAUUCCAUGUCGAAUCUUAUCCAUAUGGACAACCCCACUUACAAAAAGGUCUAAUGAAUCUAUUGAAGUUCAUAUGAGGUUUGUGCUUUAGAUUUAGACCUCUCUCUCUCUCUCUCUCCACUUACAUGUCUUUCACUUACCUGUUUGCAUGCAUGCCCAUGCACACACUUUCAAGAUAAUACACGGUCACUCGUACUUGUGUUUUGGUUGAAUUACUGGCUGCUAACCUCUGUAAUUCAGUUUGAAACUUGCCACCCUUAGUGCUUCACUCAAAUGGUUGGUUAGGGUGAGAUCUGUAUCGUUUUCCUGGUCUCUUUCCAAGGUUAUCUAAAGGGAUUUGGCAGUCUGAUUCUUUAGGGAAUAUCAUUGCAUAAGAUAUCUAUUGUUUGUUAAUGAAUAAUUUCUAUUUAACUAGUUAUCUAUAUAAAUUGGUAAAUUUUAACUGCAUAAUUUGCAUGCAAUAAGAUUUUAUAAGAAUCUUGUUUUCAACUCAUGACUUAGACUAAUGUGAUACGUUGAGCAUUAAGCUACAAGAUCUGCACAUCAAAGUGCUUCACAAUGUUAAGGAGAAAGCAUCGUUUUCUGCUUCUUCAUGUGAUUUAAAGUUUCCAAGGUACUUAUCCAAUAAAAUGUCUUUCAAGACUUUGGAAAUGCUUUUAUGUAUGACUGAGAGAAACUUGUUGGGUUGGUUUUUAGCAACAGACGGAGUUAUGGACUUUGUGUUGACUUGUUAUUGAUUAAGACAGUACAUCGGCUGAUCUAUUGGCAUCAAGCAGCAGAUGCAGAAAUUAUGGGUGGCAUACCAUUGUAUCCAAAUAACAUACUACAUUGAUUUUUCUGACUUUCUGUUGGUCUCCGAGUGAAAUGCAGGCAUUUGCAGAUGAACUGGGGAUUCCUUUCCUGGAGACGAGUGCCAAAGAUGCAAUCAAUGUGGAGCAGGCUUUCUUGACCAUGGCCGGCGAGAUUAAGAAAAAGUAAAAUCACUUAACUCUUUCCUUCUUGCCGACUGUUCUUAUUCAACAAUCACCAUUAUUGCUGGUUAUGUGCAUUGUGAUGAAAAUUCUGCAAUGAAUAACUUUUUACCUAAUGUUUUCUGUUGGAACAAAUUACUCUGGUAGAAAAGCCCUACAGGGUUUGAGAAAUCCCAUGAUGUGAUGAUUGUGAGCAUUUUAGACACCGUGUAUGGGUUUAUUUUGUGACUAUAAAAUGUUAAGAUAUUUCUAGUUUUGGUUUGUAGUGCAUAAAAGGAUUCAAAAUUUGACAUCUGUCUAAAUCAGAUUACUAACAUGACAAUGUACAUAUGCAAGAUGUGAGGAAUUGUUUUAUCUCACCCCUAAACUUUAAGAAAUUGAAACAUUAUUAUUCAAAAUAUUUAACAUUUCCAGAAUUGAUAGUUGUCUAUUUGAGCAGUGACUGGUGGUUAUCAUGAACUGAUGUGUGGUUGUGGUUUCAAAUCUUGGUGAAACCUGUUGUCAUAUGCUGAUUAACAUAGCUAGUCUCUGAAACAAUUUGUUGAUUCACUAAUUAUGAGUUCAAAUUUGAUGCAGAAUGGGCAACCAGCCUACUGCAAACAAAUCUUCUGGAACAGUUCAGAUGAAGGGAUAGCCAAUCCAGCAAAACAGCAACCGCUGUGGUUAGCCGAGCAUCUUAUUUUACUUCUACAUGUUAGCUGACUGAUUGUAGACAGUUUUAACUAUGUUGACUGCAUUAUCUUAUGAAUCUUUUAAUCUGUCAAAUAUUUAUUUCCUGCUUUAAGUUCUUUCCCGUUUAUAACAAAUUUAAUUUCUUGCUCUAUAGCAUUCCAAAUUCCUGUUAAUUUACGAGGGAAAAAGAAAAGAGACGAAAUGGGAGAAAAUGGUCAAAUUUGUUAGGGGGGGAGAGCUGUUGAAGUAGUUUUUGUUCUCGUUUAUCAUCGUGACCCUCUUGUUGCUUAUCUACGACCUGGAAGUCCGGUCAUAUCGGAUGGGUAAAGUUACCGAAACGGCAUCAUUUUGGGUGAAAUAUCAUGUUUAUGUAACACUUUUGAUAAUAUUUUUAUGCAACAAAAAAAUGUUUGCAGUACCCUUCUCACAUUGUGAAGCGCAUGAUCGGAUGAGAGCAGUCUGGAUUCUGGCAUCACAAGCUAAUGCUUUGAUUUGCUUAGUUUGUUUUUUGUUUCUGAUAUUUUCUCGGCAUAGUGUAAAUGUAUGAAGAUGAAAUUGCUGGGUUGGUUUUGUUAUGGAAUUUGGUUUAGUUCACUAACCAUUAAUGCGCAAAACCUCCUAAGACCCUCAAAAAUCCCGUACAUAAUUAAAGAAUUUCAAUUUUAUAUGUACAUAAAUAAAUAACUCUCAAAUAUAUUAUUUGAUAAUCCUAAAAACAACAAUUCAUUCUAAUAAAUCUCGUAGUCAAUACAUGGUCUAUAUUGCAAGUGUUUUCGAGACUAAUUCAAAAAGAAAAUACGAAGGAUAUAUAAUUGACUUUUACUUGUUAUAAAGAACUCUAAAUAAAUUUAUAUACGCAUCACAGCUAAUUACAGUCUUGGUACUUCAUUAGGUUUUUGUUAAUUUUCUAUACAGUUGUGUUGUGCAUUAAAGCUUUGUUAAAUGAAAUCGGUAGUGAGAAUUAAUUAAUUAAUUAAUUAAUUAAGAUCCAGUUAUUGUAAUUAAUUUUAUUUGAUUUUUUUAAUUCGAGUUCUAAAUUAAUCAAUUAAUUUAGAUUCAUGUGAAAUUGAAGUGAAUUAGUUUCGAACUGUUUUUCAUUCUAUGUUUGUCUGUGUUUACUCUUACUGUUUUUUUUGUUUAAACUUUUGUUUUCUUAUUGUUUACUGAAUAAAUUUCUGAGCUUUGUUUGAGUAUGAUGAUUGAUUUGUGAUUUUAAUCUAAUGUGUUGGGCUGCGAUUUAAUUGAGUGAUGUGUGAGCGCCAAAUUGUGAGCGCCAAGUAGUAAUUAUAAAAUAUUUCAGUCGUCCACUGUUCAGUCACCAAAAACCAAUUUCUAAUCUAUUUCAAAACAAUUUUUGCCAAAGUCCUCCUCGGCUAAUUAAUUCAUACAUUAAUACAGUCCUCCUCUGCUGAAUAAUGCAAACCCGUUACGUUAUUCUACCAUUUCUUAAAUUUAAAGCAUUCCACCAUUUAAUAAAAAAAUUCGAAAACCCAUUAUAUACAAUACAAAAAGCCCACCGACACCAAACCAUAUUAAUUUAAAAUAGUUUUCAAUUGAGAUUUGAAUUUUAAAAUUACAUACACAAACACACCCGAUUUAAAAAAUAAUAAUAAUCCUAACAAUAAAAUAUUUCAGCCGUCCUCUGUUCAGUCACCGAAAACGGAUUUCCAAUCUAUUAGAACAACCGGUAUAUGGGUUUCCAACCAAUAUUGUCCUCCAUCCUUUCUGCACUUCUCUUCUAUCAACGGACAGCCCACGAUGUAUAAUCGCAAAAGUGAGGAAGGCAGGCCCUUCUCCGGAAAGUAUUUGAGCUUGGGACAAUCCGCGAGAUACAAUUCAGUGAGGUUUUGAAGAUCAACAAUUGAAGAAGAUAGGCGUUCCAGAUUUGGAAAAUUAGAAAUCCCCAGAGAUGUUAGAGAGGCAGGAAGAGGAAGCGUGGUCCCUAAUCUUUUGUCCUCUAGUGGAAAUGACACCAUGUCGUCAUCGCAUCUGCUGAUUGUAAGACGUCGCAGAGAGGAGAAUCUGUGAAAUCCCCGUCCCCGCUCAAUCAUUGACUUCCAAAUCUCCAUAUUACCCCAAAUAUUAAGUGACUGAAGGUUGGUGGGAAGGUCAUCUUCUUCUUCAAGGCUUGGAAGCGCACCUCCUAUUCCUAUUGUUAAUUGUUGAAGAGAGGUCAGAUUGUGCAAUCCCUUGGGUAAGGCCUCUAGUCUCUUACAAUUAGAUAUCGCCAGCGUCCUGAGUUUCGCACAAGGCAAUCCCCCUUCGGGAAAGGACACCAGAUUUUUACAACUAUCUAUACUGAUUGUUUCAAGAGAUGUGUUGUUGUCCAACCUUUCUGCUAUUGACUCCAGCUUUGAACAUCCACCAACACGAAUGGACUUAAGAGACGGAGGUAGAUUGCCAACUUCAAGGGACUCAAGCGUGGCAGGUAACUCGUUUUUUGAAAAUAUACACGUCAGAGAAUCACAACAGUAAAUAUGCAAUUCCUCAAGAAAAGAUGAGGUGUACCUUCUGCCGCUGCUACACUGGAUGCCCUCUUCCACUGUCAAAGUCCUUAUAUUAUCGCAAUGCCAGAUCGUCAACAACUUAAGGCUCGAUGGUACCUGGACAGCAGCAAUAUAUGUCAACGAACGGCAACCAUAAAUAUACAAGAUCUCGAGAGACGAAUUGGUGUCGCACAUCCAUGCCUCUGGUAACGAUUUCAGUGCAUCACAAUACCUAAUCUCAAUUUUCCUCAACUUGGAAGGCAGAGCAACCUCAGGAAAGGAAACAAGGGAAUGACAAUCGCAGAUUUCUAUCUCUCUCAAGGAACUGAGGCUGAGCGAUGAUUGUGGCAGCUUCACAAGGCCUUUGCAUUCGCUCAAUCUUAGAUAUUCGAGUCUGCAUGACAACUCGCAGAGCUGCUGUUGUUGGUCUUUCUCUUCCUCCGCCACCAAGGAUUGAAUUUUGGGACACCGUCUAAUCGUCAGUCUUUUGAGAGAGCAAAUGUCUUGCAGUAAUUCGUUAUGACUCUUCCAUAUAUGUGUUUCAUUUUUCAUAUUAUUUAUCCCCAAUUCUUCCAGUUUUGGUAUUCGCGGCUUCAAUGGCUCUGUGAAAAACACUUGAUUUGAUGUAUCUCUACAAACCACUGAAUUCUGUGAGCGAUGAUCAGUUGCACUUCUCCACACAACCUUUUUACAUCCACCAAUUUCAAAUUUGCAAAGAGCUGGAAGACUUGCAACUGAAACUAGCAAUUCUUCACAUCCUUCAAUUGCAAGCAUCUCCAAUGCAGGAAGGUGUUCUGGAAAUGUUCCUUGCAGCUUAGAACACCUUAUAAUAUGAAGCUCUCUCAAUUUAGGAAACCAUUCAACUCCCUGACCAGUUCUAAGAGGAAUCCAGUCUUCCCAUUCUUGCAUGUUUUCAAAACGAAGAGUUUCCAAGCAUGGAAAAGGAAUCGGGGAAUCAUUCCCAUAGAACUCUGAACCCAAACUCUUUACUCUACUCAUUCCACGCACUGCAAGAUGCUUUAGAGAGGGUAGUUGCCCGACUGACGGCAAGGUAGUACACAUGCUGCAAUCUUCAAAAUUUAAGGUCGCUAAAUUUGAGAAUGAGGAAUCUCCCAACCAAGUUGGAAAUUGUUUACCUUCAUAGCCACUGAUACAAAAUUGUUCCAGAUUUUCAUGAGGUUUUAGCAUGUCGAGCACAUCCUUUUCGGUUUCUGCCUCCGUUGAAGACAAACCAUUGGCACUCCGUGUCCAUCGAAAGGUUAACACUUUAAGAUUCUUCUUUCCAUCCAAUUGAGCCUCCUUCGCAUCACCAAUGUCUUUUACGUUCUCCAAUUUUGAAAUGUUAAGUGUCCCAUGAAGAUGCGUCAACAAUUUUAGCUCUCGUAUCCUGGAACCACUGUCUUUUCCCACAACAAAAUUGCACAGCGUCUGAAGGCAAGUCAACUUACCAAUUCCUAGCGGCAUCUCCUCCAAUGAACUUGUAUUUGAAUUAUUGAGAUGAUGCAAUUUGAUGAGAUUUCCCAUGUCUGCACACAACUUCUUCAGUUUCCAACAGUCCUCCAACAGAAGGGUGUGCAAAUUGUAAAGCGAGUUGAUUGAUUCGGGCAGAGUUCUAAUCCAAGUUCCAGAUAGGUUAAGGUACCUUAAAUACCUCAAAUCACCAAUUGAAUCCGGUAGCUCAGAGAUGUGAUAUCCACGCAAAGAGAAGACCCUCAACCGUUGGAGUUUGAACAACUUAGGAAGAAUGCUAUGAGCCAAGUAUCCGGGCCGGCUACUUAACAACGUUACUGGUAAAAGAGUUCGCAAAUGUUGGAUAUCGUACAACUCCUCAAACCUUUUAACACCAUCGUAAUCUCCACGAAUGUACGACAGAUGACGAAGAUUUCUUGGAAAACUUUGUUGCUUGUCAACCUCUGAGAUAUACUCCAUUCUGAAGUACAUUUCCCCAGCAGCCCAUUGAGCAAGAUCAUUGACGAGGUCGUGCAUCACAAAUCGUGAUAUACUGUUGCUUGAUUGCUGGAAAAAAGAUCUUGAACGUAGCUCUUGAAAGAACUUUCGACCUAGAUCUUCACUGGGAUUCCCACUCUCUCCGUGAUCCAAGAAACCCGAAGCACACCAUAAUAAAAUUAUCUCCUCCUCUUCAAAUUCAUAAUCCUUUGGAAACAAUGAGCAGUAUGCAAAGCAUUGUUUCAAAGGUGCCGAAAGAUAAUAGUAGCUCACUCUAAGCGCCGGUAUAAUGUCACAUCUCUCUUCUGGUAAAUCCCAUAUCUUGCAACUGAGCACACCUUCCCAAUGACUCCGGUCAAGUUUACCACGCAAGAGACCACCAAGAGUUUUCGCAGCUAAGGGCAAGCCGUUGCAUUUGAUCACUAUCUUCUUGCCAAUUUCCUCCAAUGACUUGUUUGAACUGAUAUCUCUUGUCCCCAAAGAGUGUUGAGCGAACACAGACAGACAAUCAUCAUUUGACAGCUUUUUCAAAUGAUAAGCCCGAGCAGUCCCCAUGAUGGCUGCAACCUCUUGAUUACGAGCUGUGACAAUAAUCUUACUCCCCGGUGCGCCAGCUUCAAAUGGACGGCUCAUGUCAACCCAGUCAUUGUAAUUCUCAUUCCAAACAUCGUCUAAAACAAGCAAAAAUUUCUUUUGAGAUAACUUCUUCUUCAGCUCCUCUUGAAGCAAAUUUAAAUCACUGUCAUCAGUAGUCUGCUUAGUAAUGGAUCUUAGAAUUGUUUUUGUUAGCCUGAUAACAUCAAAAUCAUCAGAGACACAAGUCCAUACCUUGAGAUCAAAAUGACCCUGCACUCGAGCAUCAUUAUAGACAAGCUGAGCGAGAGUGGUUUUGCCCAGCCCGCCCAUACCUAUAAUAGGAAUAACAGAGAAUUCACCAUCAUUUCUCAAAUCAUCCCUCAACAGCAAUUCAACAAUUUCAUUCUUUUCUGUUUCCCUCCCAUAUACCUUGGCUUCAGUCACUAAAGAGGUUGUGGGUAGUCUUUGCCUGUCUUUUCUGGACCUCCCAGCUGAACUUACGUUCAAACCGAGCGAGUCUUUCUGUGUUACAAUAUCUUGAAAUCUGUCGUUGAUCUCUUUGAUUUUGGACAUUAUGGCGUAAUCGAACUGAAUCGAUUGUGCAGUAAAAGUGGUGCAGCAAGUAGGAAUGAGCUUCUGAAACUUACUUGUUCUUGUACGACUGCUACUGGGUUGAUCCUGAGCCGCAGCUGGAUCUCCAUUUCCAAGCAGCACCUUCCUCCGGAAAGCCUCAGUUUGAAACUCAUCCAACAAGUCUUCAACAUCAAAAGCCAAGUUCUGAAGCUCGCCAAGCCACAACUUCACAAUCUCAUCAGUCUUCUUCUCCUCAGCAUCAGCAAGCACCGCCUUGAUCUUCAAAAGCAUCGUCUUCCACGUCAUUAGAUCGGCCCGGAUUUGAUCUUGGCGUGGAAACAACCGAAUCCCCACUGAAGCUAACUUAUAGACCAACAACUCAACGGACGCCGUCAGGAUUGCCUCUCCGAUGAUUGACAUUUUUUUCUUUUUUUUGUUUUGCAAAGAAAGAAACAGAAUUUUGAGUUUUGAAAAGCAAAAUGAGAAAAUUGAACAGUAAGUGUGGAGGGUCAAGCAAAAUGCGCGUAUCAAGUCUUCCACUUGUUGUUUAUUCCAGUAAAGUGAAAAAAAAAAUAGAGACCACGACCCUUUAAUAAUUUAGCAAUUCACCGGUCACGAGUCACCACCACUCGUUACCAUGAAUAUAAUAAAUUGCACCUAGAUAUUUGCAGGGUCCAGCAACAUUGACCCAGUGUCCGGGUAAAUGCUGAAUAACGAGGAAAAUGGAAUGUAUCAACUACGAACCUUCGUUUUACAAGUCUUCAAACUCAUAAACCAAGUUAAAUCAAAACGUUUAUCUCUCUCACCCUUUUUGCCAUUAAUUACUUUAUUUAUUGAAUUAAUUUCCAUGCUAAAACGAAGACUUAAAAGUGCACUACAAUUUUUUAUAAUCACAAUGGUAAUUCCUACUAUCAUGUUAUCUUAAUGUCGUGUCAAAAUAAAUUAUAAUAAAAUUUUUUUAUAUGAAUACUUUUUUUAUUUAUGAAUUUCUUAAUUUUUAAUAUUUUUCUUAUUCUUUAGUCUUAAUAUUUAUAUUUCUCUCUUUAAACUUUCUUUAUUAUUUAAUUUUAAAAAAAAAUAUAAAAAAAAAGAAAAAUAUUAUACUUAAAAAAUAGUAAAUAUUUUAUGGGUCUAAUACAAGCCUGUAUUAUUUUUGACAAUGAAAGAGCACGCGAAAAAUCGCACUCAUAAAAAACUUUGUGAAAGGCAUUUGAAUGUGUGGCCACAUUUACCGAACGAAACGAUAAGGCUUUAGCCCUAUAAUUGCAAUUAGUUUGUCUUGUAACUAAAUUAUUGCCGACAAGCAGCCAUGCAUGUAAUUAGUCACAAGUUGCUUUGAAAUAAAUAGGUACUUGACAUUUGGCUCACUGAUUAUGUGUGCAAGAUUCCCGUAUUUCCCAUUACUUCCCGUACUUUAUGCAUUAUUGUUUUGUAUAUCUUUCGGUGUUUAUGGUGUAGUUAGGGAUGGUAGCGGGUAGGGUCUGGUACGGGUUUGACAUCACCAAACCCGCAUCUACAAAAAAUUUUAAUUAGGUAAUUCAAAUUAUAAAUUUAUAAAUAUUGCCUAAAAAAAUCACAUAAAAUACUUAAUUCUAGAUUUUAUCAAUGUAAAUAAGAAAUGAAAAUAUCAACAUUAAAAUAAAUACACAAAAUAUAUCAAUUUAACACGAAUUCUCAAAUUCAAUUAGCAAAUAAAUAAGUCUAUCACAACUCGAAGUGCUUUCAACUGAAAAAGAAAAAAAGAGAAAGAGAAAAAAACAAAGAACUACAAAUCAAAGUAGCACCCAUAACCUAUUUCAUAGGCUCAUUCAACACCAAGAUUUUAGAAUUAAGAUCUUCAAUUCAUUCAUUACCACUAGCACCCAUUCAACGUGGUUUUUCUAAACAAAAUAUAAAGUAUAAAAUUACAAUAAGCAUAUGAUACUCCAUGCUUUAAGUUAAAGAUCCUUAUAUAAUUUUAUGAAUAAAUUUUUAGUGAAAUUUUAUGAUUAAAAUUAAAAAUACAAAUAUUAAAAUAAGAAUGUUGGACACUUGCGCAACUAUUUGCUAAUUUUUUCUCUAUAAAAAUUCACCUGCAACUUACAGCAGAUUUAAAUUUAUAAUAUCAAACUUGAUUGUAGCUUGCAAAAUUUUUGGAUGUACGAUAAUUUUGCCACCCUAACUGUAGUUAGUGUGUUUCCAAUUGGCUCCUAUAAAAAGCCUAGAAGUUGUUUGAAUAAUGAGGGAGGCAAAUAUUUCCCAAAGAUAUUCUCUUUUUCAAAUUCUUUUCUUUUCUCUAUUAUUGUAGCUUCAGAUCCUUGAAAUUGCAUAUUUCAAAUCCUUGACAUGAACACAAUGUUUUGACAUAGUGGCUUUUGGCUUGUCCAGAGAAAUUUAGGAUAGAUUUUGAUGUAUUAAGGCUCAUUUUACUAUUGAGAUUUUGGAACUUUUGAGCCACACUUGAAAUUUGUAUUAUUCUAAUAGAGUUGUACCCUUCGAUAUGUGAAUGGUAUUAAUUAGGUGUUAUGUUUACAGCAGUUAAAGGCAUAUUGAAUCAAAGUCCACUUUUGAUUGAGAUUUUAAAGUAGGUUUUUAAUUUGAUAGCUACUCAAGUUCAAAUAUUGGAACCACAGUGCUUUAUAACCAAGUGGGAGAACUUCUGUCCUGAAAGUUGAGGGCUGCAUAUCGAGUUUUACUACCAACAAAAGUUGGUGUUAAGCUUUAGUUGCCCUCCUACUUAUGGAUAAGGGUAAUUAGGACUUUACAUCCCCUCCUGCUAAUAGAUAGGGGUUACUAAGAAUAUUAAAAAAAGGUUCAAAUAUUGAAAAAAUAGGUAUGGGUUAUAAAAUUCAUAAUACAAGAACAGUAAAUCAAGAUAAAAUUUAAAAAUUUAGAACCAUGAAAGCGUAACUUGUAAGUUUCAAAGAAGCAUGUGAAAACAUAUGCGUAUCGAUACCCAUUAAGGGUGGGCAUUAAGAUCGGGUUAACUCGAACCGAACCUUAAAUUUAUUUUGGGUUCAAUUUGAUUUUGGUUGAACCUUUCAACUGAGUUGAAAACUUAUAAACGAUUGGGGUGUAUUUCUAUUCGAAUUGAACAACAAACUAAGCAAUCUAAUCAACUUAAGUAAGCAAAUUUAAAAAAAAAAAUUCCCAAAAAAUUAAAUCUAACCCUAAUUAAAAAAAUUCAACCGCGGCCUCCUUCUCGUCUUCUUUUCUUCUUCUUCUUCUUGCUCACCCCUAAUGCCCCAUUAAUGGAAUUCCAACAGCUAGAAACGCGUUUCAGCCGCUUGCACGUGUGAGAAAUUUUCCGUCCCAUAGGAUUGUUCGUUUCCUUGGUUUGCAUUAAUAAAUUUGAAGAACAAUUAAAAAUUAAAAGAAAAUAAAAAGUGUUUUCUUUUUUAACGAUGAUAAUUUGUUCGGAUGAUGAAAAUUCUUAGAGUGGUAUAAUAAGUAUUUUCGAGUGUUGCCAUCGCGAAUAAUAUUUAAUUUCAUUUAUAUAGUUAUAUCUCAAGUGACAUUUAAACAGAAGCAAGUUGGAAAUUAAAAAAAAAAAAAAAAGAACCAUUGAGAGAAUGAAAAACUAAUAAAAAAAAAGUUAAAAAUUUGUAUCUCAAUAAAUUUACUUGAGAGCUACUCUACUAAUCCGUGAAGAGAAAACACAAAGAAUAAUGAUGUAUCUCAAUUAAUAGGACAAUUUUUGUAUUUUUCGUUUAUUCAAGAAUCAUGAAACUUCAUUUAAACUUGUUAUUUCAUUGAUAAUAUAUUAAUAUUGAACAAUUUAGGAGACAUUCCUUUCCAAUUAUGCCCAUGUAUUAAUUAAAAACCACAAAAACAUUCAGGGAUACUAUAGUAAUUUAAGUCAACAAUUUCUGUGCUUGAAAUCAUCCGAAUAGAUUCACUUCAGAAUAAACUGAGAUAUCAAAAUCACAUUCUCCAAUUCUACAAUUUCAAUUCAUCUUCAUAACUUCAACUGAAGAAUUGAUUGUAUCUCGUUUUAAUUUUUUUUAUGUAAAGAUAAAUAUAAAAUAUAAAUGGUGAGGAGACUGAAAAAGUAAAAUCAAAAGAAGAGCACGAGUUUUAUUGAAAAUUACUUUUUUUUCAUCAUUUUGCCAGAGUGAAUGUAUCUACAUUUAAACGAAAGAAGCACAUUUGUUUGUAUUAGCUUUUUUAUUGUAUUUUUAAUAAUAAGUAAUUUUCAAUUAACUUAUAUCAUUUUUUACGAAAAUAAUAGGUGUUAGUUAGUUGAUUCAAAUGGCAAGACCUCUUGGGAUAGAGUUUGUAAUUUAGUGGCUUAUCAAUUGUUUAAAUAGGGCAUUAUUAGAGCCAAAUUAUUGUAUUUGGUUAAAAAACUCCUACUUAGCUUACAACUUUAUUAUCCUAUUAUGUUUAUUAAUAAAUAACAAUUUUAUUGAAAAAAAAAAACAAGAUAUGUUGAAAUGAUACAAAAAAUUUGGGUUGUAAAUCUUACUCGAAUUUAGCUUGAGAUUGGCAUUGUUAGCAUAAUAUUUGAAGAUAUAUUUUUUAAAUUAAAAAAAAAAGAAAUUGGGUUCACACUAGUUAGUUUUAACUCAUAGUGAGAUUUAAACAAAAUCGGAAUAAUAAAUCUUGAUAUCCUAACUCAUGGAUAACAUCUACAUAAAAUAAUAAAAUCUAUUGUGUCGAAAAUAAGGGGUCUAAAGUUUGAAUUUCACUCACAUAGGUAGCAAGAGAAUCAAAUUAUUGUUAGAUUAAAUUAAUUAAAAAAAUUAUCUGAUAUACAAAACACAGCAUAUCAAAAAAAUUGAAAUAAAAGAAAAUUGAAAAGCAAAACGAUUGAGAGAACGAAAAACUAACACAAGAAAAUGCCGAUAAUUAAUUGCCUCAGCGGGCACCAACUUAAUUAUGCUUAUUAAAGCCUGGUUUAUUGUUAGAGUGCAAUUUAUGCACUAGUUUUGCAUUAUUUACUUCCCUUAAUAUCGAUGUUUUGCACUUAAUAAUAGUGAUUUACUUGUGUUUUACUUUUGUAGGUGCAAUUCUAUUAAUUGGUGAUAAAAUUAAGCUAAAAGAUGAUGUUUAAGGAGGAUUGUUCUCUUGGAGAAAUUAUGAGCGUUGAAGAACUUUGUUGAUAAGGCGUGGGCGCGUGCUGUCAACUGCGGACCUGCAGUUUUUAGUUUAAACGUGUUUUGUAUUUUUGGCUAUUUUUGUAAUUACGAAUUUAAUAUUUCAGAUAUUAGUGUUUUAUUUUAAAUAGAACUCUAAAAGAGAAGAGAGAGAGAGAGUAUUUAAGAGAGGAAUCUAUUGUGAAAAAAAUGGGGAUUUUAGAUUGGAGAAAAGAAAGAAACCCUAGAUCUAAUUUUUCUCUUCUCUCUAUGAAGAACUAAACUUAUUUUUCUGGUUGAAGGUUAAUGAAGCUUUGAUUUAUCACUACUGUGAGAUCUUUCUUAUGCUUUAAUUGUUUUAUUACUCUUUGGGUAUUUGUUUAUUCUCUGAAUUAGUUUCAUGAUUAUGUUUGUUAAUUAGGUAAUUGGCCACUAUUUAAUUAUCAACUUAAUCUAUUGUCAAUUAAAGGAUUCAUCGUAUGAAGAAUUUAAUGUUUGUGACAAAUAACAUAGCAGAGAGUUGUGUUGUGAGAAUAAACAAUCUAAUUUAAAUGAAUCAUCAUAUGUGUUGAUUAGAAUUUGGGUCUCUCUGGUUUUUCAGGCUGUCAAUUGAUUAAAUCCUAUGAUCGUAUCUAGGAUUGUCUAUUGAUUAGGAAAAUAACCAACGGUCAUACCUUGGUUAUCGACUAGUUAAGGAGAGAUUGGCUAUUAGAGGGUCUCAGUAGCUAUAACCGGUCUAUUCAUAAGUCAUAAUAAUCUAUAUUUGAAUCAAUGAUCAGUAGUCGAAUCAAGCUGAGUUAAUUCCUUCAACCAGAGCUUUCUCCAAUUUGAAUCACAACUUUAAUUUACAUUCUCGUUAUUUUAAUUUGAUUUUUAUUAUUGUCAACAAAACCCCCAUUUUAUGUUUUACGUUUUAAAAGGAUUUAAAUAAUUACCGAUCUCUGUGGACACGACCCUGCUCAAUCACUAUACACAAUUUAUUUAGAGUAGGAAUUUAUUUUUGUUGGCUUCGACACCCACUAAAUUUUGGCGCCGUUGCCGGGGAUUGGUGUCAUUUAUUUAAUCCUUUUUACGUUUUACUUGGUGUAUGGUUCGUUCUUCUCGUACAUGUACACUUUCGUUUGAUCCUGAAAUUGAGAAGACAGCUCGCCAGCUGAGACAGCAGACAAAGCGAGCUAAGCAACGAUCCUCGUCGCCUUUGCUUUCUGAAACAGAUACGGUGCCUGAUUUAGUUGAAUCAUCUAACGAUUCAGAAGAACAAGUGAUGGAUGGAGCUGCACCUGUAGAAAGAACUCUUAGAGAGUUAGCUGAACCAGACUUGAAUCAACAACCACUCUGCAUUCAAUAUGUAGACUUGGAGGUAAAUUUUGAAUUAAAGUCUGGUCUUAUUCAUUUAUUACCCAAGUUUCAUGGUUUUGCAGGUGAAGUUCCUCAUAAACAUCUUAAGGAGUUUCAUGUUGUGUGUUCAAGUAUGAGACCACAAGGCGUGACUGAAGAGCAGAUUAAGCUGCGUGCUUUUCCGUUCUCUUUAGAUGGGUUAGCUAAAGAUUGGUUGUACUACUUGCCUCCUGGAUCGAUUACAACAUGGAAUGGUUUGAAGAAGCAGUUCCUCGAGAAGUACUUUCCUGCUUCAAGAGCUGCCAACAUCAGAAAAGAUAUUUGUGGGAUCAGACAACUUCCUGGGGAGACUUUGUAUGAGUAUUGGGAGCGAUUCAAACAAUUAUGUGCCAGUUGUCCUCAACAUCAGAUUUAUGAUCAACUUCUUAUUCAAUAUUUUUACGAAGGACUAUCAUUGAUGGAUAUGAGUAUGAUAGAUGUUGCUAGUGGAGGCGUGUUGAUGAACAAGACCCCUACUCAAGCAAGGGAGCUGAUAUCAAAUAUGGCUGCCAAUGCACAACAAUUUGGCAGCAGGCAAGAUCUCACUUCAAGGAAGGUGAAUGAGGUAAAUAUUUCUUCUGUUGAAGAACGUUUAGAUAAACUUACUUCUCUUGUGGAAAAGUUUGUUGUAGGUAAUGUGCAACAGGUGAAGACUUGUGGCAUUUGUUACAAUAUGGGUCAUUCAACUGAUAUGUGUCCUACACUUCAAGAAGAACCCGUUGAACAAGCCAAUGCAGUUGGAGGAUUUCCAGGCAUGCCUCAGAGGAGGUAUGAUCCUUAUGCACAAACAUACAAUCCGGGAUGGAAGGAUCAUCCCAACUUCAGCUAUGGAGUUAGGCCGUCAGGAUUCCCACAACAAUAUCCACCAAGACAACCAGCACCUCCACAGUCAAUCUCCAAGUCAGGUAUAUCUCUUGAAGAAAUUGUUAAAUCACUUGCGACUAACACUCAACAAUUUCAGCAGGCAACUACAACAAGCAUUCAGAACUUGGAGAACUAAAUGAGUCAAUUGGCGACUACAGUGAGCCGUCUGGAGUCUCAAGUAUUAGGAAGAUUGCCUUCACAAUCUGAGGUGAAUCCAAAGCAAAACGUUAGUGCUGUCAUCCUUAGAAGUGGGAAGGAGUUGCAAGAGCCUAGUAAGAAAGUGACAGAGCAUGUAGAAGAUGAGCUUGAGAAGAAUGAAUUGAUGCCUCAAUCUCAAGAUGCGCAACCUACCAGAGCGAAACCCCUACCUAUUGUGAUACCUUCUCCUUUUCCAAGCCGGUUUGCAAAAUCCAAGAAGGAGGAACAAGAGAAAGACAUCCUUGAGACAUUUCGCAAGGUUGAGGUAAAUAUUCCCUUAUUAGAUGCUAUAAAACAAAUACCUCGAUAUGCUAAAUUUCUUAAAGAAUUGUGCACCUCCAAGAGAAAAUUAAGAGGAGAUGAAAGAGUUCAUAUGGGGGAGAAUGUUUCAGCAGUUCUCCAAAAGAAAUUACCUCACAAGUGCAAGGAUCCAGGUAUGUUUAUUAUCCCUUGCAAAAUUGGUAGUGUUAGAGUUGAGAAGGCUAUGUUAGAUCUAGGAGCUUCUAUUAAUGUCAUGCCUCGUUCUAUUUAUUCGUCUUUGAAUAUUUGUGCAUUAAAAGAAACUGGCGUGAUAAUUCAACUAGCUGAUAGGUCUAAUGCAUAUCCUGAUGGGGUAUUAGAAGAUGUCUUAGUACAAGUUAAUGAGUUGGUUUUUCCUGCUGAUUUUUAUGUACUUGAUAUGGAAGAUGAUAACUCCUCUAAUUCUGUCCCAAUUUUGCUAAGAAGACCUUUUCUUAAGACUGCUAGGAUUAAAAUGGAUGUACAUAAAGGGACUCUCAUUAUGGAGUUUGAUGGAGAUGUUAUAGAAUUCAAUAUGAAUGAUGCCAUGAAAUAUCCCAGUGAGGAACAUUCGGUAUUUUCUGUGGAUGUUAUUAACCCUAUAGUGCAGGAAGUUUUUUACAAGGAAAAAACGAAGACAUUUCAUGAUAGAAUGAUUUUGAGAAAGGAGUUCUUUGUUGGUCAAAAAAGUUCUUCUUUUUCAUUCUAAGCUUAAACUUUUUCCAGGUAAAUUACGUUCUUGCUGGGUUGGACCUUUUAUUGUUACUAAUGUUUUUCCUCAUGGUGCAGUUGAGAUUCAGAGUCCGACCUCUGACAAAGUUUUUAAGGUUAAUGUCCAUCGCUUAAAACCUUUUUAUGAAGGUUUUUUGGUGAAUAUUGUGGAGGAUGUGGCUCUCGAGAAUCCCAAUUAUGGAGAUUGAUGCAUAAAUGUGUCUAGCCAAAGACAUAAAACAAAGGCGCUUUUUGGGAGGCAACCCAAAUGAUUUAUUUAUUUCGGUUUUUGUUGUAUCUUCUUUUAACUUUGAUUCAGAUUUUUUUUUUAAAAAAUAAUGUGUUUGCUUAUUUUGGUCAGAAGAAAAUUUUUGAUAAGGCGUGCCCAUGUCUUAACUAAUAAGUACUUCUGUGAUUUUUAAAGCAACAUGAUUUUAAGGCGUGCCCACGUGCUUAUUAGUAAAGUACUUCUGAAAUUUUUAGUGUCUCAAGUGAUUCAUCACUAAAAAAAAAAAAAUUAUUUUUAUUUAUUUUUUUUUAUUUUUUUCUAUUUAUUUAUUUAAAAAAAUGAAAAAAAAAAAGAGAUUUUCUUUUGUUCUUUCUUUUAUAUAUUUAUUUAUUUAUUUAUAAAAAAAAUUCAAAAAAAAUCACUGUUAAAAAAAAUAUAUAUUGUUCACAAAAUUCCUAAUUUUCCAGAACUUAUUUUCUUCUCCAGCCGCUUGCAGCACACCAACAGCAAACCAGCCUGCCGGAAAUCAGCAGCAACGCCCCGCAACGCAGAUCCUCAGCUCCAGCCCGCGCGCGCAGCGCAAAUCAAUCCAGCCGUCACCCUCGCGCAGCAGCACCCGCGCAACGCAAGCCCGCAAUGCAGCAACGCAACCAGCCUACACCCUGUGUUCCAGCCGGGUAAAUCGAAAUCCGUGAGUGCAAUUAUUGUAACAAUGCCGAAAAGGAAAGCAUCUACUUCCAAGUCAUCGAAAAAGACACCCGUCGCAAAGAAAUUUAAGAUUGCCGCUCCCACUACGGUUCCAUGGAACACAAUUUCAGAUUCACGCCAAGCCGUGAGACAAAGAUCGAAGCAUGGAAAAGGCAUGAGUGUUUUGCCACUUGCGGAAUCCAAUUUCAGAGGGUGCCUCGCAUUCGCGACUCAACAAGAGAAAGAGAGGUGUGGUCGAAUUCAAAGAGGGGAGAUUUCAGUUUACUGAACCAGGACCCACUCAACCUCCAAAGAAGCUUUAUGCUAGGAGUGGUGCUACCUCUGAUGACGAGUUUGACGACGACACUGUUGCCCCACCGACUAUUCCUUCCACAUCCGCACCACCUUUGAGCAUUCAGUUAGAGAAAAUGGAGCACAAGCUGAACAAGAUGGAGCAGAAUGUGGCCGCAUACUUCGAGAGUGUGGGAUUUAUCCCACCAUUUCCGCCAAGCCCAUAGACGUUAUGAGGAUCAAAGCUCACAAUUCAGGGAAGUUUUUGCCUUUAAUAUUUUAUCCUUACGCUUUAAUUUUUAUGUGAGUUUUGAUUAUCUUACAUUAGGGACAAUGUAAGUUCUUGGUGUGGGGGAGGGAUUUUUGCAUUAUUGAUGUCUGGAAGUAUUAUUUUCACUCUACUCAUCUAUUUUCAUUCUACUCAUCCUUAAAUGAUUUUGGAGUUAGUAUGCUUCAUAUAUUAUUAAUUUUCUUUUCUUUUCUUUCUCACUACUCUUUUCCCAUCUAUUUUUUUUACUACAUACAUCUUUCUCGCUUAUUAUCCUUUUUACCUUUCCUUUUAUUUCUCACUCAUACCUUCUUCUCAUUCUAUACCACUAUUGAUGGUUGAUUCAUUUGAAGAGUGUACAUGAUUUGAUAGCAAAUUUACCAACUUUGUGAGGAUUUGAGCCUAUGAGCAACCACUUUGCUCUAAUAUUUUUGUUAUGUGAAUAUCAAUCUUAGUUUGUUUAUUCUAGAACUUGCUUUGUUAUGCAUGUUGAAGCCGCAUUACGGGAUUUUAUGCAUUAAAAUGAUAAGGGCAAACCCUUUUCCAUUUUUCUAUUCUCGCAUUUUUUUUCUCUACCCGAAGACCUUUAUUUGCUAUCUUUGUUUGAGCCUUAACCAUUACCCAUCUAAUCCUCUCCGUCUACUUAACCAUUUUUCUUCUUUUUGAGCCUCAAUUUAAGGAGAUUUUUGGACUCAUUGUGUGGAUAUAUUUUGUGUUUUUUUUACCUUGUAUUAAAGUUUCUCAAUUAGAUCAACAAGCAUUAUGCUUGAAUUAAAUUGUGCAAGGUUCGUUUCUUUUGUUUGAUUAAAAAAAACAAAAAACAAAAAAAAGGAAAAAGAAAAAAAAGAAAAAGAAAAAGAAAAAAAAUCGAAAAAAAAAAAAAUUAAAAGUUUACAUUCUUGGUGACUUGAGUAGAAAUAAGCAUUUUGAUAUCAUAAGUUCAUUCAAUGAGUUCAUUCUUCUCAUUUUGAUAUCUUUUUCUCUUUCAUGGACCUUUCUUUUUCAUUUAACCUAUUUAACCCCAUUGCAACCCUUUUAAGACCCUUAGAUUUUUGCAUUUUAUUCAUGUUGUGGAUUGAGAUGUGAUAUAUGAGCAAGCUUAUGGUAAUAGCAUUCUUUGAUUUGAUUUGAGUGAAUAAAUGACACCCUAAACACUUUGAGUGCAUGGAGUGAAGUCAUUGAGAGGGCUAUUAAAUCUUGUUGCACUUGAAUUUUGAAUGUAUCUUCUUGGUGGUUGAAUGUUCUUAUUCUAUCUUAUGAGAUUCUAUGCUUUAAAAUCCUUGUCUCUCGAAUGUUGAUCGACUUAAUUUCUUGAGGUAUGGUUGCUUAGAAUUAUUUAUGGAUGAGUUGAGAUGAGAAUUGAGUGGAGAUUUGGGAUUAGUCUUGAGUUAUAUGCUUGAGGACAAGCAUCAUCUUGGUGUGGGGGAAUUUGUUAGAGUGCAAUUUAUGCACUAGUUUUUAAUUAUUUACUUCCCUUAAUAUCGAUGUUUUGCACUUAAUAAUAGUGAUUUACUUGUGUUUUACUUUUGUAGGUGCAAUUCUAUUGAUUGGUGAUAAAAUUGAGCUAAAAGAUGAUGUUUAAGGAGGAUUGUUCUCUUGGAGAAAUUAUGAGCGUCAGAAGAACUUUGUUGAUAAGGCGUGGGCGCGUGCUGUCAACUGCGGACCUGCAGUUUUUAGUUUAAACGUGUUUUGUAUUUUUGGCUAUUUUUGUAAUUACGAAUUUAAUAUUUCAGAUAUUAGUAUUUUAUUUUAAAUAGAACUCUAAAAGAGAAGAGAGAGGGAGAGUAUUUAAGAGAGGAAUCUAUUGUGAAAAAAAUGGGGAUUUUAGAUUGGAGAAAAGAAAGAAACCCUAGAUCUAAUUUUUCUCUUCUCUCUAUGAAGAACUAAACUUAUUUUUCUGGUUGAAGGUUAAUGAAGCUUUGAUUCAUCACUACUGUGAGAUCUUUCUUAUGCUUUAAUUGUUUUAUUACUCUUUGGGUAUUUGUUUAUUCUCUGAAUUAGUUUCAUGAUUAUGUUUGUUAAUUAGGUAAUUGGCCACUAUUUAAUUAUCAACUUAAUCUAUUGUCAAUUAAAGGAUUCAUCGUAUGAAGAAUUUAAUGUUUGUGACAAAUAACAUAGCAGAGAGUUGUGUUGUGAGAAUAAACAAUCUAAUUUAAAUGAAUCAUCAUAUGUGUUGAUUAGGAUUUGGGUCUCUCUGGUUUUUCAGGCUGUCAAUUGAUUAAAUCCUAUGAUCGUAUCUAGGAUUGUCUAUUGAUUAGGGAAAUAACCAACGGUCGUACCUUGGUUAUCGACUAGUUAAGGAGAGAUUGGCUAUUAGAGGGUCUCAGUAGUUAUAACCGGUCUAUUCAUAAGUAAUAAUAAUCUAUAUUUGAAUCAAUGAUCAGUAGUCGAAUCAAGCUGAGUUAAUUCCUUCAACCAGAGCUUUCUCCAAUUUGAAUCACAACUUUAAUUUACAUUCUCGUUAUUUUAAUUUAAUUUUUAUUAUUGUCAACAAAACCCCCAUUUUAUGUUUUACGUUUUAAAAGGAUUUAAAUAAUUACCGAUCUCUGUGGACACGACCCUGCUCAAUCACUAUACACAAUUUAUUUAGAGUAGAAAUUUAUUUUUGUUGGCUUCGACACCCACCAGUUAUUUCAUUUUCAUUGAUAAUCAUUUUGACACCGGUCAAAUUUAAAAGUUUAAAUAAUGGGGGCCAUUUUUCUUUCCAGCUAUGCCCAUUAGCUAAUAAAAGAACCGCCGAAAGGGUUCGGGGAUAAUAUAGUAAUAUGAUUGAUAAUCAUUUUGGAGCUGAGUAUUCUUCGUUCCACAUUUUGGGUUUUGGUUGACCAUAUUUUAAUACUUUUUCUGGAAAACAAAUAUAUAUUUAGUGACUUGUAAUGGGUGCAACUCAUGUUUUUGAAACAUUUACAUCUUUACUUACUUACACUAAUGCGGCAACUGCUGCUUGCUUUUUUUUUUUUUCCUUUUGCUUUUGGUUAAUAAUAAUAAUAAUAAUAAUAAUAAUAAUAAUAAUAAUAAUAAUAAUAACAACUUUUUAAUUUAAUAUAUUAUUAAAUAAUAUUUUUAUUUUUAUUUUUACAUUAUAAUUUAUUAUAACUAAUAAUAAAUAUUUAAAUUUGAAUAAUAUUAAUUUAAAAUUAAUAAUAUUAUAAAUAAUAAUAUAAAAUAUUAAUACAAUUUAAAUAUAUCAAUAUAAUAUAAUAUUUAAUUUAAAUUAAUCACAAAAAAUUAAUACAAUAUAUUAUAAUACCAAAUAUUAUACAAUAUUACUAUAAUACAAUUAUGAUACAAUUUGAGGGAGAUUGUCAGCUUUUUCGGAUUAAAAAUAAUAUAUACCACUUACUCGAUUGUUUUUAUAAUGUUCAACAAUCCCCUUGAGAUAAAAAAAAAAACGAAAAGAAGGAAUAAAUAGAUGAUUUGCUUGAUAUUGUAUCUUAGAAAUAUAAAAUAUAUAUUUAUUAUUAAAAGUAUUUAAAAAUAAUAAAGAGUACAUAAAAAAUAUCUUAUCCUCAACAACAAGAUCAGACGACGUCAAUUCAGCAAAAUGACUUGUACAAUUUGAAAGUCCAGCAACGGUCACCUCUUAAUGUUAUUUUUACUAUAUUAUAUUGAUAUUUUGUUUUGUUAAUCAUAUAAGUCAAUCAAUAAUUAUUUAAUCAUUGGAAUUAAAACUAAUGUAUUAAUUAAAAUUCAAAAUCUAUUAUAAAAAUAGUAAAUAUUAAUACAAAGAGAUGGACAUAUUACAAAAUACAUUCACCAAAAGUUCUAUUAUACAUGUACAAAAAAAUAAUAAUAGUUGAAUACAUGUACAAAAAAAGGGGAUAAAUAAAAAAUAAUAAUAAUAAAUAAUAAAAGGAUAGUUUAUAUAAUAAAAAAUAAAUUUAUUGAAUAGGGAUGUUAAUAAUAAAGAAUAAUAGCCGAUCAAACUCACUUUACAAUAAACUGAGAAAUCAAAAUCACAUUCUCCGAUUCUACGAUUGACUCUUUUUCAUCAUUUUACUGGAGUGAAUGUAUCUAUAUGUAUUGGGGACCAUAAUGGAAACUGAUAGAACCUACAAGGGCUAAAAUUAGAACAACGAACGAUAUCUCAAAGUCGCCGAAACGUAAGUAAUUAAUCUUAUCUUUCAAUUGAUUUUUUGUGGAGACAGAGACAAACCCGAACAGCAAAUAGCCAUAAAUGAUAGGACAAUUAAAUUGGAACUCUCCGCGGACCCACGAUUUAAUAUCUUUAGAUUGUAACGGUUUAACCAAAAAAAAAAACAAUUUUAGUAAAAUAUUUCUUAAAAAAUGAAAAAAAAUGUUGAAAAGAAGAACAAAAUUGUGGUCCACGUGUCAUUUCAAAAUAGGUUGCUGGCAUAAACAACCGUCCCCAUCUCGGACAGAUGUUAUUUGAGUGGUUGGUGCGCGUUUCCACUUUUUUGUUUUAGAUGCAACGACUCAUGCACUAUAUAUAUAUAUAUAUAUAUAUACAUAAUUUCUAUCUUAUAUAUGUAUAAGAUACAUUCUUUAUCUUACAAUAUAUCUCCCUUAUAGAAUAAUAUAUGUGUGGAAUUUAUAUAUAUUGUUCAUAUGAAAAAAAUAUAUCUUAUAUGCAUGAUAGAAUAAUCCAUGAAUCUAAUGUUAUUAGUUUAAAUAAUGGGUGCAACUCAUGUUUUUGAAACAUUAAGAUCUUUAGUCAUUCUGUUACUAUCCCGUGGUUAUUUAAGUUACAAGAGACAGUAAAAAAACAACGUCAUAUUUUAAUUACUUACACUAAAUAAAUUACUCACACUGAUGCCGCGUCUGCCGCUUGCUUUUUUUCUUUUUUUUUAUCCUUUUGCUUUUGUUUUUAACUUUUACUUUUACUUUUUGACUUUUGCUUUUGGUUUAUUAUAAUAAUAAUAAUAAUAAUAACUAUUUUUUAAUUUAAUAUAAUAUUAAAUAAUAUUUUAUUUUUAAUUUUACAUUAUAAUUAUUAAUAUAUAAUUUAUUAUUCAAUAUUAUUAUAUUAUGUUUUUUAUUUUUAAUUAUAAUUUAUUAAUAAAUUUAUAAUUUAUUAUAACUAAUAAUAAAUAUUUAAAUUUAAAUAAUAUUAAUUUAAAAUUAAUAAUAAUAUAAAUAAUAAUAUAAAAUAUUAAUACAAUUUAAAUAUAAAUUAAUAUUUAAUUUAAAUUAAUCACAAAAAAUUAAUACAAUAUAGUAUAGCACCAAAUAUUAUAUAUUAUUAUUAUAAUACAGUACUAAUACAACAUAAUAUAAAAUAAUACAUUAAUAUUAAAAUAAUAUAAUACAGUGUGCGAAAUGAACCGAAAUGGUAUUACUUUGUUUGUCUUGUUAUUUACAAUUAUUUAAUCUGUAGACCCACUCAUGCUCCUUCUAUGCAACAUAGAUACAAUUUGAGGAAGAUUAUCAAUUUUUUCUGAGAAAAAAUAAUAUAUACCACUUACUCUUUAUUGUUUUUAUAAUGUUCAACAAUCCGUUUGAGAUAAAAAUAAAUAAAUAAAAAGAAGGAGUAAAUAGACGAUUUGCUUGAUGUUGUAUCUUAGAAAUAUAAAAUAUAUAUUUAUUAUUAAAAAUAUUUAAAAAUAAUAGAGAGUUCAUAAAAAAUAUCUUAUCCUCAACAACAAGAUCAGACGACGUCAAUUCAGCAAAAUGACUUGAACAAUUUGAAAGUCCAGCGACGGUCACCUCUUGGCACACAUACGGCAACGUGUGUAGCAUUGGCAAGAGGUCUCCCAGAAGGACGAUUAAGGAAAGAUUGCAAGACAAAAUCAUGAAAAUAGUAGUACAGAUAUGCAAUAUGCUAAAUUGUCCUCGAUUGAGUCAAUCGCAAUCAAGUCUUAGAAAUCGCACCCCUGUAUUAAUUUCCAGAAAUAUGUUUGUUCCAUAUUUAUCGUGCACGUAUACAUUGUAUGUAUUGGGAAUAGAAAGAGUGUAUGAAAAAAAAUUCUUCAUUCAUCGAUUAAAACUUAAAUUAUGUACGAGGGUUAAGCGCAGCGUUUUUAAAUUUAAAAAGCACAAGUGUCAAUCCACUAAGGUUUGGUCCAAUGGCUAGAGUCACUCCCUCACGAAAUAAUUAGAGUUCCCACAAAUGUAUUGUACAAGUUUAAUUUAAAUUUUCUUCCUCAAAACUUAAGUGAAGACAAUAUUUUUCAUAGAAGUAGAGUUUUUCUAGGAGUUUGACAUCCCUCAAAUAUUAAAAGAGUUAAAAUCUGAACGAUACUAUAUAAAAUAUAAUGUAAACUGAUCUUAAUAAUUAUAUAAUUAUAAAUAUAAUGAGCAACAGUCUCGUUAAAAAAACAGAUCAAGUGUCAUGAGCCCAUUUAAAUUAACUAAUAUUUGAGGGGGAAAUCUCUGUAUACCAUAGUAUAUAUUCUAUAUCCAGUCAUGGGACCCAUACAUGGAUGGUUCCACGUAAUUCGCAGAGUUGAACUGGAGACACUGAUUAGUUCGUUGUCUACUUACCAACUUAUGUACAACUAAGUAAUUGCAUGCACCAUUUGCGACUUAUCUAUCCACCCUGCUUGCAUUGCAUUAACUACGUCACCAAUCACCCACGUCCGCUACUUGUGUGAACGUGUAUAUAAAUACAUAUAUCCGCAGCAUAUUAUCAAACCAGAAUCAGAAGCAACUUAAGUUUUGUUCAUUAGGUUUAUGUUUAUCAACAUGAUAUAUUGUCAAUCAUAAUCGCAAUCAAGUUGUUAAUUAUUUUUUAAAUAAUGUGAAGGAACAAGAUUUUGGCCUUUGAGUGUCUGGUUAAAAAUAUCUCACCUCAAUGUACGGUGUUGUGCUCUCAUCAUCGUACUAUUAUUUGUUAAAAGUAUGUCAAAGAGGAAAGCAGAUUCAAACAUUACUUCAAUUUUAUUUAAGAGAAUAAAAAAAUCGUUAAUAGGCUACUGUUAUUUGUUAGUACGAUUUCACAAAAAAAAUCGGUUUCUUAAACAACUCCAACUACAAUUUUUUUUUUACAAAUUUUUGAAUUAUUAAAUCAUAUGUGUGUGUAUAAAUUGAAUAGAAUUAAAAGUGGACUCAAAUGGCUAUUAUGUAAUUUUUUUAUAAUUAAAGAAAAGUUUAGAAUGUAAAAGUGUGUGUGAGAAAACAAAAAAUAUAAAUCACCUUUGAUGUAGUUGUAUGGUUGUAAAGAGUUAGAUGGAGAAAUAUAGUAUAUAAUUAAAUUUAUUUUGUUCCUUAAAACGGGUAGGUUUUAUAAGAAUUUUCCAGAGGAGUGCUAAUAUUUCAACUUUUUUUCAAAUGAAGUGAUGUCCUGGAAUAAAAUCACUACUCUAUCAUUGCUAUUAGUUUGUCUUGUAUUUCAAUUAUUGUCGACAAGUAUUAAUUGUGAAUAUUAUUGUUUUAAAAAUUUUAUUAUUAUUAUCGUCGUUAUUCUUAACAGCAAUGACUAGAAUUAUAAUAAGAACAAUAACGUUAAUACAAUAAUAUAACAACAUAAUAAUAUUUUAAUUGAGAGGAUAAGAAUGAAAUUAUGAAAUUUAGGUUGGGUAAAAAUGAUGAGUAUGAGGAAAUUAAAUUACCAUUUUUUAAGCUAAACAAUUUAUAAAUUUCACGUAUUUCAUUCGUAUUUCUCUUAUAUUUUAACAAGUAAACAUUAUCAAUAGUUUUAAUAUUUUAAUUAAUAAACACGGCGUUAACUACGGAACUAAAAGAUCAAAAAAAAAAACAGAGACGCGUGUAUGUAUUGCUUGUGACAAAUCUCACCCGUGGAAAACUUUGUGAAAGGCAUUUGAAUGUGAGGCCACAUUUAAUGAACGAAACGAUAACUUUAAAAGAGAGUAUGUACUGUGUUAAUUAUUAGGCCUUAGCUUAAUGAUUGCAAUUAGUUUGUCUUGUAAUUAAAUUAUUGCCGACAAACACUAUCACGACCCACGUCCGCUACUUGUGUGAGUGCGUGUAUAAAUAUCCGCAGCGUAUUAUCAAACCUGAAGCGUACCAAUAAAGUGUUGGCUCCACUGGCAAUGGAGUCCCCUUAAGUGGCUUGACUGGGUUUGCUCCUCAGUUCGAGUCGCAGGGAAGUCGCCUUUGUUGGGAGAACAUGUGCCUCUCAGUUCGAGCGGGGAUUUUUAGUCUAGAUUGUGAUACGGGCUUAAAGGUGCCUCCCACAGUUGGGGCCCUCCCCAGAAUACCUCGUUGUCAAAAAAAAAAAAAAAAUCAAACCUGAAGCGUGAUCAUCUUUAAGUUUUGGUUAGGGUUGAUCAGACGUUGGAAGAUAUCUUUCCUAAUUUAAAGAAGAUGGAAACUCCUUAUCCAGGUUCUUAGGCCAUGUUCAGUUGAAUGUCAUUUAUAAUUUUUAUUUUAACAUUAUGUAUUUAUGAAUACAAUUAUUGUUUAUUUUAACAUUAUGUAUUUAUGAAUACAAUUAUUGUUAUGAUUUUUUCAGGUAAGAAUGGGUGGUCUGAGGGUAACCCAAUAACUAUGUACAAUAUUAUUAAUGAUGAGAGCGUGAAUGACAAUUUGGAUUUUAUUCUCGUCCCUCAAUACGGAAGAAAUCUUGACCAUAGCGGUUAAUUGCUAUGUAACUCUUUCGUAUUAUGUUUAAUUAAUAAUAAAAUGAUGGGUUAUUAUUACUUGUCAAUUAUGUGAGUGUCUCUGCUUGAUUUAGUUCACUUAUAAAAUAUCUUGAGAUAUACAAGAGAUUUUCUUUAUUUACUUUCAUGUACCGCGUCUUCUUGUAAAAAGAAACUAAUAAAAAAAUAUCAUUGUGUGCAAUGUAUUGACUAAGUUAGUGUAUUCAUGUUAGCUUAAUUGUGCUCUCUCUUCUUGAUUUUUUUGUUUUUUUUGGUUAAAACAAACUCCACAUGUUGUUGGUUAGCUAAUUCUUGCAGCUAGCAAGUGAUCCUUUUCUUUCCCCUACUGCCUGCCGUAGCAUCAAAUCCUGACAAUUAUAUAUCAAGUGGUAUUCGAGCCGUCAAAUGAUCCUUGGAAACACGCAACAAAUCAAAUGCUGAAUUUUGCCAAGAGAUUCACGAAAUCCUUGCUAGACAUGUCUUUUGUCCAGUUUAUUUCAAACUACGCGAGCAAUGUUCCCGUUAUUGUUUAGUAUGUCUUUUGUUGUUUGCAAUGUAGUUAGGGAUGUUAGCGGGUAGGGUUUGGUACGGAUUUGACAUUACCAAAAGCCGGAUCUGUAAAAAAAAUUUAAUUAUCAAAUUCAUUGUGGGUUUUAUUUAUUCAUUUUUUUCCUCUUAACAAAGCCCAUCAGCUGCGGGUUUGAAUGGUACCUAGUGUAUAUUUUUGUGAGUUCCCACGUAUAAAAUCACACUUGCAACAAAACCUAAAAAUUAAAAUUACGUAAUUCAAAUUAUAAAUUUAUAAUCGUAGCCUAAAAAACCACAGAAAAUACUUAAUUUUAGAUUUUAUUAAUGUAAAUGAGAAAUGAAAGUAAAACAUUAAAAUAAAUACACAAAAUAUAUCAAUUUAACAGAAAUUUUAAAUUUUAAUUACCAAAUACAUAAGUCUAUCGCAACUUAAAGUGCUUUCAAUUGAAAACGAAAAAAGAGAAAGAGAAAAAAAAAGAACUACAAAUCAAAGUAGCACCCGUGACCCAUUUCCCAGUCUCAUUCAAUACCACUAGCACCCAUCCAACGUGAUUUUUCUAAACAAAGUAUAAAGUACAAAAUUACAAUAAGCAUAUCAUACUCCAUGCUUUAAGUUAAAGAUCCUUAUAUAUUUUUACGAAUAAUUUUUUCAUGAAAUUUUAUGAUUAAAAUUAAAAAUACAAACAUUCAAAUAAGAAUGUCAGACACUUGCGCAACUAUUUACCAAAUUUUUUCUCUAUAAAAAUCGACCUGCAACUUUCAAUAGGUUUAAAUUUACAAUAUCAAACCUAAUUGCAGCUCGCAAAAAUUAUCUGUUGCGGCCAAGACUUUGGAUUUGCGAUGAUUUUGCCACCCUAAGUGUAGUUAGUAUUGUAUAUCAUGUGGCUCUUAUAAAAAGCCUAGAAGUUGUUUGAAUAAUGGGGGAGACACAUAUCUCCCAAAGAUUUUCUCUUUUUCAAAUUAUUAUGUCUUCUCUAUUAUUGUAACUUCGAAUCCUUAUAAAUUACAGAUUGGAGACAUGAAAACAAUGUUUUGACAUAGUAGACUUUUGACUUAUCCAGAGAAAUUUAGGAUAGAUUUUUAUACACUAAGGUUCUAUUUACUAUUGAGGUUUUAGAACUUUUAAGCCACACUAGAAAUUUGUAUUGUUUUGAUUGGUAUUAAUCAAGUGUUAUCAAUAGUUAAAGGCAUAUUGAAUCAAAAUCCACUUCUAAGGGUUUGAUUGAGUGAUUGUAAAGUAGGUUUUUAGUUUGCUAGCCACUCAAGUUCAAAUAUUGGAACCACAGAGCCUUAUAGCCAAGUGAGAGAACUUGUGCCCUAAAAAUUGAGGGGUGCAUAUCGAGUUUUACCACCAAUAAAAGUUGGUGUUAAAACGUUAAUUUCCCUCCUAUUGUGGAUAAGGGUAAUUAGGAGUUUACAUCCCCUCCUAUUAAUAGAUAGGGGUUAUUAGGAAUAUUAAAAAAAAGUUCAAAUAUUGAAAAUAUAGGUAUGGGUUAUAAAAUUCAUAAUAUAAAGACACAAAAUCAAGAUAAAGAUUUAAAAAUUUAGAACCAUGAGAGCGUGACUUGUAAGUUUCAAAAAAGUAUGUGCAAAUAUAUGCAUUAUUGAUGCCCCAAUUAAGGGUGGGCAUUAAGAAAAAAAAAUCCCAAAAAAUUAAAACUAACCCUAACUAAAAUAUUCGACCGCGGCCUCCUCGUUUUCUUUUCUUCUUCUUCCUCCUCUUGCUCACCCUCAAUGCCCAUUCAUGGAAAUCCAACAGCUCCAAACGCGUUUCAGCCGCUCGCACGUGUGAGAAAUUUUCCUUCUCAUGGGAUUAUUCGUUUCCUUCGCUUGCAUGCCAGCAGAAUAUUCAGGCCGAGGAUUUUUCCGGGCCUAGCCCAACUAUAAGCUCUCCCAAAACCCAAUCAUAAAGUUCAUAACGUUUAGCGUUUGCUAUUACUAUAACUUUUUUUAACCAAUUUUCACAUUCAUCAACAUAGGCUGACAGAUUUUGUAGAAAAUAAAAUUAAAUAAAAGUACAAGCUCACGAAAUUCCUUUUCCGAUGUGGGAAUCUAUCUACACCUUUCACGUGCCUUUUUUUUUUUGGUUUAUCACAUGUUGAAGUUAAACAGUUGAAGUUAGUGAUGCAAGUUGAAACCAAUCUGUUUAAGCUUGGGGUUUCAUGUCUUGAAUCAAGGCUGUGACUUGGGGUGGGUUGAAAGUAUUAUAGCUUUAGCUAUUCCUGAAGUGAUCUGUUUAGACUCACCGUGAUGAGACCGAGUGCUGUACAGUAAAAUGAAAGGAAGUUGGAAAAUAUUUACUUAGCAUUUCGCGUUACUAGUGUUGAACUAAUAAAACCUAUCCCCUAUCCUAGUGAAUUUAUGUUAAAAAGCUAUGCACGCAUUAAGUUAGUGCGAGAGUCUGCUGAAGUAUAUGUCAGCUGUGUGUUUGGAGCUGAGUAUUCUUCAUUCCACAUUUUGGGUUUUGGUUGACCUCCAGCAUGACUCAACCCACUUGAGUUAAAAGCCCUAGAGUUACAUUCUACCCAUGAUAUUUGAGUUUAUCAAGUCACCUUAUUUUAAUACUUCUCUGGAAAACGAAUAUAUACGUUAAAUCAGGUAGGAAAAAUAAAAAGUUAAUUAUUGAGUUGUAAUGGUGCAACUAAGGUUUUGAAACAUUAAGAUCUUUAGCCAUUAUGUUACUAUCCCGUAGUUAUUUAAGUUACAAGAGAUAGUAAAAAAUAACAUCAUAUUUUAAUUACUUACACUAAUCCUGCAAGUGCUGAUGGUCUAAAGUUGCUGCUGCUUGCACUGAAUCAGUGGUCAUAGGCCAGCCAAGGUUAGGUGAGGCCAACUCAUUAGCUUGUGAAACUUAAAGAAGUCUUAGGUUUGGAAAAGAUGGGGCACAGGUUACAAAAUUUUUUUGAGUUUUGGAUUGAAGGAACAAAAUUGUUGAUGUCUAGCUCACAAUAUUUGAAGUCACUCUGUGCUUCAUCAUGUAAAAUGGAUUGAAUUGCUGUAAGAUCAGGUCAAAUUAAAAUGUUUAAACUCAUUUUUAAGAAACGAAUUCUUAAUUGGACCAGCCUUUCACAGAAGCUGAUAUCACAGAAGCUUUGAGUCAGAUGCAUCCAACCAAAGCCCUUGGCCUAGAUGGUCUCCCAGCAGUAUUUUUCUAAAAGCUUUAGAAUUCAGUAAGCGAAGGAGUUAUAGCCACUUGUCUGCAUAUCCUCAAUGAUGGAGGUAAUAUUGCUCCUUUGAAUCAUACAUACAUUGCUUUAAUCCCCAAGAUAGCAAAACUUAGGACUCUGAUGGAGUAUAGACCAAUCAGCAUAUGUAAUGUAAUUUAUAGGAUCAUUGCAAAGACUAUAGCGAAUGGGCUGAAGCUAAUCUUAGAUCAUGUUAUUUCGCCAACUCAGAGUGCUUUUAUGCCAAAUAGGCUCAUAACUGAUAAUAUAAUUAUUGGGCAUGAGUGUCUUCAUAAGUGGACAAAGCUAAGUUCCAGAGGUGAGUAGGAAAUUCUCCCGCACGACACAGCACAAACAAACUUUCCCUUUCAUUUUCUUUUCUCUUUCUCGCUCUCCAAACAGAGCAAAAGGACCGUCGCAAGAUUCUUCACUUCCAUCCAAAAUCAUGAGCAACGAAUAGUGAGCCUCCCGUUUUCCUUUUUUUGAUAUUAACAUUGUUAACAUAUACUCAUUUUAAUUUGACAAUACUUCAACUUUUUUUAUUUUUUUGCCUUUUCAUUUUUUUUGUUGAAGCAAUUAUCUGUUCAAGCUGUUGCUUAUCGGAGACUCGUCCGUCGGAAAGUCCUGUACGACGAUCAAACUGUUUUAUUUAUUUUUAUUUUUUUCAAUUUUUCAGGAUGAUUCUUAUGUCACAGCUACAUCAGUACCAUUGGAGUUGAUUUUGUGAGUCUCUCUUCUAUAUAUAUGUAUAUAUGUGUAUAAGUUAUAAUAUGAGUCUAUGUACGUGUAUGUAUGUAUGUGUAUGUAUAUGUGGAAAGAAAUGUUGGCAGACUUCAGCAUUUUACUCUUUUUUUUUUUUGGCAGAAAAUAAGAACUGUGGAGCUGGAUGGGAAGACGAUCAAACUGCAGAUUGUGAGUCAAAAUUUCCUUUUAUCUUGUUUUGGGAGAAAUUCGAUUUGUCUUAUUUAGUGAAGGUUAUGUUCAAGAACCUUGUCUUAUUUUCUUUGUUUGAAGAGUGAUAUGUUGAAAUGAGUGUAUUUGUCUUAUAAACAUCAUUUAGGUAAUGUCUUAUGUUUGAUUGUUUUUAAUCUGUUUAGUGGGACACUGCUGGACAGGAGCGUUUCAGGACUAUAACUAGCAGUUAUUACCGAGGAGCCCAUGGAAUCAGAGUAAGGAGCCUUCCCAUUCUUGGUUUAAAUCAGAAAGUUUGUGAUUUACAUGUGACAUCUUAACAGCAUUGUAUGUGUUUAUUAACUUAUUUUUCAUCUUUCAUUAAGCAGUACAUUUUCCAAUAAAUCUGUAUACAAGAUGAUGUAGUCCAAGAAUGGGAGCGAUAAUAUGAUGCAAAUUGUCUAAUAAAUUCUUAUGACAUAUGAUGUUGUCGGAAGUAAAAGUCUUGCAAUGCUGUAUUCUCUUUUAAGAAAGAAUAAGUGGUAAUUUUGUUUUUCCAAUUUUUUAAUUGAGCAACUGUGUGAGAUUAAUUAAAUGUGUUGGGAUUUCAACAGAUUGUCUAUGAUGUAACUGAGAUGGAGAGCUUCAAUAAUGUCAAGCAGUGGUUGAAUGAGAUUGACAGAUACGCAAAUGACAGUGUAUGCAAACUUCUAGUUGGGAACAAAUGCGAUUUAAUUGAGAACAAGGUUGUGGACACAUAGACAGCCAAGGUAUAUUCGUGACUUCUUUCGCCUGAACUUUGAAUAUAAUUUUCAACUCUUCUCAAGUGCAUUUGCUUGAUAAGUUUCUGCAUACCCAGGACACUCAAACUUUGGACAGUUUGUAUCUUGAGCUGGAAUCUUUUUUGUCAAUACGACUUGUUAAAAUAAGGGUUGUUAUCGUUUGAAUCCUUCAAGAAUUGCAAUAAAUCUGAAGUCCAUAAAAAAUAAGAUUCCAUCAUUUUACUAUUAUAUCUAGACAAAAUCCAUUAUUUUACUACAUUUCAUUAGCACCGAUAGUUGACCUAUUGGCUGACUGAUAAAAUAUCAAUUUUGUAGUUUAUAUUAAUUCUUUUUUUGUUAGAAAAUAACACACAAAGUAUUACAAUAUUAUAAAUUCAAAAUAGAAAGUAGUUACAAAUAAUUGCUAUUAGCCUAUGAAUUUAAUAUUUGAUACCUCUAUUUGUGUAAUUUUUUUCCAAGAGUGAAAUUGGUAUUUUUUUUGUACUAACGGAAAUGUAGUAAAAUGAUAAGUUUUGUAAAGAUAUAGUAGUAAAAUGAUAGGCUAAAAUACUUCUUGUAGUUGUUUGAUAUAUUGUAAUUCUUAAAGUAGUCAAUUGAUAAUAUCCCCUAAAAUAAAUGUUCGUAAUAUGUUCUCAUUUUAAUGUAACUGAUUGUUUAAUAAAAUUGUAUUUCUUUGUUAAUCUUUUUUCAUGUGCAUGCUCAGUGAGAAUUUGACUUACUAGAACACAAGUUUGACUCUUCAUUUAAAUGUCUCUUGUAUCAUAUCCUUCAAUGUUGAGUGUGAUUCCAAUAAAAUUGAGUAGGGGGAUCCUUAAAUACCUUUUCCUUUUUUCCAAGGGCCUGCCAAAUUGCUCUAAGUGGUUCUACCCUUUAUCAAUGAAUUAUGACAAUAAAAUUUUUAUUAAAGCAUUUUGUUCCUUAAAUGGUGACUAAUAGUACCCCUUUUUUUGGAGAGGAAAGCCAAACAUGCCCAAAGAGAAUCAUUUACUUUCCUCUAAUGUAUUUUCUAAUUCGUUUUGAGCCUUGAAUGUCUGUUUUGGUGCGUAUUCUCAUUCCAUGUCGAAUCUUAUCCAUAUGGACAACCCCACUUACAAAAAAGUCUAAUGAAUCUAUUGAAGUUCAUAUGAGGUUUGUGCUUUAGAUUUAGACCUCUCUCUCUCUCUCUCUCUCUCUGUCCACUUACAUGUCUUUCACUUACCUGUUUGCAUGCAUGCCCAUUCACACACUUUCAAGAUAAUACACAGUCACUCGUACUUGUGUUUUGGUUGAAUUACUGGCUGCUAACCUCUGUAAUUCAGUUUGAAACUUGCCACCCUUAGUGCUUCACUCAAAUGGUUGGUUAGUGUGAGAUCUGUAUCGUUUUCCUGGUCUCUUUCCAAGGUUAUCUAAAGGGAUUUGCCAGUCUGAUUCUUUUGGGAAUAUCAUUGCAUAAGAUAUCUAUUGUUUGUUAAUGAAUAAUUUCUAUUUAACUAGUUAUCUAUAUAAAUUGGUCAAUUUUAACUGCAUAAUUUGCAUGCAAUAAGAUUUUAUAAGAAUCUUGUUUUCAACUCAUGACUUAGACUAAUGUGAUAUGUUGAGCAUUAAGCUACAAGAUCUGCACAUCAAAGUGCUUCACAAUGUUAAGGAGAAAGCAUCUUUUUCUGCUUCUUCAUCUGAUUUAAAGUUUCCAAGGUACUUAUCCAAUAAAAUAUCCUUCAAGACUUUGGAAAUGCUUUUAUGUAUGACUGAGAGAAACUUGUUGGGUUGGUUUUUAGCAACAGACGGAGUUAUGGACUUUGUGUUGACUUGUUAUUGAUUAAGACAGUACAUCGGCUGAUCUAUUGGCAUCAAGCAGCAGAUGCAGAAAUUAUGGGUGGCAUACCAUUGUAUCCAAAUAACAUACUACAUUGAUUUUUCUGACUUUCUGUUGGUCUCCGAGAAAUGCAGGCAUUUGCAGAUGAACUGGGGAUUCCUUUCCUGGAGACGAGUGCCAAAGAUGCAAUCAAUGUGGAGCAGGCUUUCUUGACCAUGGCUGGCGAGAUUAAGAAAAAGUAAAAUCACUUAACUCUUUCCUUCUUGCCGACUGUUCUUAUUUAACAAUCACCAUUAUUGCUGGUUAUAUGCAUUGUGAUGAAAAUUCUGCAAUGAGUAACUUUUUACCUAAUGUUUUCUGUUGGAACAAAUUACUCUGGUAGAAAAGCCCUACAGGGUUUGAGAAAUCCCAUGAUGUGAUGAUUGUGAGCAUUUUAGACACCGUGUAUGGGUUUAUUUUGUGACUAUAAAAUGUUAAGAUUGUUUCUAGUUUUGGUUUGUAGUGCAUAAAAGGAUUCAAAAUUUGACAUCUGUCUAAAUCAGAUUAAUAACAUGAUAAUGUACAUAUGCAAGAUGUGAGGAAUUGUUUUAUCUCACCCCUAAACUUUAAGAAAUUGAAACAUUAUUAUUCAAAAUAUUUAACAUUUCCAGAAUUGAUAGUUGUCUAUUUGAGCAGUGACUGGUGGUUAUCAUGAACUGAUGUGUGGUUGUGGUUUCAAAUCUUGGUGAAACCUGUUGUCAUAUGCUGAUUAACAUAGCUAGUCUCUGAAACAAUUUGUUGAUUCACUAAUUAUGAGUUCAAAUUUGAUGCAGAAUGGGCAACCAGCCUUCUGCAAACAAAUCUUCUGGAACAGUUCAGAUGAAGGGAUAGCCAAUCCAGCAAAACUGCAACCGCUGUGGUUAGCCGAGCAUCUUAUUUUACUUCUACAUGUUAGCUGACUGAUUGUAGACAGUUUUAACUAUGUUGACUGCAUUAUCUUAUGAAUCUUUUAAUCUGUCAAAUAUUUAUUUCCUGGUUUAAGUUCUUUCCCGUUUAUAACAAAUUUAAUUUCUUGCUCCAUUGCAUUCCAAAUUCCUGUCAAUUUACGAGGGAAAAGGAAAAGAGAGACAAAAUGGGAGAAAAUGGUCAAAUUUGUUAGGGGGAGAGAGCUGUUCAAGUAGUUUUUGUUCUCGUUUAUUGUCAUAUCGGAUGGGUAAAGUUACCGAAACAGCGUCAUUUUGGGUGAAUUAUCAUAUUUAUGUAACACUUUUGAUAAUAUUUUUAUGCAACAAAAAAAUGUUAGUACCCUUUUCACAUUGUGAAGCGCAUGAUCGGAUGAGAGCAGUCUGUAUUCUGGCAUCACAAGCUAAUGCUUUGAUUUGCUUAGUUUGUUUUUUUUUUUUUCAUGGAAUUUGGAGAUGUUGUACAUGUAUGAAGAUGACGUAAUAAAGUUGUUUUGAUAAAUUUCCCUGGUCGGUUUACUUCACUAACCAUUAAUGCGCAAAGCCUCCUAAUGACCCUAAAAAUCCCGUACAUAAUUAAAGAAUUUCAAUUUUAUAUGUACAAAAAUAAAUAACUCUCAAAUAUAUUAUUUGAUAAUUCCAAAAACAACAGUUCGCUCUAAUAAAUAUCGUAGGAAAUACAUAGUCUAUAUUGUAAGUCUUUUCGAGACUAAUUCAAAGAGAAAAUACAAAAGACAUAUAAUUGAUCUUUAUCUGUUAUAAAGAACUCUAAAUAAAUUCAUAUACGCAUUGUAACUAAUUACAGCCUUGAUACUUCAUUUGGUUUUUGUUAAUUUUCUAUACAGUUGUGCUGUGCAUUAAAGUUUUGUUAAAUGAAAUCGGUAGGUGAGGAUUAAUUAAUCAAUUAAUUAAGAUCCAGUUAAUGUAAUUAAUUUUAUUUGAUUUUUUUAAUUCGAGUUCCAAAUUAAUCAAUUAAUUUAGAUUCAUGUGAAAUUGAAGUGAAUUAGUUUCGAUCUGUUUUUCGUCCUAUGUUUGUCUGUGUUUACUCUUACUUUUUUUUUUGGUUUAAAUUUUCGUUUUCUUAUUGUUUACUUAAUAAAUUUCUGAGCUUUAUUUAAGUAUGAUGAUUGAUUUGUGAUUUUAAUCUAAAUGUGUUGGGCUGCGAUUUAAUUGAGUAAUGUGUGAGCGCCAAAUUGUGAGAGCCAAAUAUUCAAUAACUGAUAAAUUAUAUUUAUAAAUAUUAAUAGCGAUGGCACAUAAACAAUUAAUUCAAGAACUUGCCCAUAGUGAUUAAUUUAAAGAGUAUAAGUAACAUCGCAAUACAGUCUAGCCCUUACAUGUUUAAUUAGCAAUUGAAAACUACUGUUGCUGAUGAGGUAGAACAUUAUAACACUGUUGCUGAUGAGGCAGCUGGUAAUUCUUCUGGUGAAGAUAUUAAGACUAUUAAAGCUGAAAUGUAAUUAGAGAAAUAUAAUGCAUUCCCUUAGUUUGCUUUUUGUUUUUUAUAUUUGUUUGGCUAAUGCUUUGCUUAGAUUACUUUUUGUUUUUGAGAUUUUAUUGGCUUAGUCAUGGGGUAUUGUUUUCUCUUCUAAUUUCUAUUUUUGUUGUUAUGGGAUUUGAUUGUAGUGUACAUAUACGAAAAUUAUGUAAUCAAGUGCUUUUAAUAAAUCAUGAUCGAUUUACUAUUAAUUAAUUAAAUUUAAUUUACUAAAAUUACUUAUGUACACGAUUAAAAUAAUUUUAAUUCCAUGAUAUAUAUACACGCGCGCGCACACAAACAAAAUGCAAUUAACUUUGAAAUAUAAAAUAUUUAAAAUAAUCACCGUACUAACAAUAUUUGCCAGAGUCUGAUGAAGAGAAUAUACACACACAUAUAUAAGCGUACAGCGGAAGGAUAAAUAAAAGAAAAUAAAGUUUCUACAGCUGAAUAAUGCAAACUCAUUUUUUUUAAGUAUUUUAUUGAUUAAUUCAAAAACCCAUUAUAUACAUGAUAAAGACUCACCAACGCCGAACCAUAUUAAUUUAAAUUAAUUUUCAACUGAGAUUUGAAUUUUAAAAUUACAUACACAAACACGCCCAAUUUUUUUUAAAAAGUACUAACAAUAAAAUAUUUCAACCGUCCUCUGUUUAGCCGCCAAAAACUGAUUUACCAUUUAUUACAACGAAAGGUAUACAUAGACGGAUAAAUAAUGCUAAUCAACCAAGUCCAAUCAUAAUAAUUUGAUUAUCCAUAUAUUAACCAUGUCCAAUCAUAAUAUUUAAUAAUCACCAAACUUACAAUUCCCAAGUUAGAUUAUACGUAUGAGAAUCUAGCAAGUCCAAUGAUAAUAAUUUGAUUUUUAUUAUAUUAACUGUGUCCAAUCAUGCUAUUUUAAUAAAGAUCACUCGAAUAUUUAUUUGUCCAACGGGUAAAAUUUCAAAACAAUUUUUGCCAAAGUCCUCCUCAGCUGAAUAAUGCAAACCCGUUACGUUAUUCUACCAUUUCUUAAAUUUAAAGCAUUCCACCAUUUAAUUAAAAAAAUUCGAAAACCCAUUAUAUACAAUACAAAAAGCCCACCGACACCAAACCAUAUUAAUUUAAAAUAAUUUUCAAUUGAGAUUUGAAUUUUAAAAUUACAUACACAAACACACCCGAUUUAAAAUAAUAAUAAUAAUAAUAAUGCUAACAAUAAAAAAUUUCAGCCGUCCUAUGUGUUAUCGCCAAAAACGGAUUUCCAAUCUAUUACAACAUGAGGUAUAUGGGUUAACAAGUCCCAAUAUUGUCCUCCAUCCUUUCUGCACUUCUCUUCUAUCAACGGACAUUCCCAGAUAUUUAAUUGCAAAAGUGAGGAAGGCAGGCCCUUCUCCGGAAAGUAUUUGAGCUUGGGACAAUCAUAGAGAUACAAAUGAGUGAGGUUUUGAAGAUCAACAAUUGAAGAAGAUAGGCGUUCCAGAUUUGGAAAAUCUUGAAUCCACAGAGACGUUAGAGAGGCAGGAAGAGGAAGCGCGGUCCCUAAUCUUUUGUCCUCUAGUGGAAAUGACACCAUCACCGUGUCGUCAUCACAUCCUUGGAUUAUGAGUUCUCGCAAAGAGGAGAAUCUGUGAAAUCCCCGGCCCCGCUCAAUCAUUGACUUCCAAAUCUCCAUAUUACCCCAAAUACAAAGUGACUGAAGGUUGGUGGGAAGGCCAUCUUCUUCAAGGCUUGGAAGCUCACCUCCUCUUCUUAUUGUUAAUUUUUGAAGAGAGGUCAGAUUGUGCAAUCCCUUGGGUAAGGCCUCUAGUCUCUCACAAUCAGAUAUCGUCAGCCUCCUGAGUUUCGCACAAGGCAAUCCCCCUUCGGGAAAGGACACCAGGUUUCCACAACUCCGUAUAGUAAUCCCUCGAAGCUGCCGGAGAUUAUGUAAACCACUCGGUAAAUUUUUUAGAUUUUCACAAUCAUCUACACUAAUUGUUUCAAGAGAUGUGUUGUUGUCCAACCUUUCUGCUAUUGACUCCAGCUUUGAACAUCCAUAAACACGAAGGGACUUAAGAGACGGAGGUAGAUUGCCAACUUCAAGGGACUCAAGCGUGGCAGGUAACUCGUUUUUUGAAAAUAUACAUGUCAGUGAUGGACAAUCCCUAAUUUCUAACUUCUCAAGAAGAGAUGAGGUGUACCUUCUAUUGCUGCUGCUUCUGCUACUCUGGAUGCCCUCUUCCACUGUCAAAGUCCUUAUAUUAUCGCAACACCAGAUCAUCAACUUCUUAAGGCUUGAUGGUAGCUGGACAGCAGCAAUAUAUGUCAACGAAUGGCAAUACUCAAUAUACAAGAUCUCCAGAGACGAAUUGGUGUCGCACAUCCAUGCCUCUGGUAACGAUUUCAGUGCAUCACAUUCCCCAAUCAGAAUUUUCUUCAACUUGGAAGGCAGAGCAACCUCAGGAAAGGAAACAAGGGAACUGCAUUUGUAGAUGUCUAUCUCUCUCAAGGAACUGAGGCUGAACGAUGAUUGUGGCAACUUCACAAGGCCUUCGCAUUCUCUCAAUCUUAGACAUUCAAGUCUGCAUGACAACUCGCGGAGCUGCUGUUGUUGGUCUUUCUCUUCCUCCGCGACCAAGGAUUGAAGUUUGGGACAACUUGUAAUCAGCAGUCUUUUGAGAGAGCAAAUGUCUUGCAGUAAUUCGUUAUGACUCUUCCAUAUAUGUGUUUCAUUUUUAAUAUUUUUUAUCUCCAAUUCUUCCAGUUUUGGUAUUCGCGGCUUCAAUGGCCCUGCGAGAAACACUUGAUUUGAUGUAUCUCUACAAACCACUGAAUUCUGUGAGCCGAGAUGAUCAGUUGCACUUCUCCACACAACCUUUUUACAUCCACGAAUUACCAAUUUGCAAAGAGCUGGAAGACUCCUAAUUGAAAUUGACAAUUCUUCGCAUUGUUCAAUAACAAGCAUCUCCAAUGCAGGAAGGUGCUCUGGAAAUGUUCCUUGCAGUUUAGAACAUCUUAAAAUGUGAAGCUCUCUCAAUUUAGGAAACCGUUCAACUCCCUGACUGGAUCCAUGAGGAAUCCACUCUUCCCACUCUUGCAGGUUUUCAAAACGAAGAGUCUCCAAGCAUGUAAAUGGAAUUUGAGAGUCAUUCCCAUAGAACUCUGAACCCAAACUCUUUACUCUACUCAUUCCACGCACUGCAAGAUGCUUUAGAAAGGAUAGUUGCCCGACUGACGGCAAGGUAGUACACACGCCGCAAUCUUCAAAUUUAAGUGUCACUAAAUUUGAGAAUGAGGAAUCUCCUAACCAUGUUGGAAAUUUUGUACCUCCAUAGCCACUGAUACAAAAUUGUUCCAGAUUUUCAUGAGGUUUUAGCAUGUCGAGGACAUCCUUUUCAGUUUCUGCCUCCCUUGAAGACAAACCAUUGGUACUCCGUGUCCAUCGAAACUUUAACACUUUAAGAUUCUUCUUUCCAUCCAACCGAGCCUCCUUUGCAUCACCAAUGUCUUUUACAUUCCCUAAAUUUGAAAUUUUAAGUGUCCCCUGAAGAUGUAUCAAUGACUUUAGCUCUCGUAACCCAGAACCAUUGUCUUUUCCCACAGCAAAAUUACUCAACGUCUGAAGACAAGUCAGCUUACCAAUUCCUACUGGCAUUUCCUCCAACGAAUCUGUAUUUGAAUUAUUGAGAUGAUGCAAUUUGAUGAGGUUUCCCGUGGCUGCACACAACUUCUUCAGUCGCCGACAGUCUUCCAACAGAAGGGUGUGCAAAUUGUAAAGCUUGCUGACUGAUUCAGGCAGAGUUUUAAUCUCAGUUCCAGACAGGUUAAGGUGCCUUAAAUACCUCAAAUCACCAACUGAAUCCGGCAGCUCGGAGAUGUGAUAUCCACGCAAAGAGAAGACCCUCAACCGUUGGAGUUUGAACAACUUAGGAAGAAUGCUAUGAGCCAAGUAUCCACGCGAACUAUUUGUCAACAUUACUGGUAAAAAAGUUCGCAAAUGUUGGAUAUCGUACAAGCCCUCAAACCUUUUAACGCCAUCACAUGCUCCACCAAUGUACGAUAGAUGACGAAGAUUUUUGGAAAAACUUUGUUGCUUGUUAACCUCUGAGGUAUACUCCAUUGUGAAGUACAUCUCCCCUGCAGCCCAAUGAGCAAGGUCGUUGACAAGGUCGUGCAUCACAAAUCGUGAUUUAUUGUUGCUUGAUUGCUGAAAAAAAGAUCUUGAACGUAGCUCUUGAAAGAACUUUCGACCUAGAUCUUCAUUAGGAUUCCCGCUCUCUUUGUGAUCCAAGAAACCCGAAGCACACCAUAAUAAAAUUAUCUCCUCCUCUUCAAAUUCAUAAUCCUUUGGAAACAAUGAGCAGUAUGCAAAGCAUUGUUUCAAAGGUGCCGAAAGAUAAUAGUAGCUCACUCUAAGCGCCGGUAUAAUGUCACAUCUCUCUUCUGGUAAAUCCCAUAUCUUGCAACUGAGCACACCUUCCCAAUCACUCCGGUCAAGUUUACCACGCAAGAGACCACCAAGAGUUUUCGCAGCUAAGGGCAAGCCGUUGCAUUUGAUCACUAUCUUCUUGCCAAUUUCCUCCAAUGACUUGUUUGAACUGAAAUCUCUUGUCCCCAAAGAGUGUUGAGCGAACACAGACAGACAAUCAUCAUUUGACAGCUUUUUCAAAUGAUAAGCCCGAGCAGUCCCCAUGAUGGCUGCAACCUCUUGAUUACGAGCUGUGACAAUAAUCUUACUCCCCGGUGCGCCAGCUUCAAACGGACGGCUCAUGUCAACCCAGUCAUUGUAAUUCUCAUUCCAAACAUCGUCUAAAACAAGCAAAAAUUUCUUUUGAGAUAACUUCUUCUUCAGCUCCUCUUGAAGCAAAUUUAAAUCACUGUCAUCAGUAGUCUGCUUAGUAAUGGAUCUUAGAAUUGUUUUUGUUAGCCUGAUAACAUCAAAAUCAUCAGAGACACAAGUCCAUGCCUUGAGAUCAAAAUGACCCUGCACUCGAGCAUCAUUAUAGACAAGCUGAGCGAGAGUGGUUUUGCCCAGCCCGCCCAUGCCUAUAAUAGGAAUAACAGAGAAUUCACCAUCAUUUCUCAAAUCAUCCCUCAACAACAAUUCAACAAUUUCAUUCUUUUCUGUUUCCCUCCCAUAUACCUUGGCUUCAGUCACUAAAGAGGUUGUGGGUAGUCUUUGCCUGUCUUUUCUGGACCUCCCAGCUGAACUUACGUUCAAACCGAGCGAGUCUUUCUGUGUUACAAUAUCUUGAAAUCUGUCGUUGAUCUCUUUGAUUUUGGACAUUAUGGCGUAAUCGAACUGAAUCGAUUGUGGAGUAAAAGUGGUGCAGCAAGUAGGAAUGAGCUUCUGAAACUUACUUGUUCUUGUACGACUGCUACUGGGUUGAUCCUGAGCCGCAGCUGGAUCUCCAUUUCCAAGCAGCAACUUCCUCCGGAAAGCCUCAGUUUGAAACUCAUCCAGCAAGUCUUCAACAUCAAAAGCCAAGUUCUGAAGCUCAUCAAGCCACAACUUCACAGACUGAUCAGUCUUCUUCUCCUCAGCAUCAGCAAGCACCGCCUUGAUCAUCACCAACAUAUUCUUCCACUUCUUUAGGUCGGCUUGGAUUUGCUCUUGGCGUGCAAACAGCCGAAUCCCCUCUGAAGCUAACUUACUGACCAGCAAAUCAACGGACGCCGUAAGGAUUGCCUCUCCGAUGAAUGACAUUUUUUGUUCUUUUUCUUUUUUUUUGGUUUUGCAAAGAAAGAAAGGAGCAGAAUUAUGGGUUAUGGAAAGCAGAAUGAGAAAAUGGAACAGGUGAGAAAAUGGAUAAUUAAGCAGAAUGAGUUUGUGAUUGUGAAGGGUCUGGCCCAGCAAGCUUAGUAGAAAUCACGCGUUUAUACUUUAUUGACCAAUGACUAAUAAUUUGGCAAUUCACUCAUUAAUAUUUAGCAAUUCACCAAUCAUCACCACUUGUUACGAAACCAUCUCAUAAACCAAGUUCGUAGGUCGAGCAGUUAAUCCAGUGUCUAUUUCCUAGAACCUUCAUCUCAUAAACAAGUUCAAUCAAAACGUUCCUCUCUCUAUUUUUUUUUUUUUUCAAAACUCCUAAAACGUUUCUUUUUAGAAAUAUUUUACUUUAUUCAUCUAAUAUGUUAUCUAACAAAUAGACACAAUUGAAAUCACUCUAAAGUGAAGAUGAAAGGGGAAAAAAAUAACCUUCCAACCACCAGUAAUUUAGCAAGCUUCACUUUAUUCCACCACCAAAGUGUAAAUAAAGCCAGCCCCCACCACCAUCAAUAAUUUUGUUGUCUUCUCCUUGACGAACUGGACAUGAGUGCACCAAGAAUUAAUGACAGAAUUUUAAAAAUAAUAAUAAGAGAAAAACCUACACAUUUUGGACUUAGAGUAGAACCAUAAUUAAUGCUAAAAUCUACUCAGCUAACAUUUUCAAAAUAUUGUUCUUUAUGAUUUUCAAAACCGUGAUUAAGGUUCAUCUCAAAUGUUUGAAGAGAGUCUAUCAGUUCUUCUACGUUAAGAAUAUUAAAAUUCUUACUUUUUCUUCAAACAUUGAAUAAUGAAAAAAAAAAUUGAAUAUGGAGGAAAAUAGAAUGCAUCCAUCUUCGCUGUAGAAGUCUUCUACUUAUAAAAGCAAGUUAGAAUAAACGAUUUUAAUCUCUCUUUUUAUUCCUGUAAGUGUACUAUAUUUUUUUUUUAUCUCAAUGCGAAAUCGUAUCAUAAUGUUAUAUUUCUGUUGUAAAACGAAAUUUUAAAUAAAACAAAUUCGACUUAUUUUUUAAAGGUAUAUAUUUAGUAGGUUACUAACAUAACUAACAAAACGUGAUUAUUACACUAUUUGUUUUUGUUUUAACUUUAUUAAUCAAUAAGCAAACAUGUAAUGAUUUGUAUAUAUCACUAGCAUCACAUUAUUAGGAGGUAUUGCGCUUAGUAUUCACAAUUUUUGUAAGAUGAAUUUGUAAGACUAAUUAAUUUUGAUGAAAAUGUAUUUGUAUUAAGAUAUUAUUUAAUUCAUUAAGUUAACUUGAGGUAUUAAUAUUCACUAAUUGUGGUGCUGAUUAAUUUACUUAACUUGUCACUAUUUACAAUUAAGAAUGAGGUUCAAUCAAUUUAUUGGGAAAAAAAACAAAGAUUUGAUUUUAAUUCUUAGGAUUUGAUUUCGCUCUCUUUCGCUUUUUUACGUUGCUAAAGAGGCAGUAAAAAGCUUGCUGAAUGUCAUCAAAUGCUUGUAUCUCAUCUCACAAAUUGGUAAUAUUUGUUUGGUAUUUCAUCUCAACGGAUGCAGUAAGGAUUGCCUCUCCGAUGACUGACAUUUUUUUUUCUUUUUUCCGGCAAAGACUGGAACAGAAUUUUGAGUUUCGAAAAGCAAAAUGAGAAAAUUGAGCAAUUCACCAAUCGGUCAAGCAAAAUGCGCGUAACAAGUCUUCCGCUUGUUGUUUAUUCCACUCAAGUGAAAAUAAAAACAGAGCCCACCACCCAUUAAUAAUUGAGCAAUUCACCAAUCACCAGUCACCACCACCCGUUACCAUGAAUAUAAUAAAUUGCACCUUGAUAUUUGCAGGGUCCGGCAACAUUGACCCAGUGUCCGGGUAAAUGCUGAAUAAAGAGGAAAAUGAAGUGUAUCCACUACGAACCCUCGCUUUACAAGUCUUCAAACUCAUAAACCAAGUUAAAUCAAAACGUUUAUCUCUCUCUCGCUCUUUUUGCCAUAUAAUAACUUUAUUUAUUAAAUUAAUUUCCAUGCUAAAAGGAAGACUUAAAAGUGCACUACAAUUUUUUAUAAUCACAAUAGUAAUUUCUACUAUCAUGUUAUUUUAAUGUCGUGUUAAAAUAAAUUAUUACAAAAUUUUUUUUAUGAACACUCUUUUCAUUUAUAAUUUUUAAUUUUUUUCUUACUCUUUUAGUCUUAGAGCCAGUUUAGUAAUGCUGCAACUUUUAAAAUAAUUAAAUAAAGCUUAUAACAGUAGAGCUUAUAGCAGAAGAACUUAUACCAAUGAAGCUUUUGAACAAAAAGUCAUUGGGUAUUUGAUUAUCAAUAAAAAAAAAUAUUUUUAAAUUAUUAAACUAUAUGAUAUUUUUUAUAUUAAAUAUUUUUUAGAUAAGCUCUCUAACCUCUAUUCCCAAAAGCUUAAAUUUUGGGCUUUUGCUAGUAAAGGUAAAUUAACUUAUUUAAAUUAAAAAAACUUUAAUAAAAAAAUAACUAAACACUAUAAAAAUUUUUAAAAAGUGCUUAUACGAUUAAAUAAAUACUUAUAUCUCUUAAAUAAGGCAUACCAAACAGUCACUUAAUAUUUAUAUUUCUCUUCAAAAUUUUUUUAUUAUUUAAUUUUUAAAUAAAAAUAUAAAAAAAAGUAAGAAAAAUAUUAUACUUACAAAAUAAUAAAUAUUUUAUGAAUUAAUACAAACUGUAUUAUUUUUUACGAUGAAAGAACACGCGAAAAAUCUUACUCAUUAAAAAUUUUGUGAAAGGCAUUUGAAUGUGUGGCCACAUUUUCCGAACGAAACGAUAAGGCUUUAGUCUUAUAAUUGCAAUUAGUUUGUCUUGUAACUAAAUUAUUGCCGACAAACACCAUCAUGCCGACAAACCGUGCAUGCACGUCCUCAAAGACUUUGACAUUGGGGACAAAGUGGUUGUAAGGGGUGGGGAUUAGUCAUAAGGUGCUUUGAAAUAAAUAGGUACUUGACAUUUGGCUCACUGAUUAUGUGUGCAAUAUUCCCGUAUUUCCCAUUACUUCCCGUACUUUAUGCUUUAUUGUUUUGUAUGUCUUUUGGUGUUUACGGUGCAGUUAGGGAUGGCAGCGGGUAGGGUCUGGUACGGAUUUGACAUCACCAGACCCGCAUCUAAAAACAAAUUUAAUUACUAAAUUCGCUAUGGGUUAUAUUUAAUUUUAUUUUUUUAACAAAGCCCAUUCACCGUGGGUUUGAUUGGUGCCCGGUAGAUAUUUUGUGAGUUCCCACGUAUAAAAUCACACUUGCAACAAAAUAUAAAAAUUUAAAUUACGUAAUUUAAAUUAUAAAUUUAUAAUUGUUGCUAAAAAACCACAUAAAAUAUUUAGUUCUACAUUUUAUUAACGUAAAUGAGAAAUGAAAAUAUCAACAUUAAAACAAAUAUACAAAAUAUAUCAAUUUAACACGAAUUUUUAAAUUUAAUUACCAAAUAAAUAAGCCUAUCACAACUCGAUGUGCUUUCAAUUGAAAAAGAAAAAAGAGAAAGAGAAAAAAAUAAAGAACUACAAAUCAAAGUAGCACCCAUGACCUAUUUCAUAGGCUCAUUUGACACUAAGAUCUUAGAAUUAAGAUCUUCAAUUCACUCAUUACCACUAGCACCCAUUCAAUGUAGUUUUUCUAAACAAAAUAUAAAGUACAAAAUUACAAUAAGCAUAUGAUACUCCAUACUUUAUGUUAAAGAUCCUUAUAUAAUUUUAUGACUAUUUUUUAGCGAAAUUUUAUGAUUAAAGUUAAAAAUACAAAUAUUAAAAUAAGAAUUUUGGACACUUGCGCAACUAUUUGCCAAAUUUUUUUUCUAUGAAAAUCCACCUGCAACUUGCAGCAAGUUUAAGUUUAUAAUAUCAAACUUGAUUGUAGCUCGCAAAAUUUUUGGAUUUGAGAUAAUUUUACCACCCUAAGUGUAGUUAGUAUUAUAUGUCGUGUGCUUCCAAUUGGCUCUUAUAAAAAGCCUAGGAGUUGUUUGAAUAAUGAUGGAGACAAAUAUUUCCCAAAAAUAUUCUCUUUUAACAUUGUGGCUUUUGGCUUGUCCAGAGAAAUUUAGGAUAGAUUUUGAUGUAUUAAGGCUCGUUUUACUAUUGAGAUUUUGGAACUUUUGAGCCACACUUGAAAUUUGUAUUAUUCUAAUAUGUGAUUGGUAUUAAUCAGGUGUUAUGUUUACAGCAGUUAAAGGCAUAUUGAAUCAAAGUCCACUUUUGAUUGAGAUUUUAAAGUAGGUUUUUAAUUUGAUAGCCACUCAAGUUCAAAUAUUGGAACCACAGUGCUUUAUAACCAAGUGGGAGAACUUCUAUCCUGAAAGUUGAGAGCUGCAGAUCGAGUUUUACUACCAACAAAAGUUGGUGUUAAGACUUUAGUUGCCCUCCUACUUAUGGAUAAGGGUAAUUAGGACUUUACAUCCCCUCCUACUAAUAGAUAGGGGUUACUAGGAAUAUUAAAAAAAGGUUCAAAUAUUGAAAAAAAUAGGUAUGGGUUAUAAAAUUCAUAAUACAAGAACAGUAAAUCAAGAUAAAAAUUUAAAAAUUUAGAACCAUGAAAGCGUAACUUGUAAGUUUCAAAGAAGCAUGUGCAAACAUAUGUGUAUCGAUACCCAUUAAGGGUGGGCAUUAAGAUCGGGUUAACUCGAACUGAACCUUAAAUUUAUUUUGGGUUCAAUUUGAUUUUGGUUGAACCUUUCAACUGAGUUAAAAACUUAUAAACGAUUGGGUUGUAUUUCUAUUCGAAUUUAACAACAAACUAAGCAACCUAAUCAACUUAAGUAAGCAAAUUUUAAAAAAAAAAUCCCAAAAAAUUAAAUCUAACCCUAAUUAAAAAAAAUUCAACCCCGGCCUCCUUCUCGUCUUCUUUUCUUCUUCUUCCUCUUGCUCACCCCUAAUGCCCCAUUAAUGGAAUUCCAACAGCUAGAAACGCGUUUCAGCCGCUUGCGCGUGUGUGAAAUUUUCCUUCCCAUAGGAUUGUUCGUUUCCUUGGCUUGCAUUAACAAAUUUGAAGAACAAUUAAAAAUUAAAAGAAAAUAAAAAGUGCUUUCUUUUUUAACGAUGAUAAUUUGUUCGGAUGAUGAAAAUUCUUAGAGUGGUAUAAUAAGUAUUUUCGAGUGUUGCCAUCGCGAAUAAUAUUUAAUUUCAUUUAUAUAGUUAUAUCUCAAGUAACAUUUAAACAGAAGCAAGUUGGAAAUUAAAAAAAAAAAAGAACCAUUGAGAGUAUGAAAAACUAACCAAAAAAAAAAAGUUAAAAAUUUGUAUCUCAAUAAAUUUACUUGAGAGCUACUCUACUAAUCCGUGAAGAGAAAACACAAAGAAUAAUGAUGUAUCUCAAUUAAUAGGACAAUUUUUGUAUUUUUCGUUUAUUCAAGAAUCAUGAAACUUCAUUUAAACUUGUUAUUUCAUUAAUAAUAUAUUAAUAUUGAACAAUUUAGGAGACAUUCCUUUCCAAUUAUGCCCAUGUAUUAAUUAAAAACCACAAAAAUGUUCAGGGAUACUAUAGUAAUUUAAGUCAACAAUUUCUGUGCUUCAAAUCAUCCUAUUAGACUCACUUCAGAAUAAACUGAGAUAUCAAAAUCACAUUCUCCAAUUCUACAAUUUCAAUUCAUCUUCAUAACUUCAACUGAAGAAUUGAUUGUAUCUCGUUUUAAUUUUUUUUUAUGUAAAGAUAAAUAUAAAAUAUAAAUGGCGAGGAGACUGGAAAAGUAAAAUCAAAAGAAGAGCACGAGUUUUAUUGAAAAUUACUCUUUUUCAUCAUUUUGCCGGAGUGAAUGUAUCUACAUUUAAACGAAAGAAGCACAUUUGUUUGUAUUAGCUUUUUUAUUGUAUUUUUAAUAAUAAGUCAUUUUUCAAUUAACUUAUAUCAUUUUUUACGAAAAUAAUAGGUGUUAGUUAGUUGAUUCAAAUGGCAAGACCUCUUGGGAUAGAGUUUGUAAUUUAGUGGCUUAUCAAUUGUUUAAAUAGGCAUUAUUAGAGCCAAAUUAUUGUAUUUGGUUAAAAAAGCUCCUACUUAGCUUACAACUUUAUUAUCCAAUUAUGUUUAUUAAUAAAUAACAAUUUUAUUGAAAAAAAAACAAGAUAUGUUGAAAUGAUACAAAAAAUUUGGGAUGUAAAUCUUACUCGAAUUUAGCUUGAGGUUGGCAUUGUUAGCAUAAUAUUUGAAGAUAGAUUUUUUAAAUUAAAAAAAAAAUUGGGUUCACACUAGUUAGUUUUAACUCAUAGUGAGAUUUAAACAAAAACGGAAUAAUAAAUCUUGAUAUCCUAACUCAUGAAUAACAUCUACAUAAAAUAGGAAAAUCUAUUGUGUCGAAAAUAAGGGGUUUGGAGUUUGAAUUUCGCUCACAUAGGUAGCAAGAGAAUCAAAUUAUUGUUAGAUUAAAUUAAUUAAAAAAUUAUCUGAUAUCCAAAACACAGCAUAUCAAAAAAAAUUGAAAUAAAGGAAAAUUGAAAAGCAAAACGAUUGAGAGAACGAAGAACUAACACAAGAAAAUGCCGAUAAUUAAUUGCCUCAGCGGCCACCAACUUAAUUAUGCUUAUUAAAGCCUGGGUUAUUUCAUUUUCAUUGAUAAUCAUUUUGACACCGGUCAAAUUUAAAAGUUUAAAUAAUGGGGGCCAUUUUUCUUUCCAGCUAUGCCCAUUAGCUAAUAAAAGAACCGCCGAAAGGGUUCGGGGAUAAUAUAGUAAUAUGAUUGAUAAUCAUUUUGGAGCUGAGUAUUCUUCGUUCCACAUUUUGGGUUUUGGUUGACCAUAUUUUAAUACUUUUCUGGAAAAUAAGUUUAUAUUUAUUGACUUGUAAUGGGUGCAACUCAUGUUUUUGAAACAUUAAGAUCUGGAAAAUGCUUCUCAGCGAGAAUGCUGAGAGAAUGCCGAGAGAAACGGCAUACAGUAAUGCCGUUUCUCUCGGCCCCACCCCCCACCACGUGAACUUUUGCCCCUUUUGUUUUUUCUUGCUACUUUUGCUUUUUCCACAUUCUCUCGGCGUUCUCUCGGCAUUCUUGACGUCUAGCACUCCUCGAAAGCAACAUCAUAUUUUAAUUACUUACACUAAUGCGGCAACUGCUGCUUACUUACACUAGUUAGUUUUUUUUUGCAACAUCAUAUUUUAAAAAUAUUAUUAUUAUUAUCGUCGUUAUUCUUAACAGCAAUGACUAGAAUUAUAAUAAGAACAAUAACGUUAAUACAAUAAUAUAACAACAUAAUAAUAUUUUAAUUGAGAGGAUAAGAAUGAAAUUAUGAAAUUUAGGUUGGAUAAAAAUGGUGAGUAUGAAGAAAUUAAAUUAUCAUUUUUUAAGCUAAACAAUUCAUAAAUUCCACAUAUUUCAUUCUUAUUUCUCUUAUAUUUUAACAAGUAAACAUUAUCAAUCGUUUUAAUAUUUUAAUUAAUAAACACGGCAUUAACUCGGGACUAAAAGAUCCCAAAAAAAAAAAAAAACACAGAGACGCGUGUAUGUAUUGCUUGUGACAAAUCUCACCCAUGGAAAACUUUGUGAAAGUCAUUUGAAUGUGUGGCCACAUUUAAUGAACGAAACGAUAACUAUAACAGAAAGUAUGUACUGUGUUCAUUAUUAGGCUUUAGCUUAAUGAUUGCAAUUAGUUUGUCUUUUAAUUAAAUUAUUGCCGACAAACACUAUCACGACCCACGUCCGCUACUUGUGUGAAUGUGUGUAUAAAUAUCCGCAGCAUAUUAUCAAACCUGAUGCGUGAUCAUCUUUAACUUUUGGUUAGGGUUCAUCAGACGUUGGAAGAUAUCUUUCCUAAUUUGAAGAAGAUGGAAACUCCUUAUCCAGGUUCUUAGGCCAUGUUCAGUUGAAUGUCAUUUAUAAUUUUUAUUUUAACAUUAUGUAUUUAUGAAUACAAUUAUUGUUAUGAUUUUUUCAGGUAAGAAUGGAUGGUCUGAGGGUAACCCAAUAACUAUGUACAGUAUUAUUAAUGAUGAGAGCGUGAAUGACAAUUUGGAUUUUAUUCUCGUCCCUCAAUACGGAAGAAAUCUUGACCAUAGAGGUUAAGUGCUAUGUAACUCUUUCGUAUUAUGUUUAAUUAAUAAUAAAAUGAUGGGUUAUUAUUACUUGUCAAUUAUGUGAGUGUCUUUGUUUGGUUUAGUUCAACUUAUAAAAUCUCUUGAGAUAUACAAGAGAUUUUCUUUAUUUAAUUUUGUGUACCGUGUCUUCUUGUAAAAAGAAAUUAAUAAAAAAAAUAUCAUCGUGUGCAAUGUAUUAACUAAGUUAGUGUAUUCAUGUUAGGUUAAUUGUGCUCUCUCUUCUUGAUAUUUAAAAAAAAAAAACUCCACAUAUUGUUGGUUAGCUAAUUCUUGCAGCUAGCAAGUGAUCCUUUUCUUUCCCCUACUGCCGUAGCAUCAAAUCCUUACAAUUACAUAUCAAGCGGUAUUCGAGCCGUCAAAUGAUCCAUAGAAACACGCAACAAAUCAAAUGCUGAAUUUUGCGAAGAGAUUCACGAAAUCCUUGCUAUACAUGAGUCUAGUUUUGACCAAGUUCACGUCACCCAUCAGCUACGGGUUUGAAUGGUACCUAGUGGAUAUUUUGUGAGUUCCCACUAAUAAAAUCACACUUGCAACAAAACUUAAAAAUUUAAAUUACGUAAUUCAAAUUAUAAAUUUAUAAUCGUAGCCUAAAAAAUACAUAAAAUACUUAAUUAUAGAUUUUAUCAAUGUAAAUGAGAAAUGAAAGUUUUAACAUUAAAAUAAAUACACAAAAUAUAUCAAUUUAACACAAAUUCUCAAAUUUAAUUACCAAAUACAUAAGUCUAUCGCAACUCAAAGUGCAUUCAAUUGAAAACGAAAAAAGAGAAAGAGAAAAAAAACAAAGAACUACAAAUCAAAGUAGCAGCCAUGACCCAUUUUGCAGUCUCAUUCAAUACCACUAUGUUACGGACCGCCCAAUUCGCUAGCCCAAUUGCCCACAAUUUCGGGCUAGAGAGCCAACACAAGGCCAAGAGUGCUAGCUUGGCCCAAUUCCGGAAGGUUCUAGGCAACUCUAGCACAUGUGAACAUGUAAAUAUUCUAGAAUACCUAAUACAAUUCCAGCACAUGUAAAUAGCUAGGAAAUUGUAUAAUAUUCUAGAGUUUGACCAAGUUUGUCAAAGUUAGGCAAAGUUAGGCAAAAGUUAGGUAAAGCCUCCCCUAUAAAUAUGGGAUGGCAUUUGGCAUUUGUAUCCAACAAGCAUUGUAAUCUCUCUUUGUGCAAUACAAGUUUCUUUGGCUCAAUUGCUCUCUCUUCUCUUGUUCGAGAAUCUCUAGGCUUACUUAGCAACAUUCGGCAAAGUUGUCUAAGUGCCGCACGGGUUAGCUGCGCAAAACACUCAUCCCGUGACAAGUGGUAUCAGAGCUAAGGUUUGCACGCACGCAAAUUAGCUCACGAAGCAAUGGCCAACCCUUCGAACGUAGCACAAGAGGGUGUUGUUGGUGUGGAUGUUCCACCGGAACCAAGCCGCGGCCGAGAGGGAGAACGCGCCCAAGGCAAGACUCGCGGCAAGUCCAAGGCCCUAUCCGUGGAUGCGUUGGAGCCUCGUGUAGGCACUCUCGAAAUAGCAUUGUCCGCCACUCAAGAUAGCCUCGUGGGAUUGGAGGAAAGAGUGGAUGGUCUCGAGGGAGAAUACGCCGAGUUCACGGUGGCCACAAAAGCUCUCAUCCAUGAGCAAGCAAACAUUCUCCGAGGUGAGUUUCGUUCUUUCCAUGAUGAGUUGCUCAAACUUCGUAGUUUUGUUCAGGACGAACUACGUGCUGUCCGUGCGGAAGUGGAUGAAGUCCGCUCGGAUUGGGCAUGGCACAAGCGCACACUCUCCACAAGUCCAGCUUCCGCAAACUCGAGUAAUGCGCGCCGCAUUGACGUGCCAAAGCCCGACACCUACGAUGGCACACGCAAUGCCACCAUCGUGGACAAUUUCCUCUUUGGGCUGGAUCAAUACUUCGAUGCCAUGGGCGUCCGAGAUGAGGCAUCGAAAGUGGGCACUGCACCCACCUAUCUUAGAGGCGCUGCACAACUAUGGUGGCGUCGCAAGUAUGGAGAGAUGGGCAAGGGCAUUUGCACCAUCGACACUUGGGCCGACUUCAAGCAAGAACUCCGAAAGCAGUUCGCCCCAAGCAAUGCGGAGAAAGAAGCGCGAGUGCGCUUACGUCGCCUCAAGCAAUCGGGUAGCAUUCGGGACUACAUCAACGAAUUCACUACCCUCAUGUUGGAGAUAAGCGACAUGUCCGACAAGGAUUCACUCUUCUACUUCCAAGAUGGCCUCAAGGAUUGGGCCAAGACCGAGCUUGAUAGGCGUGGUGUUCAAACACUUGACGACGCCAUUGCCGUUGCGGAGUCGCUCACUGAAUACUCUACCCAAUCCAAGGACAAAAAGGCCAACCAAGGCAAAGGUGGGGGAGAGAGUCGCAAGGACAAGGGCAACAACCGCAAAGAUUGGGGGCAGAAAAAGCCACCUAGCAACAAGAGUUGGCAAGGAAAAUCGGAGGGCAAGAAGGAGGCGCCAAAGCCGCGAAACCCAUGCUUCAUAUGCAAUGGUCCUCAUUGGGUACGCGACUGUCCGGAGAAGAGGUCGCUUAACGCUCUUGCUGCCCAACUCAAGAGCAACCCCACAAUGUCCACGGAGGAACCCCAACUCAGCAUGGGUUCUCUCCAACGCCUCGGCGCACUCAACCGCCAACAGCCCGCACUAGUCAAGAAAGGGCUCAUGUAUGUUAGUGCAAAGGUAAACGGCCAGUCCGUUCGCGCACUGCUAGACACGGGAGCAACACACAACUUCGUGUCCGUAGAUGAGGCCAAGCGUUUAGGCCUCAAGGCCACCAAGGAAGGAGGCACAAUGAAGGCAGUAAACUCACCCGCCAAGCCAAUUGCGGGAAUUGCACAAGGCGUGCACAUCACACUUGGUACGUGGAGCGGAAAGCUUGACUUCUCUAUUGUGCCCAUGGAUGACUUCAAGAUGGUCCUCGGCAUGGAAUUCUUCGACCAAGUCCAUGCCUUCCCACUGCCCGCUACCAACUCCCUAAGUAUCCUCGACGGGAGUAAGGCAUGCAUGGUUCCCACGGAACGAGGCAAGUCCGAAGAGAAGACACUCUCCGCCAUGCAAUUCAAGAAGGCUUUCAAGAAGGACCCAAGCUUCUUAGUCUCCAUUCGGGAACUAAAUGAGGAAGGAAAUAGCGGAACUUCGCCAAGCCAAGUCCCUCCGCAAAUUCAAGCCGUCCUCAAUAAGUACAAGGACGUGAUGCCUCCAGAACUUCCGAAGAAGCUCCCACCUCUGCGAGAGGUGGAUCAUGCGAUCGAACUGGAACAAGGCGCGAAGCCACCAGCCUUGGCACCCUACCGCAUGGCGCCACCAGAAUUAGAGGAGUUGCGGAGACAACUCAAAGACUUGCUGGACGCAGGCUAUAUUCGCCCCUCAAAGGCCCCAUUCGGUGCACCGGUCCUCUUCCAAAAGAAAAAGGAUGGAUCGCUGCGGAUGUGCAUCGACUAUAGAGCGCUCAACAAGAUCACCAUCAAGAACAAGUAUCCGAUUCCCUUGAUUGCGGACUUGUUCGACCAGCUUGGUAAAGCACGGUACUUCACCAAACUUGACUUGCGCUCCGGGUACUACCAAGUGCGCAUCGCCAAGGGAGAUGAACAAAAGACAGCGUGCACAACAAGGUACGGGUCUUUCGAAUUCCUUGUGAUGCCUUUUGGCCUUACUAAUGCACCCGCCACAUUUUGCACACUCAUGAACAAGGUGCUCCAACCAUUCCUCGACCGCUUCGUGGUCGUGUACUUGGACGACAUAGUGGUGUAUAGCACCACGCUCGAGGAGCAUGCCCAACACUUGCAACAAGUCCUCCAAGUACUUCGAGACAAUGAGCUCUUCCUCAAACUAGAGAAGUGCUCAUUUGCCCAACAAGAGGUGGAGUUCCUUGGCCACAAGAUUGCGGGCGGGAAGAUCAUGAUGGAGAAUGACAAAGUAAAGGCCAUCCUCGAUUGGGAGCCUCCCUCGAAAGUACCCGAACUUCGCUCAUUCCUUGGACUGGUGAAUUACUACCGCCGCUUCAUCAAGGGCUAUUCAGCUAAGGCGGCACCCUUGACGGAUAUGCUCAAGAAAAACAGAACAUGGCAUUGGUCCGAAGAGUGCCAACGUGCCUUCGAGAAGUUGAAGAAGGCAAUUUCGGAGGAACCAGUCCUCGCUCUUCCGGACCACACCAAGCCCUUUGAAGUUCAAACGGAUGCCUCGGAUUUCGCCAUAGGUGGAGUCCUUAUGCAAGAAGGCCAUCCAAUAGCGUUCGAGAGUCGAAAGCUAAAUGACACGGAACGCCGCUACACGGUGCAAGAGAAGGAGAUGACCGCAAUCAUACAUUGCUUGCGGGUGUGGCGACAUUACUUGCUUGGCUCACACUUCACGAUCAUGACGGACAACGUGGCGACAAGCUACUUUCAAACUCAAAAGAAGUUGAGUCCGAAGCAAGCCCGGUGGCAAGAUUUCCUAGCGGAAUUCGACUAUCGGCUGGAGUACAAACCGGGGAAAGCCAAUGUCGUUGCGGACGCUCUAAGCCGCAAGGCCGAAUUGGCGACACUUAGCAUGAGCCAACCGAAGUCUGACCUUGUCUUACGCAUCAAGGAAGGCCUCCAACAAGAUCCGCUAGCAAAGGAUUUGCUGGAGAAGGUGCUCGAGGGAAAGACAAGACGGUUUUGGCAAGAGGAAGGCAUCCUCCUCACCAAGGGAGAUCGGCUGUUCGUGCCAAGGUGGGGAAAUUUACGGAAGGAAGUAAUCAAGGAGUGCCACGACUCUAAGUGGGCUGGUCACCCAGGAAUUGAGCGCACCACCGCACUAGUCCAAGCCUCGUAUUUCUGGCCGCACAUGAGGGACGACAUCGAGGCAUAUGUGCGAACUUGUCUUGUGUGCCAACAAGACAAGGUGGAUCAUCAACUUCCAGCGGGAUUGUUAGAGCCGCUACCACUAGCAACAAGGCCAUGGGAGAGUGUCUCCAUGGACUUCAUCACAUCGCUGCCCAAGUCCGAAGGUUGUGGUAGCAUCAUGGUCGUUGUCGACCGAUACAGCAAGUAUGCUACAUUCAUUGCCGCACCCGUCGAUUGCAAAGCGGAUGAGGCAGCCCGCCUAUUCGUCAAGCACAUUGUGAAGCUUUGGGGAGUUCCGAAGAGCAUUGUGAGCGACCGAGACCCUCGGUUCACUGGGCGUUUUUGGACGGAGCUCUUCAAGAUGUUGGGGACCGAUCUCAAGUUCUCGACAAGCUUCCACCCACAAACGGAUGGGCAGACCGAGCGCAUCAAUGGCAUUCUCGAGAUGUACUUGAGGCAUUAUGUGAGCGCUCACCAGCGGGAUUGGGCAAAGCUACUUGACAUUGCCCAAUUUUCUUAUAACUUGCAGCGAAGCGAGGCUACGGGCAAGAGUCCAUUCGAGAUCAUCAUGGGAUUCCAGCCCAUGACCCCCAAUGCCAUAGCCUCGACUUACGGAGGGAAAAGCCCCGCGGCACACAAGCUCGCCCGCGAAUGGCAUGAGGAAGCGGACAUCACGCGAGCCUACCUCGACAAAGCCGCGAGGAAAAUGAAGAAAUGGGCGGAUACAAGGAGACGGCAUGUUGAGUACAAGGAAGGUGAUCAAGUCAUGAUCAAGCUCCUACCCCAACAAUUCAAGACUUUGCGGAAAGUUCACAAGGGGUUAGUGAGGCGCUACGAGGGACCCUUCCGAGUUGUUCGACGUGUAGGCAAGGUCUCGUAUCAACUCCAACUUCCGCCAAGACUCAAGAUCCAUCCGGUCUUCCAUGUGAGCCUUCUCAAGCCAUAUCACGAAGACAUGGGAGAACCAAGUCGCGGAGAAUCGAGGCGCGCGCCAACUGCCGUUGUCACCGCAUUCGACAAAGAUGUGGACUACAUCAUUGCGGACCGAACGGUUUCGAGGAGGGGCGUGCCAGCACAUAGCGAGUACUUGGUGAAGUGGAAAAACCUCCCCGAGAGCGAAGCCACUUGGGAACGGGAAGAUGAUUUGUGGCAAUUCGCUGAGCACAUCCAGCACUUCAUGCACGAAAGCGCGACGAGGACGCCGCGAGCUUAAGUGGGGGAGGAUGUUACGGACCGCCCAAUUCGCUAGCCCAAUUGCCCACAAUUUCGGGCUAGAGAGCCAACACAAGGCCAAGAGUGCUAGCUUGGCCCAAUUCCGGAAGGUUCUAGGCAACUCUAGCACAUGUGAACAUGUAAAUAUUCUAGAAUACCUAAUACAAUUCCAGCACAUGUAAAUAGCUAGGAAAUUGUAUAAUAUUCUAGAGUUUGACCAAGUUUGUCAAAGUUAGGCAAAGUUAGGCAAAAGUUAGGUAAAGCCUCCCCUAUAAAUAUGGGAUGGCAUUUGGCAUUUGUAUCCAACAAGCAUUGUAAUCUCUCUUUGUGCAAUACAAGUUUCUUUGGCUCAAUUGCUCUCUCUUCUCUUGUUCGAGAAUCUCUAGGCUUACUUAGCAACAUUCGGCAAAGUUGUCUAAGUGCCGCACGGGUUAGCUGCGCAAAACACUCAUCCCGUGACAACUAGCACCCAUCCAACACGAUUUUUCUAAACAAAGUAUAAAGUACAAAAUUACAAUAAGCAUAUCAUACUCCAUGCUUUAAGUUAAAGAUCCUUAUAUAUUUUUAUGAAUAAUUUUUUAAUGAAAUUUUAUGAUUAAAAUUAAAAAUACAAACAUUCAAAUAAGAAUGUCGGACACUUGCGCAACUAUUUACCAAAUUUUUUCUCUAUAAAAAUCGACCUGCAACUUUCAAUAGGUUUAAAUUUAUAAUAUCAAACCCGAUUGCAGCUCGCAAAAAUUAUCCGUUGCGGCCAAGACUUUGGAUUUGCGAUGAUUUUUCCACCCUAAGUGUAGUUAGUAUUGUUUAUCAUGUGGCUCUUAUAAAAAGCCUAGAAGUUGUUUGAAUAACGAGUGAGACACAUAUCUCCCAAAGAUUUUUUCUUUUUCAAAUUAUUAUGUUUUCUCUAUUAUUGUAACUUCGAAUCCUUAUAAAUUACAGAUUGGAGACAUGAACACAAUGUUUUGACAUAGUGGACUUUUGACUUGUCCAGAGAAAUUUAGGAUAGAUUUUUACGCACUAAGGCUCUAUUUACUAUUGAGGUUUUAGAACUUUUAAGCCACACUAGAAAUUUGUAUUGUUUUGAUAGAGUUGUAGUCUUUGAUAUGUGAUUGUUAUUAAUCAAGUGUUAUGUUUACAAUAGUUAAAGGCAUAUUGAAUCAAAAUCCACUUCUAAGGGCUUGAUUGAGUGAUUGUAAAGUAGGUUUUUAGUUUGCUAGCCACUCAAGUUCAAAUAUUGGAACCACAGAGCUUUAUAGCCAAGUGAGAGAACUUGUGCCCUAAAAAUUGAGGGGUGCAUAUCGAGUUUUACCACCAAUAAAAGUUGGUGUUAAAACUUUAAUUUCCCUUUUAUUGAUGGAUAUGGGUAAUUAGGAGUUUACAUCCCCUCCUAUUAAUAGACAGGGGUUAUUAGGAAUAUUAAAAAAAAGUUUAAAUAUUGAAAAUAUAGGUAUGGGUUAUAAAAUUCAUAAUAUAAAGACACAAAAUCAAGAUAAAGAUUUAAAAAUUUAGAACCAUGAGAGCGUGAUUUGUAAGUUUCAAAGAAGUAUGUGCAAAUAUAUGCAUUAUCGAUGCCCAAUUAAGGGUGGGCAUUAAGAUUGGGUUAACCCGAACAGAAUCGAACUUAAAAUUUAUUUGCUCACAAAUGGGUGGUUUGUGGGGGGGAUUCACUUGCUUUUGUUUGCAUUGCCUGAUUGGAUAAAAGUUUGUAGAACAUCGUCUGUUUGGUUAAAGCCGAGCAUGAGUGAAUAAAAAUUAAAAAUAAAUAAUUUUCCAUUAAUUUGCAACAAGUAUUAAUAAAGUGCAUGAGAAAAGACACCAGGAUAUGCUUUUUUUUUAAAAAAAUUAAAAUAAAUGUGUUAAUUAGUCAAUUUAAAUGGUAUGACAUUUUGAAAUGACAGAAGCGAUCUAAAGUUUAAAUCUCACUCACACUUAAUUUAGGGUUGGGGAUUAAUUGACGUAAUAUAUAAUAACGAAUUCAAAAGACAAUUAAAAAUUAAAAGAAAAUAAAAAAGUGCUUUCUUUUUUAUGAUGGUAAUUUGUUUAGAUGAUGAAAACUCUUAGAGUGGUAUUAUCAAUACAUAGUUUCUAGCGUUGCCAAUGUGAAUAAUAUUUAAUUUCCUUUAUAUAGUUAUAUCUCAACUAACAUUUAAACAGAAGUAAGUUGUAAAAAAAAUGAACCAUUGAGAUUUGAGAGAACAAAAAACUAAAAAAAAAAAAAGUUAAAAAAUUAGAUCUCAAUAAAUUUACUUGAGAACUACUUUACUGAUUAGUGAAGAGAAAACACAAAAAAUAAUGAUGUAUCUCAAUUAAUAAGACAAUUUUUGUAUUUUUCAUUUAUUCAAGAAUCACGAAACUUCAUUUAAACUUGUUAUUUCAUUGAUAAUAUAUUAAUAUUGAACAAUUAAUGUGGGAGACAUUCCUUUCCAAUUAUGCCCAUAUAUUAAUUAAAGAUCACCAAAAAGUUCAGGGAUACUAUAAUAAUUUAAGUCAACAAUUUCUGAGCUUGAAAUCAGCCGAUCAAACUCACUUUAGAAUAAACUGAGAAAUCAAAAUCACAUUCUCCGAUUCUACUAUUUCAAUUCAUCUUAUUUCUUCAACUGAAAAAUUGGUUGUAUUUUGUUUUAUUUUAUUUUUAUUUUUAUAUAAAGAUAAAUAUAAAAUAUAAAUGACGAGGAGACUGUAAAAGUAAAAUCAAAAGAAGAGCACAAGUUUUAUUGAAAAUGACUCUUUUCAUCAUUUUGCCGGAGUUAAUGUAUCUACAUAUAAACUAAAGAAGCACAUUUGUUUGUAUUAGCUUUUUUAUUGUAUUUUUAAUAAUAAGUCACUUGCCAAUGAACUUAUAUCGAUUUUUACGAAAAUAAUAGGUGUUAGUUAGAUUAUUCAAAUGGCAAAACCUCUUGGGACAGAGCUUGUAAUUUAGUGGCUCAUGAAUUGUCUAAAUUGACACUACCGAAUUAUUGUAUUUGGUUAAAAAAGCUCCUACUCUGCUUCAACUUUAUUAUCCUAUGAUGUUUAUUAAUAAAUAACAAUUUUAUUGAAAAAAAGACCUCUUGAAAUGAUACAAAAGAUUUGGGACAUGAAUCUCACUCGAAUUUAGCUUGAGGUUGGCAUUGUUAGCAUAAUAUUGAAGAUAGAUUUUUUUUUAAUUAAAAAUCAAAAGAUUUUUUUUUUUGGGUUCAUACUAGUUAGUUUUAACUUAUAGUGAGAUUUAAACAAAAAAGGAAUAGUAAAUCUUGAUAUCCUGACUCAUGGAUAAUGUAUAAAUAAGAUAGUAAAAUUUAUUGUGUCAAAAAUAAGAGGUCUGAAGUUUGAAUUUCGCUCACAUAGGUAGUAAGAGAAUCAAAUUAUUGAUAGAUUAAAUUAAUUUAAAAAAUUUCUGAUAUCCAAAACAGCAUACCAACAAAAUUGAAAUAAAAGAAAAUUGAAGAGAAAAACCAUUGAGAGAACGAAAAAUUAACACAAGAAAAUUUCUAUAACUAAUUGUAUCAGUGUGCGCCAACUUCACUUAUUAAAACAUGGUUAUUUCAUUUUCAUGGAUAAUCAUUUUGACACCGGUCAAAUUUAAAAGUUUCAAAAAAUAUGGGCGAUUUUUCUUUCCAGCUAUGCCCAUUAACUAAUAAAAGAACCGCCGAAAGGGUUCGGGGAUAGUAUAGUAAUUUAAACUAACAGUUUCUGUGCUUCAUAUCGUCAGAUCAAACUCACACCUCACAAACGCAGAGAAAUCAAACGGUUUCCGACUCUACGCUUUAAAUUCAGCUUCAUUUCUUCAACUGAAGAAUCGGUCGUCUCUCAUUUUUUAUUUAUUAUAUAAAGAUAAAUAUCUAAAUUUAAAUGGCGAGAAGAGCGGACGAGGAAUACGAUUACUUGUUCAAAGUGGUAUUAAUCGGCGAUUCGGGAGUCGGCAAUUCGAACUUACUCUCCCGAUUUACUCGUAACGAGUUCUGUUUGGAGUCCAAAUCCACUAUUGGCGUCGAAUUCGCCACCCGCACUCUUCAAGUAACUAACUUUUCCUCUUUCCCUUCACUUCUUUUUUAUUAAUUAAUUAAUUAAUUAAGAUCCAGUUAAUGUAAUUAAUUUUAUUUAAUCUUUUAAAUAAAGUUCUAGAUUAGGCUAACUUAGAUUCAUGUGAAGUUGAAGUGAUUUACUUUCGAUCUCUUUUUCGUCCUAUGUUUAUUUGUACUUACUAUUACUUUUUUUUGGGUUUAAAUUUUCGUUUUUGAAGUGUUUACUGAAUAAAUUUCUGAGCUUUAUUUGUGUAUGCUGAUUGAUUUGUGAUUUUAAUUUUGUGACUUUUUUUUUGGAAUUUAAAUUUGAAUGCUUUUUAAGUUGAAUCUGAUUGUGUUGGGCUGCGAUUUAAUUAAGUCAUCUGUGAGCGCCAAAUUGUGAUAGCUAUAUAUUGGGGUGAAAAUUUGGGAUUUAAAGUUAUGUAUUUAAGAUGCAGUUAAUUCGCAAGUGAAAAUUAUGGGCCGGCAGAUUUUGUCAUUGGAAGACUGUUCUCCACAUGUUGAAGUUAGUGAUGCAAGUUGAAACCAAUCUGUUUAAGCUUGGGGUUUCAUGUCUUGAAUCAAGGCUGUGACUUGGGGUGGGUUGAAAGUAUUAUAGCUUUAGCUAUUCCUGAAGUGAUCUGUUUAGACUCACCGUGAUGAGACCGAGUGCUGUACAGUAAAAUGAAAGGAAGUUGGAAAAUAUUUACUUAGCAUUUCGCGUUACUAAUGUUGAACUAAUAAAACCUAGCCCCUAUCCUAGUGAAUUUAUCUUAAAAUAAUAGCAAUAAUAAGUGGACAAAGCUAAGUUCCAGAGGUGAGAUAGGAAAUUCUCCCGCACAACACAGCACAAACAAACUUUCCCUUUCAUUUUCUUUUCUUUUCUUUUUCUUGCUCUCCAAACAGAGCAAAAGUAACGUCGCAAGAUUCUUCACUUCCAUCCAAAAUCAUGAGCAACGAAUAGCGAGCCUCCCUGUUUCCUUCCUUUUUUUGAUAUUAACAUUGUUAACAUCUACUCAUUUUCAUUUGACAAUACUUCAAUUUUUUUAAUUUUUGGCUUUUCAUUUUUUUUUGUUGCUAAACCGAUUAUCUGUUCAAGCUGUUGCUUAUCGGAGACUCGUCCAUCGGAAAGUCCUGCCUGCUGCUCCGAUUUGCUGUCUGUUGACUUUUCCUUUUCCUCUUUAUUUUCUUUUUUUUUUUAUAUAAAUUACUUUCUAUUUUAGCUUUUUGUUCUUUGAAUUUGUGUUAUUAAAAUGAUAAUUUAGAUGGUAAAUAAUUGUUAUUCUUGGAAAUUUCAGUUUUCAUUACGUUAAUUACUAGUUUUUAGGUUUAUUAAUGUAAUUUUUUUUUUAAUUUUUCAGGAUGAUUCUUAUGUCGACAGCUACAUCAGUACCAUUGGAGUAGAUUUUGUGAGUCUCUCUUCUAUAUAUAUGUAUAUAUGUGUAUAAGUUAUAGUAUGAGUCUAUGUACGUGUAUGUAUGUAUGUGUAUGCAUAUGUGGAAAGAAAUGUUGGCAGACUUCAGCAUUUUACUUUUUUUUUUUUAAUUUUGGCAGAAAAUAAGAACUGUGGAGCUGGAUGGGAAGACGAUCAAACUGCAGAUUGUGAGUCAAAAUUUCCUUUUAUCCUGUAUUGAGAGAAAUUCGACUUGUCUUAUUUAGUGAAGGUUAUGUUCAAGAACCUUGUGUUAUUUUCUUUGUUUGAAGAGUUAUAUGUCUUUUAAACAUCAUUUAGGUAAUGUCUGAUGUUUGAUUGUUUUUCAUCUGUUUAGUGGGACACUGCUGGACAGGAGCGAUUCAGGACUAUAACUAGCAGUUAUUACCGAGCCCAUGGAAUCAUAGUAAGGAGCCUUCCCUGUUCUUGGUUUAAAUCAGAAAGUUUGUGAUUUACAUGUGACAUCUUAACAACAUUGUAUGUGUUUAUUAACUUAUUUUUCAUCUUUCAUUAAGCAGUACAUUUUCCAAUAAAUCUGUAUACAAGAUGAUGUAGUCCAAGAAUGGGAGCGAUAAUAUGAUGCAUAUUGUCUAAUAAAUUCUUAUGACAUAUGAUGUUGUCGGAAGUAAAAGUCUUGCAAUGCUGUAUUCUCUUUUAAGAAAGAAUAAGUGAUACUUUUGUUUUUCCAAUUUUUUAAUUGAGCAACUGUGUGAGAUUAAUUAAAUGUGUUUGGAUUUCAACAGAUUGUCUAUGAUGUAACUGAGAUGGAGAGCUUCAAUAAUGUCAAGCAGUGGUUGAAUGAGAUUGACAGAUACGCAAAUGACAGUGUAUGCAAGCUUCUAGUUGGGAACAAAUGCGAUUUAGCUGAGAACAAGGUUGUGGACACAUAGACAGCCAAGGUAUAUUCGUGACUUCUGUCGCCUGAACUUUGAACAUAAUUUUAAGCUCUUCUCAAGUGCAUUUGCUUGGUAAGUUUCUGCAUACCCAGGACGCUCAAACUUUGGACAUUUUGUAUCUCGAGUUGGAAUCUUUUCUGUCAAUACAACUUGUUAAAAUAAGGGUUAUUAUCGUUUGAAUCCUUCAAGAAUUGCAAUAAAUCUAAAGUCCAUAAAAAAUAUGAUUCCAUCAUUUUACUAUUAUAUCCAGACAAAACCCAUUAUUUUACUACAUUUCAUUAGCACCGAUAGUUGACCUGUUGGCUGACUGAUAAAAUAUCAAUUUUGCACUUUAUAUUAAUUCUUUUUUGGUUAAAAAAUAACACACAAAGUAUUACAAUAUUAUAAAUUCAAAAUAUAAAGUAGCUACAAAUAAUUGCUAUUAGCCUAUGAAUUUAAUAUUUGAUACCUCUAUUUGUGUAAUUUUUUUCCAAGAGUGAAAUUGGUAUUUUUUUUGUACUAACGGAAAUGUAGUAAAAUGAUAAGUUUUGUAAAGAUAUAGUAGUAAAAUGAUAGGCUAAAAUACUUCUUGUAGUUGUUUGAUAUAUUGUAAUUCUUAAAGUAGUCAAUUGAUAAUAUCCCCUAAAAUAAAUGUUCGUAAUAUGUUCUCAUUUUAAUGCAACUGAUUGUUUAAUAAAAUUGUAUUUCUUUGUUAAUCUUUUUUCAUGUGCAUGCUCAGUGAGAAUUUGACUUACUAGAACACAAGUUUGACUCUUCAUUUAAAUGUCUCUUGUAUCAUAUCCUUCAAUGUUGAGUGUGAUUCCAAUAAAAUUGAGUAGGGGGAUCCUUAAAUACCUUUUCCUAUUUUCCAAGGGCCUGCCAAAUUGCUCUAAGUGGUUCUACCCUUUAUCAAUGAAUAAUGAAAAUAAAAUUUUUAUUAAAGCAUUUUGUUCCUUAAAUGGUGACUAAUAGUACCCCUUUUUUUGGAGAGGAAAGCCAAACAUGCCCAAAGAGAAUCAUUUACUUUCCUCUAAUGUAUUUUCUAAUUCGUUUUGAGCCUUGAAUGUCUGUUUUGGUGCGUAUUCUCAUUCCAUGUCGAAUCUUAUCCAUAUGGACAACCCCACUUACAAAAAAGUCUAAUGAAUCUAUUGAAGUUCAUAUGAGGUUUGUGCUUUAGAUUUAGACCUCUCUCUCUCUCUCUCUCUCUCUCUCUCCACUUACAUGUCUUUCACUUACCUGUUUGCAUGCAUGCCCAUUCACACACUUUCAAGAUAAUACACAGUCACUCGUACUUGUGUUUUGGUUGAAUUACUGGCUGCUAACCUCUGUAAUUCAGUUUGAAACUUGCCACCCUUAGUGCUUCACUCAAAUGGUUGGUUAGGGUGAGAUCUGUAUCGUUUUCCUGGUCUCUUUCCAAGGUUAUCUAAAGGGAUUUG
rnacentral:lncRNA from 1 species